GUUCAAAAACACUGGAGUGAUUGUACAACAUAUGACACAGCUUACACUCGACCAUAUGAACAAAUUAAUAUUUCUGACGGACUUCCUUUUUACAGAGGGAGAGAUGUAGAUACAAGCUCACUGACACCAAAAACCAAAUUGCAUGCAUAUGGCCUUAUGCAUGCCAAGGGUAGGAAACUAGGAAUGAACAAAAAUCAAAUUCCUACCCCCCUUAACCCAAAAAGAAACUAUAGGGAGAACUCGCCAAUAAGAAGCUUCCGGAUUUCUGACUUCUCCCUGAAAGCCAUCAGUCCGUUCAAUUGCAAUCCACCAAACCGAGCAAGCUAUGUUUUGUUCAGCUAGAGUAGUAGUUUAGGUUCAUGGGAAGCAACAGUUUUUAGCUGUUAACAAUGGGAUUCUCCCAUCGGGCACCAGCAGGAACUUCACAAGAUCGGCACUAGUAUCUCCUUCCGAGGAACACGCCGAUGACCACUGACAGCAGGGCGACGCCCAGGAUGAACUUGACGGCCAUGAUGCCGGAGGGCUCCCGCAGUUGUUGCUGCGCCGGGUUCGGGGAGGCCGUGCUAGGAGCCUGAGAUAUGUCGUGCUGUUUGUUUUGCGGUGCUAACGAGUCCAGGCUGAAUUCUCGGGAUCUCGUUGACACCACUGCAUCCUUUGCCUGCAAAAAAGAUGAUGUUGUUAAUUGCUGAUAACUACUGAUCAGGGUACUCAGGAUAUUUCAUAGCAUCUUUUUUCUUCUUUGCUUGCCUGUACUUCAGAUUUGGAAUGAGCAAGCUGCAACUUCUGCUCAAGGUCCUGUACCUUCUUCUCCAUUUCAGCGCUCUUGCUCACAUCUUGGGUUAGCUUGUUGAGCUGUGUAUUGACAAGAGCGAGUUUCUCACUCUCCUUUGCAACCUGAAAAAAGAAACAGCAUAAAUCAGUACAUGAGAAAAAUAUUGUAGACAUAUAUACUUAUAAACUGUCUAUAAAGUGUCAAAGCAACAUGAGGACUAGAAAUUCCAAUGUCGAAGCAAGUUUUUGUGAAGUAUGGGGGUAUUGUGUGAAUCUAUCAGCUUUUUAUCGUCAAGAAUCUGCAAGUAUGACUACUACAACAGAUUGAAAAGGCUAGUUGUGCUAAUUUAAACAUGUUCCUGUAAUCGUGUGAGGCAAUGCAUUUUCUAUUCAUGUUCCCUCAUUCCAUUGUCAUGCAAGCCUUUGAUCAUGAUGCUUCUGUUCUCAAUGAGAGAAAGCCGAGCAAUAAGCCAGAUGCCUCAGAACAAAGCAGGCUUCCAAAUUUAAGGAUUUGAAGGAAAAUAACAGAUGGAUUUUAUCGGGCUGCCUUAAUCUUGGAUCCAUAACACCCAUCAGAUGUAACAGGUGAACUAGUAUUAUAACCUCAAAUGGAUACUCGGAUAGAAUCCAACCUUUUUCUCGUAAUGGAUCUCAGCUUCUUGCAGCUGCUGAUUUAGAGCUGAUACUUGUACUUCCAGCUCUGCAGCGUGUUUUUGUGCAGCUUCUAGUUGAUCCGCUGAAUACGUCUUAAACGCAUCCCACUUUAUCUCCCUCACUGAAGCUUGCUCUUCCUGCCAAAACAAAAGUUUUUCAUGUCAAGAUCAGUUCAAACAACAACCAAAUUUUGAAAAACCGAAGUGUUAAAUUAUCUGGAAUCAUUCAAGUCAACAACUUCAUACAUGUCAACAACAUAGCCAUACAAAGAGGCAACUUUCUAUCUGCCAUCAUUUUCUGAUGGUACCAGUUCAGCAGAUAGGGUUGACAGUAAGAAAAUGAUGGAUCCGGCCAUCCCUUUGUAUUUAGCAGAAAUGCUUGACAGUAAAAAAUUGUUUUAUUAGAAAAAUAGUUACAACGCCAAUUUACCUGGUUAGCUAUGGUACGGUAAGCAGCCUCCAGUUCUUUCCUAACUUCCAGCAAUUGUUGCUCCAACUGAUCUUUUUCAUGGACUAAGUUUGCAUGCUCCUGCAUCUUGCAUGGUACAGGGGCUCUUCCUCAACCGGUGGAGGCCGAGGAUAUGCUCGGGUGGACAAGGGACAGAGUAACAAUGGUUUCCAAGGACCGACCGGGAACUUUGUCGAGGGAGCUCCCAGUCCCAACCGUGCUUUUCGCGGGCGCUUCCGUGGAGGUCGGGGCGGUAACCGCAGGUUUAAUCAGACUCGGUAUGCUAGGACGGCUACAGUGACGGAGGUCGCGGAGGGUGCAUCAGAGUUACCCCAGGUGGCAGUGGAGACGGUGCAGGCUUUGGCUUCAGUCUCGCUGCCUGAGCCUAUGCAGACUGAGGAUACUGUUUCCGAGCACGGUUCUGACAAGGUCGAGAGUGACAAAUUGUCUAAGUGGGCGGCUAAGAAGAAAAAGCUCACUUGUUUCCGGUGUGGGGAACCGGGGCACUUUUUGGUCCAGUGUACGGCGGAGCUUUGUGAUCUUUGCCGGAAGCCUAAUCACACAGCGGCUGACUGUCCUCUGAUGUUGGGGCCAAAACCUUCCGUCCAGAUAUACGGGGUGUGUUGCUCCGAGUUGAUGUUUUUUGAAUCUCCGUCUGCGGAACCUUCCGCGCCCAUAGUGGAAACCUCCUUCCCCGGUGUUGUGAAGGUGGUCCACGGGCCUUUGACCGAAGCACAGAUUAUUCAGCAGUUGAGAGAGCUAGCUCCGGGUAAUUUUCAGUGGUCAUUACUUAAGCUCUCUGAUAAUUCGUAUAAAGUGGACUUCCCUUCUAAGGAGGAUCAGGUGAGGAUUCUCAAGUUUGGUAUGAGCAGGGUCACAGGCACUAGCUUUGUGCUGGCGUUCGAUGAGUGGAAAAAGAAAGAACCACAGGGCACAGCUUUAACUCAGAUUUGGGUUCGUUUCUCUGGUGCCCCGUCUGCUCCUUUGGACAGCUUUCUGGUGACAUGGAGUCUGGGGUCGCUGAUAGGUAAGACCGAGCAGGUGGAUAUGCAGUUCACUCGGGCUCAUGGAGUCGCACGACUGCUAGUUAGUGUCGCCAAUAUUCAGUUCUUGCCAGACGUGGUGCCUUGGACUUACGCAGGCGUUCUGUAUCAGUUGGACGUGCACUAUGAGGAUCCUGAUCUUUUCAAUGAGUUUGAGGAUGACAAUCCCAUGGACACUUCUGAGGGAGGUGGGGGUUCAGGUACCAGGGAUGACAAUGCUAAGAGUAAUGAGGAUAAGGCUUUGGGACCGUCGGGGCAGUCGGAGAAUGCCGACUCCACUCCUGUUGGGCCGUCCUCCACGGUACCAACUACCACGCUUCAGCUGGGUUCUCUUGGGGCCUUCUCGGCGCCGCCGAGAUUGUCGAGUGUUAGGGCUGGUCCUCCGAGUCCAAGACUUAGAUUAUGUGUGGGGAGGUCGGUCGACCACACUGAUGAGGUGGGGCAGCAGGCCCCGUCGUCUGUCCCUCGCUCGCCUUCGACCAUGGCGAUCGUGGCGGAGCCGGUCGCUGCGGGACGAGCGGACUUGCAGGAGGCUAGACCUUCUGGGUCCUUGAUGUGGCUGGAGACUGGGGGCGGCGCGGCCCCACUGGAGAGGUCCCCGGAUGGCAGGGAAACGGGUGCGCAGGAGGCCGCCCUUUCUCCUGCGGUGGCACUGGAAGGCAGCCUGGUGGGUGCGCUUCCUGCGGAACCGGCAGCGCCUUUUUCUUUGGGCACGAGCAUCGGCGAGGUGGAUACUUCGUCAUCUCGGGUGGCUGCUCCGGCGGCUCCGGUGAUGGUCUUAGCGGCUGGGGGACGGGCAGGAGGCUCUUCCCCUAGCGCUACUUCGCGCGAGGAGGUCCGCGAGUUGGAGGAUUCGGCAUCUCUGGUGGCUGCUCCGGUGGCCUCGGUGAUGGCCACUGCGGCUGUGGGACGGGCAGGAGGCUCUUCCCCUACCGCUACUUCGCGCGACGAGGUCAUCGCGUUCGGUGGGAUCCCGGACCCGGUCUCUGUAGGGAGACGGGUCAGCGGGAGACUACAGGAGCACUCCGAUGUUGAUGACAUGCAGCUGAGGUGCGCGUUGAGAGCGGCCAAGCUGCGGGACGUCGAGACUACAACUGGUAUGUCAGUUAAUAAGUCUAAUUCUAUUAUGCAUUUUACCAAUGAAGAGAUUGUUCAUAAUGCAAACCAAAUAGGAGUGUCUCUUGGUAACGAUGAUCUAGAGAUCUCUAAAUCGGUUAAUGAGAUGCUAGACUUGGAAGCUGAACAUGCGUUAGAAUUGAUUCGUAACAUAGCUGCAGUAAAACCGAUGAAUGAGUCGGAGAUUGACAAGCUAGGGGUUAGGGUUCUUGAUAGCUUGUGUGCUGAUCUUGAUCCUGCGGUCCAGGUGACGGAGGAGGAGGAUGAGUAUACCUCUCCGGUAACCACAAACCUAGAGGUGGUGCCUGUGGCCGUAGAGCCUCUUUCCGAGCGUGUUGAAUCUAUUGAUGGUGGGGUUAAGCCUAAGAGGACCUGGAAACGUAAGGUUUAUCCGGUGUCGGCUGUGCGUAGAAGUGCUAGGAUCCGUACCUCCAAAAAAAUUCAUGAUGAAUUAUGAAAGGCAUUUUUUGGAACAGCAGAGGUCUUAAAGACUUGGCUAAAAGACGUUUUCUAGCAGAAGCUUCUAUUGAACAUCACUUAGACUUUAUUGCUUUGUCCGAAACUGGACGAGGUAAUUUUUCAGCACAGUUUCUUAGCACCUUAGCAGGGGGGGUAGACUUUGAUUGGCAUUGUCUCCCACCUCGAGGAAGAUCCGGUGGGGUUCUACUCGGGGUUAAGUGCGAUACGUUGGAGGUUCGGAGUGUAGUGAUGGGUGAAUUUGCGGUUAAGUUUAGGGUAAGAACGAAAGCUGAUGGUUUUGAUUGGGCUUUGGUGGCAGUCUAUGGGGCUGCGCAACCCGAACUUAAACCAGAUUUCCUGGCGGACUUAGUCCGAGUUUGCGGGAAUGAGCAACUACCUGGCUUAGUGGGAGGUGACUUUAACAUUAUUCGAAGAAAGGAAGAAAAGAAUAAUGACAACUUUGACGGCAGAUGGUCCUUUAUGUUCAAUACUAUCAUAGAGAGCUUGGACCUCAGAGAGAUAGAGCUUUCGGGUAGGAAAUUCACUUGGGCAAACUCAUUACCGGUUCCGACGUUUGAGAAGUUGGACCGUGUUCUGGCAAGUGUUGAGUGGGAACAGAAGUUUCCUCUGGUAACGGUGCAGGCGUUGACACGAGGUAUCUCGGAUCACACACCGCUAUUAGUGGACUCAGGGUCCCCAACUCAUUUGGGUAAUAAGAAUAUUUUCUCUUUCGAGCUUGCUUGGUUUGAAAGAGAAGGAUUUAUCGAUCUGUUGGCUAGAGAGUGGGCUAAAGACUCGGGGGGAAGGUCACCCAUGGAGCGGUGGCAAUGCAAGAUUCGUCAUCUGCGAAGGUUCCUUCGUGGAUGGGCUAAGCAUACGAACGGAAUUUAUAAGGCGGAGAAGGAAAGGCUCCUUAUGAUGAUUCACACCCUAGAGUUAAAAGCUGAAACCUCUCUUUUAGAUACCAGAGAGUUGGAGUCUAAAUUGGAGGCCGAGCUAAGGCUGAAAGAGCUUCUCCGUGAGGAGGAAUUGAAGUGGGCUCUCAGAGCUAAGGUUCGCAAGGUUGUCCAAGGUGAGGAUAAUACCCAAUUCUUUCAUAUGAUUGCUAACGGAAAGCAUCGUAAGAAGAGAAUUUUUCAAUUAGAACAAGAUGAAGGAACGAUAGUUGGUCAGGAAAACCUGAAAGUUUACAUUACCAACUACUAUAAGCAGUUAUUUGGACCUCCGGGACGGAGUUUUGUGUCUUUGGAUGAGUCAAGAGUUGAGGAUGUUCCCCAACUUCAGACGGAAGAGAAUGAGAUUUUGACUGCCCCUUUCACGGAGAAGGAGGUGUAUGAGGCCAUUGCACAAAUGAAUAAUAAUAAAGCGCCAGGACCAGAUGGGUUUCCGGCGGAGUUCUACAAAAAGUGCUGGCAUUUCAUUAAACAUGACCUGUUGCUCAUGUUUCAUGAAUUGUUUAAUGGUCAGCUUCAUUUAUUCAAGCUUAAUUUUGGAACAAUAACUCUUCUUCCUAAGAAGACAGAGGCUAUUCGCAUUGAGCAGUUCAGACCCAUUUGUUUGCUUAAUGUAAGUUUCAAAAUUUUCACUAAGGUUGGGACGAACCGACUCACGCAGAUAGCGCAUACGGUGGUGCAACCGUCCCAGACUGCUUUCAUGCCGGAUAGAAAUAUCCUUGAAGGGGUGGUCGUCUUGCAUGAAACGCUCCACGAAAUUCACUCAAAAAAACUUGAUGGGGUGGUUUUUAAAGUGGAUUUCGAAAAAGCAUACGAUAAAGUCAAAUGGCCUUUCCUUCAUCAGGCGUUGCGUAUGAAAGGAUUCGACAAGGCAUGGCGCGACCAAAUUGAUUCCUUUACGCAAAAAGGGAGUGUAGGGAUUAAAGUGAAUGACGAUAUAGGUCACUAUUUCCAGACACAUAAAGGCCUAAGACAGGGGGAUCCAAUGUCACCGAUCUUAUUUAACAUAGUAGCUGAUAUGCUAUCUAUUUUAAUAGGCCGGGCCAAGGAGGCGGGGCAGGUUUCGGGCUUGGUUCCGCACCUAGUUGAUGGAGGUAUAUCCAUUUUGCAGUAUGCUGAUGAUACGAUCAUCUUUAUGGAGCAUGACUUGGUGAAAGCUAGGAAUAUGAAGCUUGUGCUGUGCUUAUUUGAACAAUUGUCUGGACUCAAGAUUAACUUCCACAAGAGCGAAUUGUUUUGCUUUGGAAGAGCUACUGAGGACCAGGUUGCGUAUAAGCAAUUGUUCGGAUGCGAGUUGGGUUCACUACCGUUUACUUACUUGGGCAUUCCCAUUCAUCAUCGUAAGCUUACGAACAAGGAGUGGAAGUGUAUUGAGGAUCGUUUUGAAAAGAAACUAAGCUGUUGGAAAGGGAAGCUCAUGUCAUAUGGAGGUCGAUUAAUUUUGAUUAAUUCGGUUCUCACAAGUAUGCCUAUGUUUCUUCUAUCCUUCUUUGAGAUCCCGGUGGGGGUUAGGAAGAGAUUAGACUUUUAUCGAUCCCGGUUUUUUUGGCAAAACGAUGAGUUGAAACGUAAGUAUAGGCUUGCCAAAUGGGACAUCAUCUGUAGGCCCAAGGACCAAGGCGGUCUAGGCAUUGAAAAUCUAGAGAUCAAGAAUAGAUGUCUCCUUAGCAAGUGGCUUUUUAAACUUUCAUCCGAGACAGAGGCUACUUGGGCACAAAUUCUGCGUAAUAAGUAUCUUCAGUCAAAAACUUUAGCUCAGGUGACGGUGCACCCAACUGAUUCACCGUUUUGGAAAGGGUUGAUGAGAGUCAAGCCCCUCUUCUUUAACAGGAUAAAAAUCUUAGUUGGUGAUGGAGCUACUACGAGGUUCUGGGAGGAUACGUGGCUAGGAGAAACACCUCUGGCACGUCAAUAUCCCACACUGUAUAACAUUGUUCAACGUCGAGAAGUAUACGUUGCAAAUGUCUUACAGUCAACGCCUCUCAAUAUUAGCUUCCGGAGGACACUAGUGGGUGAACGAUGGGAGGCAUGGCUUCAUCUUGUACGACGGCUGAUGGAUGUCCAACUGUCUCAGGAUCCAGAUAGGUUGUUUUGGAAAUUGACAAAGGACGGUAGGUUCUCGGUUAAAUCCAUGUAUCUGGAUGUCAUUAAUACUAGUGUCAUUCCUUGCUCCAGACAUGUCUGGAAAGUUAAGGUACCUUUGCGAAUUAAAGUGUUUAUGUGGUUUGUGCAUAAAAAAGUAAUUUUGACAAAGGAUAAUCUGGCAAAACGCAAUUGGGUGGGUUCUGCUAGAUGUAGUUUCUGCGAUUGUAAUGAAACUAUCAGACACCUCUUUCUGGAUUGUCCACUGGCUAAGCUUCUUUGGCGUUCGAUUCAUAUUGCCUUCAAUAUUAUUCCACCUACUUCUAUCAAUAUGUUGUUUGGAACAUGGCUUGAUGGGGUAGACUUGGUUUUAGCAAGACUCAUUCGUGUUGGCGCGUGUGCCUUGUUAUGGGCAGUAUGGAACUGCAGAAAUGAUUUGGUUUUUAACAGAGCAACGAACUUUCAUUUUUUGCAGGUUAUCUUCAGGGCCACAGCGUUGAUCCGUAUGUGGUCGCCACUCACUCCGAUGGAGGACAGGGGGCAUUUGGCUACUGCUUCUACCCGAUGGGAGAUGGUAGCUCGGGUUAUUUUCAACCGGUUUGGAUGGCGGUCAUGUAAUAGGAUAGGCAUGUAGUGCUCCUAUUUUUUGCCAGCCGGUUGUGGCUUUAUGUUUACGCUCGUCUGAGCGGCUUGUCGUCUUUUUUAUUUUAAACCUGCUGAAGACUUUGUGACACUCUCUAUUUUAAUAUUAUGAGCCGUAUGCAUCUUAUUGAUGCAGAGGCUGGGGUUGCACCCCUUUUCAAAAAAAAAAAAGUGCUUCAUUCUUUUCAGUUGUUUCAACUUGCAUGGUCUGGAUCUGUGAAUAUUUGAGAAAUUAUACAGAUAGUGCUUCGAAAGUAGGACCAAUUGCCCUACUGUACAGCUCGUAGUGGUACAGCUCCUGAAUCAUGUCCUUCAGUAGUACCAUGCUAGAGCCAUUCAUCCAUCUAUUGAUUGGCGCAUUGAAAGGCAGGCCUAAGAUUCAGAGAGGAGACUGUUCCAAAGCAGAGCAGGUUCAGUAGUGCUAUACUAAUUACUGUGCUGUCUCACCCGUACUGUCCUCACCUACUGUUCUCGCCCCUACAUGAUAGAAGCUAAUGGGCUUUACUGAGACACUAAUGGCCCAGCUGACCACUGUUUCCGAAGGCUUUUCAGCCAGUUAAUUGUCACUAGCUAAGCUUGUGGUUGUGGACGCCAAUCCCUUAACAGCUCUCCGUACACCGGUGCUGGGGUCUCUGAAACCAUCUCUUGAAACCAGCAUUUGCAGCACCAACUGAAAAAGUGGACAUUCAAAUCGGCUCACAUGAGCAUUUGCUUUCCUGGGUGACACCAAUGCUGUGUUUUUUCAAAGUAUACACAUGUAGUACGCGUCAGCAAAACUCGAUGUUGCCACUUGGCCUCCGGCGCAGCAAAGCUCAUGUCGGAGUAAUCUUGAAAGAACCAAGGCACUUAUAUAAGCAGCGGCCGAAAAGUCGUCGACGUAUAUCAGAAAAAAGCCGGCGACCACGAUCUCGAGAGAUCACCUUUCCAGGGAAGCUAGUUUUUUUUAGAAAAGGAGGAUGACCCCCGGCCUCUGCAUCUGGGAGAUGCAUAUGGCCACUUUACUGAUUAUUCUCGAGGACCUUACAAAGUAUUACAACAAUGUGCUUGAAUCCACCGUCUUGGCAACACAUGCCGCUACUCCUAUCCAAAAUGAUGAAGGGGUGCUAGCUGGGCCACUACCCAAACCACUCACCUAAGCCUAACAUCAAAAGCCGGAAGCCGAAACAUAUCCGGAAGCUUCAGCCGAGCCACAUACCGGGUCUGGGGCACAAUCCAGUCAGACGCACUCGUGUGUCGUCGCCGCCAUCUUUCACGGGUCCGUCUUCAAAUCAUAUUGAGGCUUCUACCUUGUCUGGCCACUCUGCCAUCGACGCCCCCAUGACGCCAGACAGCAUCCUCCUCCUGCACGAGUCCAUCUCCGCGCAUCAGGCACCGAGUCUCCACAGCACCAUGCCGUCGAGAUCCGCCACCAUCAAUGUGUAAGAUGAAGCACCGCUCCACCAAAGUCGCCGUCCUCUAGUCCCUCGAGUCCGUGUGCACCUCCAAGAAUGACGCCCCCAGGGGGGAAACGACACCAGAGAGCCGCCGUCAUCUGAUCUACUGAUCUAGGGUUUUCCCCGGAGGUAGCAGAGAGUGGCCUUGAACAUCUCCACGGCGAUGCCUUUAGGAAGGGAACGACGCAGACAGCGUCGCCAUCGCCGGCCUUGGCAAUAGCCAAUAGCAGGUUUUCACCCAGAUCUGAUCGAAGACCUCCAUCUCUCGUGCACGGGUCGCCGCCGUCCUUGCCGGGAUCUGGAUGAUCCCGCUUGCCAGAUCUCAGCACGGAGAAGCCCCCCCACCGAGACCCGCCGACCGAGCAGGGGAGGCCGAGGCCACGCCCACAGGAUCAGAUCCGCGAUGGAUCCAAGNNNNNNNNNNNNNNNNNNNNNNNNNNNNNNNNNNNNNNNNNNNNNNNNNNNNNNNNNNNNNNNNNNNNNNNNNNNNNNNNNNNNNNNNNNNNNNNNNNNNNNNNNNNNNNNNNNNNNNNNNNNNNNNNNNNNNNNNNNNNNNNNNNNNNNNNNNNNNNNNNNNNNNNNNNNNNNNNNNNNNNNNNNNNNNNNNNNNNNNNNNNNNNNNNNNNNNNNNNNNNNNNNNNNNNNNNNNNNNNNNNNNNNNNNNNNNNNNNNNNNNNNNNNNNNNNNNNNNNNNNNNNNNNNNNNNNNNNNNNNNNNNNNNNNNNNNNNNNNNNNNNNNNNNNNNNNNNNNNNNNNNNNNNNNNNNNNNNNNNNNNNNNNNNNNNNNNNNNNNNNNNNNNNNNNNNNNNNNNNNNNNNNNNNNNNNNNNNNNNNNNNNNNNNNNNNNNNNNNNNNNNNNNNNNNNNNNNNNNNNNNNNNNNNNNNNNNNNNNNNNNNNNNNNNNNNNNNNNNNNNNNNNNNNNNNNNNNNNNNNNNNNNNNNNGCUCGCCGCCGCGUGCCCCGCGCCCCGCCACCGCUCGCCGAGGCCUGCCGUCGCAGGACACCGCCGCCUGCCGCCUAGAUCCGGCGCCCGCGAAAGAAGGGGAGUCGGGAGAGGGAAUCCCCCCGCUGCCACCGUCUGCCACGCGGGUUUCACCCGGCAGCGUCACCCGGCGGCGGCGCGAGGAGGGGAGAAGGAGGGGCGGCGGCGGUACCUAGGGUUGGAGGCCCCCGAGUCGCCCAGGGCGGGGGCGACGCGAGGGACGGGACGGGCAAGCUCAAGGUUUUCUUAUUAGUACAUCGACAAGGGCCGAGAGAUAAUCCUCCGGGCAGACGGAGAUGGGAGACACCAAACUCGCAAGUUCCCCAUGUAGUUUUGAAUAUUUUCUUUUCUGAAAAAGGCAAUAGAUUCCGCUAGUCUCCACGUAAAUAAAAUAAAACCAACUAAAAACGUAAUAAAAUAAAAAAGGUUAUUUUAGACAUAAUAAUAAAAUAAAAAAAGGUGUCACUGAACAUGUGGGACCAGCACCCACGCGCGCUAUCCAAGGCCGUGUGAAGCGUGCGUGGUUUUGGGUGGCGUUUAUCCAACCAUAGCUGGAUGCACCGAAAACACCACGCGCGCUAUCCAAGGCCGUGUGAAGCGUGCAUGGUUUUGGGUGGCGUUUAUCCAACCGUCGUCGGAUGCACCGAAAACACCACGCGCGCUAUCCAAGGCCGUGUGAAGCGUGCGUGGUUUUGGGUGGCCUUUAUCCAACCGUCGCUGGAUGCACCGAAAACAACUUGUCAAGUAUCAGCUCCAGCAUGGAAAAAGCAUGCCGUGACACCAUCACUGUCGCUUGUGGCCUGGGCGCUUUCACCUGUAUGUGAUAUGAUGAGUGCACCUGCGAAAAUCGAAAUGCGAAGAAAUAUGACCAGAUUCAUGCGCUCGUAUCAUAUGGCCUCCAAAUGCCAGUGAAGCAGAAUCUGCAAAUACAUCUGCCUGGCCUGGAUGCGGUUUACAGUUAAAAAACAAAGCAUUUACAGAGGAAGGUCUUAAUUCUGCGAGUAAUAUAAUAAUGGAAGAGAGGAAUGAAUGGAUGGUAGGGGCCGAAACCCAUCUGAUCUUGAAUAAACACUGGAUAUACAUGGAUCAAAAGCACCGGAGUGAUUGUCACAGCAUCCAUAUGACACAGCCUACAAUCCAUAAGCAAAUCUCUGACUCUGGUUUUGACUGAAUAUAUAUAGAUGAGAAAAACGNNNNNNNNNNNNNNNNNNNNNNNNNNNNNNNNNNNNNNNNNNNNNNNNNNNNNNNNNNNNNNNNNNNNNNNNNNNNNNNNNNNNNNNNNNNNNNNNNNNNNNNNNNNNNNNNNNNNNNNNNNNNNNNNNNNNNNNNNNNNNNNNNNNNNNNNNNNNNNNNNNNNNNNNNNNNNNNNNNNNNNNNNNNNNNNNNNNNNNNNNNNNNNNNNNNNNNNNNNNNNNNNNNNNNNNNNNNNNNNNNNNNNNNNNNNNNNNCAAGCAAUCCUUCUUAUUGCAUGGCCAACAACAAAAGGAAAUAAAUGGUCUCUGCAUGCAUUUCCAGUCCCAGUGCUUCGCCUCUCAACACCAUGCUGAAACUGGAGGUCUGAAACUAGCGUUGUUCGCACCGAAACAUUUCUUCUGUCCGAAUCAUCCUCUGUUACAGAAAACCGAGAUGAUGAAAAUGCGUCGGUCAGACACAUUCGAUGUUGGCAAUAUGCUGAACAGAUCCCUUGCGGCCUCCUUCCAGCUGCGCGGCGAAGUCCCUCGGCAUGUUCCGCGCAUACAGGUGCUGAAGCGACCUAAGGUACCCGAGGCCUUCAGGCACGGCUUCCAGUCUCCAGAGCUCACGAAGUUCUAGGUAUGUCAAGUUGGUCAUGGAGCCAUCGCUUAUCUCAACUGAACUCAGAUUGUCCAGCUUCCCUAGGAACAGCCGCUUUAGCUUGGGAAACCAUCCAGAACAGAACGCCAGGGACUCCCCGUCAUACGCACAAUAGAGGUUGAGGUAAACUAGGUUCCCCAUUUCAGACAAGGAUUUGAGCGGGUCCUGCGCCAGCCCGGACCAGCGCAUUGUCAGGACCUUGAGCCUGUCAAACCCCUCGGACUCCGGAAAAAGCACCCCUUUCUCCAGCUUGCCCGUCAGGUAAAACUUCUCCAGGUUUCUGAGCGGCUUGAACUUGUCCAAACUGUGGACUUCGUCGUUUUCGCCGCGAGUUCCGACUGCCAGUUUCGUCAGGACGGUCAUCUUUCCGAUCGAAGUCCACAGGUCCACGCCAUGGCCUGGAAGGACUGCCGUGAUGCCCAGGCUUCUUAGCUGCGUCAGGCACCCCAGAUUCUGAACCAAAUCUUUGUUGGCCUUCACCUCUCGGAGAGUUUGCAAGUGCUUGAGCUUGCAGAUGCUACCAGUGACUGAUGUGCCGUACAAAUCGUUGCUCACAGACAAGUGCCGGAGGCUUGAGAGCAUCGCUAUUUCACGUGGCAGCUCCAUCACACGAGCAAACCGGAGGUGCAACGACUGCAGUUUCUUGAGCCUCGCUAUUGAUCUUGGUAUCGUCUUCACUUUCGUACGCGAGAAAUCAAGGUAGUGCAGAUUGAACAGACCAGUUGUAAUGGCAUCUGGGAUGUGCUCGAGGAGGGAGUAUCUGAGGCACAACACCCUUAGCAGCCUGAAAUUCGAUGAAGCAGCGCAGAUCCAUGGAACCGGCACAUGCCUGUCGAACAACAAAAACGAGCGCAGAUGUUGUGAAGCUGGGCCUGGCUGAAAGACCUGGCCUCCGCAAUGCACUGAUACACGGCUUGCUUCGUCGCCGCCGUCUGUCACGUCUGGGUUAUUACAGAUAAGAGCGAACCUCUCUUUUCUUGAUAUGGUCAGCGUCAUUUCUCUCACAAGAUCAUGCACCUGAAAUCUUUUUGGCCUUCCGUACUCAUUCCUUUCCGUCACUUGAAUCAGUGAGCGCUGAGCAAGUUCUUUGAGGUAAUCCUCGGCGACUUCCUCCAGAGUCGUCUCUGUUCCGCGAUCCUCGACGAAACCUUCAGCUACCCACAAUCUGAUUAUCCAUUUCCGUCGUAUUGGGUAAUUUUCGGGGAAUAACCCACAGUACAAGAAACAGUUCCUCAAGUGGCUUGGAAGAUCAUCCAAGCUUAGCUUCAGGAAACUUGAAACCCAGUUCAGCUCUGGAUUAUUUGUUAGUUGCCAAUUCAGUUGAUUGUAGAAUAGUUUCCACUCAUGUUCCUCCAUAUCUCUGUAAGAUAGGAGACUCCCUAUAGCUACUAUAGCGAGGGGCAAGCCUUGGCAUCUCUCCAGAAUUUUUUCUGCCCAGGGAACAAGACCUUGAGGGCAUCCCGAUGUUGCCCUGUUUUGCCUUGAGAAUGCUUUUCUGCUGAAAAGGUCCCAUGAUUCUCUCUGUGGAAGAAGACCAAUUCUGAUAGUCUGGUUAUCCUCUGCAAAUGAUGCAACAGCUUCUGUGCGAGUAGUAAUGAUGACUCUACUUCUGCACUUAUUCUUGACAAAUGCUCGUUCAAGGAAUAACCAAGAAUCUCUAUUCCACAUGUCAUCCAAGACAACAAGGUAUCUCUUGUUCCCGAGGUAACUGUGGAUUUUAUCCACCAAAUCUGUUGGAUCAGUUGUACCAGCUAGCUCAUCAGGGAUACAAAGUUGGUUGAUCAGUUUACUUAGAAGAUCUUCAACGGGAUAAUUUGGUGAUACCGUGAUCCAAGCAUAGCAAUUGAAGUUUUUUCUGAUUUUUUGUUUCCUAUAGAUGCUGCUUACAAGAGUUGUUUUGCCGGAACCACCCAUUCCACAGACGGAGAUAAUUGUACGAUCCAAACCAUCAUCAUCUAUGCAUUGUGUCAACUUUUUUGCUUCAUCUUCAUUUCCUAUGAUUUCUUCAUUGUCAUUAUCAUUUAAGUAGGAAGAAUCAGACAUGUACAUCUUACGAGUAACAUUGUGGCGUGAAGAUCCACCCCCAAGUCCAGCAGCUACUGUUAUGCCGUAUCUUUCUUUCACAGUUGAUAGAUUUUGAAGUCUUUCUUGUACUUGUUUGAGCUGAGCAGAAAUAUCUUUCCAUGCCUUCACCCUCCUUGAUCGAUGGAGUGCCUUAUUCAGAAGACCUUCUGCAUUGUCCAUUUUUCCAAGGAGAAAUGAAUAUUCGUCGAUGAUAUCCUCAACUUCAGAGGCAAUCUUCCUUAUGUGCUUCAGCCAUGCUUUGAGAAUUUGGUUAUUUUCACUAUAUGGAUCUACUUGACUUAUGAAGGCCUGCAUGAUCUCAAAUUCAAUCUCAAUUUGUUUCAUCCUGUUUUCUGUUUCAAGUAAAAUGUUGCCUUCCUUCCCCAAUUUCAACCUAAUUGCAUUCAGUGCAACUCCUCCAAAGGUAGCUCCGAUUUUCGAAAGCACGACAAGUAUCAGACCUUCUGCCAUGAUUCCUGACUUCACUACUUCAGCUGCUUGACCCCUCCCGUCGGUGAUUUUAUAACUGGCAGGAAAUGAGGAAAAUCACUUUGUAAGACACCACAAAUUCAUAAUAAGAUACUUAAUAAAAAAAGGAUACUGUUUUCAAAGCCAUUGACGUCCCUUUUACAUCAUCAGAUUAUUUCCUUGUUCAGUGGCUAUGAGGUAAUGCUAUUAUUGGAAAGCAUACACAAUGUGAUAAUUCUAUUAUUGGGAGGCAUCACGAACGCAGUCCCCUAGGUCCUGUGAUUGCCAAUCUCCUUGCUGCUUAGGACCCGUUUGGUUCACAUAAAUAUAAACACAUAGGAAUAUGAUAUGAAUGCAUGUGCAAAAUAGAUAACCGGAAAACACAUGAACUUUGUAAACUUGAGUGUUUGAUUCACAAGAAUAGAGAAAACAUAGAAAUCCUAAUAAACAUGGUGAAAUCAAAGUCAAACUACGUAAAAAGUAUAAUUAGAAUGCUAUUAUGUCACUAAGGGUCCCAAUCUCGUUCUUCGUGCAUAGAAAUUUUUAAAAAUCAGUUCAAGUGGAUGGUAGAAUUUCCGCGUUUUUCUUUUGAAAUGAGUUCAAAGGAUUCUCUCCUUUUUAUUUGCUCCAUUGAGCCAAACGUAUAAAUAGUGCUACCAUAGGAAGUAAUUAUUGUUUCUAUAUUUUUUCCCUCCACUUUUGAGCCAAAGAGGCCCUGAGCCACUAGGGUGGCGUUUGGUUCGAGGGCAAAGAUGGAUUGGGUGAGGGUAUCCCGUAUCCCCAACCACCUCGUCAGGGAUAGCCAUUUGUUGUUGUUUCGUUGGGUUGGAUAACCACGUCUUUGUUGUUUGGUUGGAAGGAUGAGAAUUGGAUAGGUUGUUGUGAUGACCUCUUUGCUAGAAGAAGGUGGUAUCACCCCUACAAUAUGCAAUUUGAGAGCAACCUUUUGAAAUCAACUCGCUAUACCAUAUUCUCAUUCUCAUACUCUGUUUUUUUGGCACAUAUAACUAAUCUUUGGCUGAAUUGAGUUGUCAAAGAUUAUGUGUGAUUAGGAUAAACAUUACUAAUAGUUAUUGGUCAGAAUCAAUUUGGAAAGUCAAAUCAUCUGAGUUGCAAUUUGACAAUGAUCCCCACAUAAAAAGAAGCAAGCUCUUGCCUCUCUUAAAAAAACUGGUACAAUCCACACUACUUCUACAUUAUUUUUUAUUGAGUACAGAAGCAGGCAUGGCAACCACUAGCAAGUAGAUUAAGGGCCAGUUCUCUCCCCAGCUUAAAAAAAAUCUAGACAUUUUCAUACACCAACUAGCCAGCAGCAGAAAAACGAGGAAGAUAUAAGAGGGUGCUUGGAUCCAAGGGACUUAUUUUAGUCUGACUAAAAAUAGUCACUUUAAGAGGCUAUUGUUUCAAGCACCCCUGACUAAAGAGGGGCUAAAACUAGUCUUGAGACUAAAUUUUUUUAGUCAGGGGUACCCCUACUAAAAUAUGGAAUAAUCCUCUCUCUCCUCAUUUAACUCCUCUCCUUUAACACAUGCGAGUUCUAGAUUGAAGUGUUUGGAGGAUAAUAAAUGCUCAUUAACUUGAUUUUAGUCUUUUUAGUAUUUGAAUCCAAGCAUGGAUGAGUUGUCAAAGAUUAGGUGUGAUUGGGAUAAACAUUACUAAUAGUUAUUGGUCAGAAUCAAUUUGGAAAGUCAAAUCAUCUGAGUUGCAAUUUGACAAUGAUCCCCACAUAAAAAGAAGCAAGCUCUUGCCUCUCUUAAAAAAACUGUUACAAUCCACACUAUUUCUACAUUAUUUUUUAUUGAGUACAGAAGCAGGCAUGGCAACCACGGCAGAAAAACGAGGAAGAUAUAAGAGGGUGCUUGGAUUCAAGGGACUUAUUUUAGUCUGACUAAAAAUAGUCUCUUUAAGAGGCUAAAGUUUCAAGCACCCCUGACUAAAGAUGGGCUAAAACUAGUCUUGAGACUAAAUUUUUUUAGUCAGGGAUACCCCUACUAAAAUGUGGAAUAAUCCUCUCUCUCCUCAUUUAACUCCUCUCCUUUAACACAUGCAAGUUCUAAGUUUGAAGUGUUUGGAGGAUAAUAAAUGCCCAUUAACUUGAUUUUAGUCUCUUUAGUAUUUGGAUCCAAGCAUGUGCGAGGCUAGCCAGUUUUAGUCCCACUACUUUUAGUCAUGGUCAAUCGUAGCACAAAAUAGCAGUAGCAUUGUGCUUUUCCGUGCUUGUCGCAGAGAAAGGGAGAGGUCAGAUCGGAGCACAGAAGAGGGCAGGGGAGACAUGCUUGGCUAUUCCCGCCGCCUGCUCUCGCCAAACCGCGCCGCUCGCGCUGAUCGUUCCCCAUCGGCUGCGCUGGCCAAGUCCAUCCGCCACCGCUGCCCGUUCCCCACCGCCGCCUAGUUGCCGGUUCCCCGUCGCCCAGAUCCCCCGUUUCCCGCCGGCACCGCUCACUAUGCCAUAAGAGAGAGAUAGAGAGAUGCGGCACCUCGACGCACCGCCAGCGCCCGAUCCAAAACUGCCGAUGCGCCGCCACUCUUGUUGUUUCUAGAAGAGUCGCCGCUCUUUUCCUGUCGUGACUCGUGAGUGAGAGGUGUGAGAGGGGCGGCGGUCUCUGUUCGUGCGGUGAACUGAAGCGGAGCGAGCAUGGCUGCCCUACUCGGCCAAUUUUUCACGGCAGCAAAAAGGAUCAAACAUUCGUUAAAUCGGGUUAUCCCCAGCCAUCUCAUCAUAUGAAAACACUAAAAUUCUAACGUCAGAUUUUUAGGUAUGGUAAAUCUGAUGUUUUCUAUGACAAUUUAAGCAUUAGUUUGUAAGCACGGUAAUUUUCUGAUAAAAGAAAAUAAAUUGAGUGGGAUUUGCCAUGCUCGCCAACUAAAUUUUACCAUCCUCGGCCAACAUAAUUUAUCAUGAAAGAUGUUCAAUUUGCCAUGAUAAAAAAUCCGACAUCAAAUUUAUAGUCGAGUCCUUCCAAAUGUAAGGCAUCCCCAAAAAUCUGGCUAUCCCUGUCGCAUGGAAGGAUAGCUGAGAAUCGAACGCCCUCUAAAUUCAUCCAUGAGCAUGAAAGAACACAAGCGCUAAAUACUUCCAUCCUUCAUACUCCCUCCGUUCGGAAUUACUUGUCACGAAAGUGGAUGUAUCUAGAUGUAUUUUAAUUCUAGAUACAUCAAUUUCCGAGACAAGUAAUUCCGAACGGAGGGAGUACUAUUGAUUGACAAGAUAUGACGAUUUGACCCGGUAAGGUCUUCAUCAAAUCCAAUCACCCAUAUGAGAAGGCCAGUGAUAGGCGCCGGUCGACCGGCCAAAAUUUCGGUUGGCCGCACCGCGCUCGUUCAAUCCAACCUUUAAUUACACGUACGAUGGAUUGAUUUUAUCCUAAAAAGUCAACUCGUCUUUUUUUUUGNNNNNNNNNNNNNNNNNNNNNNNNNNNNNNNNNNNNNNNNNNNNNNNNNNNNNNNNNNNNNNNNNNNNNNNNNNNNNNNNNNNNNNNNNNNNNNNNNNNNNNNNNNNNNNNNNNNNNNNNNNNNNNNNNNNNNNNNNNNNNNNNNNNNNNNNNNNNNNNNNNNNNNNNNNNNNNNNNNNNNNNNNNNNNNNNNNNNNNNNNNNNNNNNNNNNNNNNNNNNNNNNNNNNNNNNNNNNNNNNNNNNNNNNNNNNNNNNNNNNNNNNNNNNNNNNNNNNNNNNNNNNNNNNNNNNNNNNNNNNNNNNNNNNNNNNNNNNNNNNNNNNNNNNNNNNNNNNNNNNNNNNNNNNNNNNNNNNNNNNNNNNNNNNNNNNNNNCCCAGCAGCAGGGGCUUAAACAGGAUUGGAAAAACAGGGCAGCCAGGCAUCCACCGCAUGUUUUAGGGGGCGAGGCAGUCGAACACGCCAGAGCACCGCGUCGUCCCUGCACCCGCUGAGGAGCCCAGGGAGCGACGGAGGGGCCCUCUGGAAGACCACCGCAUUCUGGUGCUUCCAAAGUUGCCAGCAGCAGAGUAGCAGGAAGAUGGGCCCCGUCCCCGCCGGCACCCGGGGCGGCAGGGUGAGGAGGUGAAGCGAACGGACGGAGGUAGUCUCAAGGGAGCUCUUCCCGACCACAGUCCAGAAGCGUCGGGCGAACGCGCACCCGAAGAUGAGGUGAUCAGCUGUCUCGAGGGGAGCGGAGCAAAGGGGGCACCCUGCCCCGGCAGCGUUGACGAUGUGCUUGCGAAGGAGGACGUCCCUAGUGUGGACCCUGGCCUGCACCAGAAGCCAAGCGAAGAAACGGACCCGGCUGGGGGCGAAGUUGCCCCAGACAAAAGUCUCGAAAGGCACCCCAAGCCCACCGAAGUGACACAACUGGUAGACGCCGGCCGACGAGAGGAGUGAGCCCUUGGCGCAGCAAGGGCGCAGAGACCGCUCGUCGGGCGACUCAGAGAGGGUCACGCCACCAACGAUCCGAAUCAACUCGGCACGCUCGCGCCCCCCAGCAUGUUCAGGCGCGGGACCAGCAUCGCGUCAAUGCCGAGACGCAAGACCUGGGCCACGGAGGCUUCCGGCGCAGUGGUGUGGGAAAACAACGAAGGCAGCCGCCACAUCGCGUCAACUCGUCUUUAACCUUAAAACAAGCAAGGGCAGGAAAAGGAAACACAUGAACUCAUCGGACGCCUUUGCUCAUCUUCGACCGGCCAGCUUGCCAGCCACCCGUGUCAUCCAUGCUUGCUGACCGCCCCGUGCCAUCGCACUGGCCUCGGCUUGGCUGUCUGCGCUCACCGGACACCCGUGCUCGUCUUUAGACUCAUCAUGCUUGUCUUCGGUCGCUCGUGCUUAUUAUUCGGCCUAUGAUUAGGGAUGCAAAAUCUCGUCCGGUGAGUGGCUGCUUCCCCGACGGCUCAUCACAACAACACCAUGCAUUUUCUACCUCGCUUGCACCACCGCCGGCUCGCUGGCCCUAUUGAAGCUACAGUCGCCCCCCGCGUCGCCCCCGCUCGGGCGACUCAGGCGGGAUCUGAAACCGUAGCCGCCGGGGGUCCCCAUCCUUCCUCCCCUCCCUCUGCCGCCGCCGAAGAACGCAGCCGGCGAUAGACCGGGGCUGACAGCGGUGGCGGGGAUCUUCCCUCUUGCCUGCGUCGUGGGGCAGGGCGGAGCCACGCGGCAUGGGUGGCACGACCGAUCUAGCCUGGCGGCGCGGCGGGCCUGCCUUUCGACGGCGGCGCGGCGGCUGCCUCGGCCAAGGGCCGAUCUGGCCUGGCGGCGCGACGGGCCUGCCUUCCGGCGGCAGCGCGGUGGCUGCCUUAGUCAAGGGCGGCGAUGGUGGGGGUGCGGCAGCCGGCUCUGCCUCGGGCAGCGUGGCGGCGUUCGGCGGCGGCGGCCGGGUUUGCGGCGACACACCAUCUGACCUCGAAUCGGCAGUGGCGGGAUGGAGGGCCUGGUGGUUGGGUCGGCACCAUGUGGGUUGUGCCCUCCGGACAGAUCUGAUCUGGCCGGUGCGGCCUGCUCGAUGUGCGACGGCUCAGAUCGGCGGCGACCCAUGCACACAAUAUGUGAUGGAGGUUCUUCGAGCGGAUCCGGGUGAAAACCUUGUGCUUGGCUUGAUGCCAAGACCGGCGUUAGUGGCACCCUUUUGUGUCAUUACCUUCUUGAAGGCAUCGCCGUGGAGAAGCUCUAGACCUCUAUCUGCUACCUCCGGGGGAAACCCUAGAUCAGUUGAUCGGAUGACGGCGGCGCGUUGGUGUCGUUUCCUCCUUGGGGGCGUCAUUCUUGAAGGCGUACACGGGAUCGAGGGACCAGUGGGCGCCUUUUUUGGUGGAGCGGUGCUUCAUCCUUCACAUUGAUGACGGCAGAUCUCGGCGGCGUGGUGCAGUGGAGACUCGGCGCCCGAUGCGCGGUGAUGGACUCGCGCAGGUGGAGGUAGUUGUCUGGCGUCAAGGUGGCGUCGAUUACGGAGUGACCUGACAAGGUAUAAGCCUCAAUAUCUGCUCUGGAGACGGACCUGUGGAAGAUGACGGCUACGACACAUGUGAGUGCGUGAGAUCAGUUUAUGCCCCAGACCCGGUAUGUGGCUCGGCUGGGGCUUCUGGCUUUUGAUGAUAGGCUUAGGUGAGUAGUCUGGGUAUGUGGCCCAGGUAGCACCCCUGCAUCAUUUGGAUAGGAGUAGUGGCAUAUCACUACUAGGGAAAGCCUAGCAGCAGCGCGGGUUUUGGGCCUAUUAGUAGCGCGGGGACCGGCGCUACUAAUAAGGCGCUACAGCUAACUUAUAGCAGUAGCGCGUGUGCCACCCGCGCUACUACUACGUCCUUUAGUAGUAGCGUGGGUAAAAACCCCCGCUACUACUACCAGCGCGGGGUUUUUUUGAAAUUUUUCGAAAAAAUAUUUCGAUUUUCCCCCUAAUUUUCAAAUUUCUAAAUUAUUUUAACCUCAAAUCUCUAAUCUCCCAUCAUCGCUGCUCAAUUUAAUCUCUAAUCACCCCUCAUCAUUCCAAAUCAUCUAACUUCCCGGACGGUCACUCAUCCUCUCACUACUCCAGCCUGAGCACGCUUAACUUCCGGGUUCUAUUCUCCCUCGUUUCCAAGUCAGCACUUGUUGUUUUCCUGACAAUAGUAAGAUGUCAAUCCUAUUAACCUCAGGAAUUUAGCUUGAACAUGAAGUCACACAUUUCACUAUUUGAGUUUGAAACUAUUGUUCUAAAAAAUUAGUAACACUAAUAUUUCUUGAAUAAUUAGUUUGACCACAGUUUGGCCAUAGUUUGACCAGAUUUGACCAAAAUUCAAAAAAACCAAAAUAAUUAUUUAGUAACACUAAUACUCUAGAAUAAUUAGUUUGACCAUUGUUUGACCACAGUUUGACCACACAGUUUGAAUUUUUUUCGAUUUUUUCCACUCUAGAUCUUAAAAGCCCCGUAACUUUUUUUCUGUUUGGUUUUUGAGGAUUUUGAAAAUGUUUAACGGGGUUCCCCCGAUUAAAUUCGGAUGUAACUUUUCGAGUAGAUGAUUUUUCAUAUAAAAAACUUUUUCAUCCGAUUUAGUAUGCAAAAGUUAUGCCCAUUUUUACAAAUUCUUGGGAGAUUUUGCAAAUAAAGUCAAAAUUCAUAUUUGCAAAUUUUCCCAAGAACUAGACCACAUAUCACAUGGGAAACUUAUUUUCUUUUAAUUUUUUGACAUUUUCAUCAUUUUCUUUUUUUUAAAAACUGAAAAGGCGAUCCAGGGGGGGUAGAGUUUGAAAAUGGGACCUUUAGUAGCAGCACGGUUUUUUACCCCCUCACUACUACUAUGGCACCACUUAGUAGUAGCGAGGGCUAAAAACCAACGCUACUGCUAGCAAACUUAGUAGUAGCGAGGUUUUAAAAACCCGCGCUACUAGUGUAUAAGCUUUUCCCUAGUGUAUAGGCUUUUCUGUGUAUAGGCUUUUCUGUGUAUAGGCUUUUCCCUAGUAGUAGCGAGGGUUAAAAACCCGCGCUACUGCUAUAAACUUUAGUAACUUUCUGUGUAUAGGCUUUUCCCUAGUAGUGUAUGUUGCCAAGAUGGCGGAUUCAGGCAUAUUGUUGUAAUACUUUGUAAGGUCCUCGAGAAUAAUCAAUAAAGUGGCCAUAUGCAUCUCCCAGAUGCAGAGGCCGGGGGUCAUCCUCCUUUUCUAAAAAAAUUGAAGCUUUUUACCACCGAUUGCAGCCUUUGCCAUUGCCGGUUGCAGCUUUCCACUGUCGAUAUUAGCUUUCGUCGUCUUUAGUUGAAGCUUUUUUUGUUAUUGGUUGAAGCUUCUUUUAUUGCCGGUUGAACUUUUGCAGGUUGCACGGGGCUUGGUCCCAACCGGUUGUAGCUUUCUCGGUGCUAGUUGCAACUUUCUCAGGCACCGCCUGCAACACAUCGCCUUGCCGGUUCCAACACCACGCCUCCACUGUGCAUGUUGGUUGUAGCACGCCGCUGUCGUCGGUUUUAACAUAUUCACCCAGUUGAAGCUUUUCCCCCGCCAAUUGAAGCUUUUUCGUACGCUGGUUGAAGCUUUUGCAAGCAUCCAGACGUGGCAGUUGCAACAUCCCCCCGACCAUGUGGUAUCCACCAUUGCAUCAACCAUGGUGGCUCCGGUGAUCGUCGGUUGCAGCACUGGGUGGGCACGGUUGUAGCACGGGGGAAGGUGGGGGUAGGGAUUGGCCGCGCAGCCACACUGCAGAAGGAAAGGGAGAAAAAAAGGAGCAGUGGGGCAAAGCUAAACAAAAAGAUGAGCAGACAGGAGGGGGGAAGGGAGAAAAGGAGAGGUGUACAGUCGCCGGGUGGGGAAAAAUGUAUGGCCAGAAGCAACUCUAAAGGGAUAACAUAACGGGCCCGCAAACUGCACGACGUGAGCAUGAGAGACCGAUCGAGUCGUUAGCCGGUCGCCUGCCCGCAAACAUUUCCCAUAUGAGAAACACACAUGUUUAUGGCAAACAAAAGAUAACCUUCUAGCACCUAUGGUCACAUCGCUCUCUGAUGAUGGUCUAAUCGCCCAUGUGUAAAGGUCAGACCCACCAAACUACACCUUGGCCUUGAAACUGCCAUGGCGAUCUGACUACUUGGUUCCUUGCCAAAUGUUUGGGGUUUCAUGACUACCAUAGUUCUCUUAGAUGGGAGGACUUUCCCCUUUCAUUUGUCUCUACUCCUAUUCCCGCUGAGAGUAGUAUGUGAACGCCGGGCUAAUUCCCCUUCCUUCCUAACGGCGACCGCAGUAGGUAUGGCCAUAUGGGAGAAGAGUGUGUGGAGCCCAUGUGCAUAGUAGUUUAGGUUUUGGAUGUUUCGUUAUGUCAGAUCCAAAGGAUGUAAGAAGGCUCAUCACUGACCAAUCCAUGAGUAAGACGGAAAAUGAGUGUGGACGACAAAGCCCUAUCCCCCCUUGGUGGACGAGGAGGUGUGCAGAUGUUGCUCCCCUUCCUGGAAGCGACGUCUAUGGUACACGGGGUUGAGAACGACAUUCUAUUGCUUCGAUGGGGGAUGUUGUGGCGACUUCUUGUUCAACGGUAACAUCGACCCAUGGUAUAGUGCGCAAGUUUGAGUUUUUGGUUCUCGCAUGCUUGUUGUGUGUUCAUGCUCUGCUGGCAAAUCGAUGCCCUCGAUCCUGGGCUACAUGGAAUAGAGAUCCCCUCUACGGUCGCAAUGGUACGACAUUGUUGACUACUAUUUGGUGUCUGAUCGAGUCCUGCUCUAAGUCAUUUAUUAUGUAAUCAUAUUUCUGAAGGUCUUGUCUUGCAGUGGCAUUCAUCUGAUUGGUUGGGUCAUGGGCGGUGAUGAGCCCGUGGAGGGUGUGCAGUGGUGGUUAACCCUCUCAUUUCUUCUUUCGAGGUAGCUAAUCCGGCAUACUUCAUCCAUACUCUAGGCCGAGCACUCUGCUUUCCAACAAUACAUCACCCUUUGAGGCAGGGCAAGAGGACAAGGGGCCUAUUCGAAGGAAGAAUUGAACGAAUUGUUGACCUAGGCCUGACCUUUUGAGGAGUAGGCGAGGAUGUGUUGUCUACCGAUGUUGGUGGCUUCUUCUUUGGUUUUCACCUCCCUAGUACUGUGGUUGUUGUUUCCACAUUUGGCCUUGGUGUUUUAGGUCGGGUUUCUCCUCUUUCUUUUGUUUGCCUAUAACACCGCUAGGUUCUAAGCUAUCUUUUGUCAUUUCUUGUUUUCCUUGUAAGUUGAUUCGGUGUAUUCCUAGUUGGUUGAUGGCUUUGUUAAUUCAAACCAGGCUCAUGUUGAGCCUACAUUCUAAUAUAUAUAUUUUCUAGUUUUACCUCAUAUUUUGACAUUUUUUUACUUUCAUUACACUCUUUAGUAGUUUAUCAUUAGAAUUGCCAUAUUUAUUGAAAGUUUUCCUAGUUUCGAUCCCUUCAAAUUAUCUUGAGAGCGAUCUGCAAGGCGGGUCCCAACCAUGGGGCUCACGUUGUGUGUCACAUCCUGGUGUUUCUUUUGCCUGAAUUGUUCAAAUGGCUUGUCAUACCCACCUUGUCAAGGUCUUUAGAUGUAUGCACACACCAUUUUUCUUAGUUAAAUAAGAGGCUUCGAGCUCGAAUUAAAUGGUUUUUUUUAACUGUACCGCAUCAUUUCUCCAAGGUAUGUAUGUAACCCUUCAUUUGAACUAUGACCAAUGCACACAUGUAGGAGAAGCUAGCAAUCACACAUAACAGGUAAGAUUUUGUCAGUUUCGAGGAAGCAUGACUUGUGAUAGAUGUAAUAAAAUUCCUGAAAAAUUAUUAAUAUUGGCAAAAUAAACCUAGUCAAAACAAACAAAAAAAACCUAGCCAGCAUAAAAAAACAGAACACCAGAGUGGAAAAGGUUUUCGUGCCAGUUGCCGCCUUCAUAUCUAAUGAUCACCUCAAUGAGUCCCAUGUCGCUGAUCUUUUAUUACAUUGUUAUACACACUUCCAAUGAAUGAAGGAUGUAGUGGUUUAGACAAGAGAUGGAAAUGGAGCCAAUUGAGUGAAGGUGUGUGUGGCUUAACCAACUAGGUGAUUCGUUGCAUAUGUAUACAUGGCAACCGUGACCAAACUGGGUCUAGCUAAAUCAUCCACCGGUUCGGACGACGAUAUGUCCUAGACGUAUCCAUAAUCUGCAUAGCUUUCAUGCUAUAAUUUUGCAAAAUUAUGUAUUUUGUAUAUUUAUUUGGACAAGUCUACUAAUGGCUGUAAGAAAUGUACAUGUUCUUGCUUUCCUUUUUGUGUAUAGGAGUGUCAUGGAAAAUGGGUGAACUAUUAAAAAACUUCAAGGUCUGACAAAAUUCAAAGAUAUUGCAAAUAUGUCCAUGCAUGGCCAGUUCUUAGAGUUCAUCAAUUUAAACUCUGAAUAUGGCGUCAAACGAAGAAGGUCAUGAAAUAAAAGUUGUUCCUUGUUUCUGUAUGAGUUCAACAUAUAUUUAAACAUCCAAAUCAAAGUUUGCAUGAGCCAUGCAGGUCCAAAACAAUAUUCACUUCGAGGAAUGCUGACAAGAUUGACUCUAACUCCUUCCAUAAUUGAGAAAUUUGAACGUGGUUUGAUUCUAUAGACCCAUGAGAAUAUAAGGAAGGAUUUGGAGAUGCCCAAGGGCCCUUAUGUUAAAGGGAUAUGGGUUGGAUGGUUAAGAUUGGACGAAUUGAUAGCCUACUUUUUGGAGGGAACCACCCUUUGGUGUAAAAUUUCCAUCAUCAUAACCACCAUCUACAUAGGAGAAGGUAAAUGAAUACGGAGGAGGAGGGGCCCUUCGCCUUCCCUUCCAGCAGUGUCGGAAGGCCACUGGGUGAACCACCAUCAUCACCAUUGGCCUCAUUGACUUCACCACCAUAUAAUAUCUUUGACAAUGGAUUUAUCCUUAUAAAACCUCUGCAGCCCUCUACUAAUACAUGUAUUUGAUACAAUACAUUAUUUCCCUAUGACUUGUUGAAUCGUAUUUAUGUCUGAGAAGUUUAGAUUUAUUCUCCUACAUUAUUUCCCUAUGAAUUGUAAGUUUUGAUAUGAUGACACCCUCUUGUGCUAGUACAGGAGUGCACACUUAUAUUAGGUCACCUUUGAGGGUUAGCAUUGUGGUAUGAGUGUGCUAAUAUAAGUAAACACUAAGCGCGUAGAAAGUUGUAGCAAUGGCAGAUAGAGCUUGAGAGAAUAUGAAAUCAACACUCGAGACUUCACAUUCAUAUUAAAAAGUUCUACAACUAUUCUGUGCACUUGGGGGUUAUCAUGUGCCCACAUUGGACCCAGUGCACAGGUAAUUUGGACUAUAGUAGGGCAAGAAUAUUAAAUGGUUAUGUAGACGGGGAGGGAAAAUACAUUUGUAACAAAAGCCAUGAUUUGACAUGCCACUGUGUACCUAAAGACAUAGGCCCACCUAGCAGAUCUCUCUCGUUUUUUUUAAAAGGAAUAGAAACAAAAACAAACUCUGAAUGGUGUAAUCUUUAUAAAAUGCGCUCAAAUGGUUAAUUAACAUAAAAAUUUAUCAAAGCAAAGGGUAACCUGAAAAAUUAUCAAAGCAAAGGGUGAAAUCUAGAGUUCGCUCUAUAAAUGAAGUAGCAAGGUUGUAGCCAGUUCUCUGAUUUCUUUCUCGAGUUAACAAAUGACAAUGCCAUGCCUUACGUCCAAAAAGAGAUAAGGAAGGAGAUAACGAUUCUAAUGUCAAUAAUAGAAACUGUCAUAGUGCCUCUCGGAUUGGAGUAUGAAUGCUUUGUUCUCUAGAGAUGAUACACCGGGUGUUGCCACGCGAACUGGUUUAUUUUAAUGAGAUUUAGUUAUAUGAAAUAUUAACAGUUAGGGUUUUUGCGGGCAUAUUAGUUAGUUAACAAUAUGAAAUCAAAACUAGAACGCAUAUAUGUUAUUGUACAACCUUGAUUAUUGUAUUGUCGCAGAAUAUUUAUUAAAUAUGAGUAGCAUGCAUGUUGUAUGUUAAAUAUGUUUUUUUUUCAUGCAUGUGACAUUUUGAGUUUAUAUAUGUAAAGUCAAUAGAGAUAGACUAUUUAGGUAUACUGGACGAGACACACAAAAAUGAAUAAGAGAGUUGAAAAUCAUACGGCCUAUCCGGUUGACCGGCCGGUGGAGAUGGCGCCGGUCCUCGUUACUCCUGAGUUUUCACGCAAAAUACUUCUGGCUCGUCGUCACCAGCGAAGCUCCGGGUGAACUCCGGCCGGGACGUUUUCCUCUCUAUGGCACUCUCAUCUAUUUAUAUUUUAGAUAAAAGCCUUUCAACCCUCCUUUAUAGAAGCAAAAGCACCGGGGAUACCAGUUUUGCAUAACGAGGCUGGCACUCCAUAUAUAACCUCGGGAGGAAAUGAUACGUAAGUGCGUACGUGACCUCAUUUGAGAUGGAGACAAGACAGGCUGAGAACGCGAGGCUGGCACUCCAUAUAUAACCUCGGCAGGAAAUGAUACGUAAGUACGUGACCUCAUUUUGGAUGAAUUGACGAUGACGACGACGGCGACGACAUUAACAACAGAAACAACAACGUACGAUUGUCUUAUCACAGGCGCCACGCUCAUCAAAACUAGGUUCAAUUGGUCGAGGCCUCGAGGGUGAUAAUUUGCUUGGUCUUAGUAUGUUCUGUCCUAUGUUGAGACGAGGCUUGUUUUUUACAAGAUGCAUAUACAAGAAAAUGUUGGGACGAGGAUGCUUCCUGCUCACGUUAAAAUUAGGAUAGAGUUAGAUCUCGACAACAAUUAAGAGAAGUAGCUUACAUUUUAUUUUUAUUUCCUACCGAUAUGUUGCAGUUGCAUUGUUGUUGUAAACAAUUCCCGUUGUUCUCUGUGCCAAAAUAAGCAAAUAAAUUCAAUGGGCGCAUCCACUGAUCCAGGAAGAGACAAAAUUGCAUUUGUGUACCCACCGCUAUUUUUUAAUGAUCUUCUACUGGUUUAGUUUCCGCCGCCAUACAACAAAGCCAUGCCCUAGUUUUUCUUCCCGCUGCCGUAUUAUUUUCUAUCUGUCACCACCUAAAAUCUGUUGGUAGAAGGCAAAAUGUUUUGGUCGGCACUACUUCAUUUUUGAGUUUCCCAAUAUAUAUAUUGCGAAAGGAGUCUCCCAAUUCUUUUGAUAUACGAAUUAUGGUCUAUCAUAUAUACAUUUGAUAUACAAGUUUAGGACAAUUCUUAACGUCACUUUAUUAUUUGAUGUUAUAUUUCUAAGUUACAUUCAUAUAUUCCUUAGUUCCUUUUGAAGUAAUGUUCCUUGCUUUAUCCCGGCGACAAGCUACCAACGACCUUCUGCCUGUGCUAGUGCUAACCGUACAGAGAGCUACAGUUGUUGUCAUAUGAGAGGUGAGGUUUAUUGAUCUUUGUACAUACAUAUUCCUAUUUCCUGCUUCUUUUUUUGUAAAUGCAUAAUCAUAUUUCGUGCUGCACUACAUAUAGUGAUAAUGGUGCCUUUUCUAGGAUAAGGUAGCCUGUAUUAUGAUGCACCAUUAUAUUGGUAAGAAAUGUUGCUGGGGGUUCCUUUCUCCUUAGAGAUAAUCAUCCUGGCCUCAUUGGCUAUUUGGAACACUCGAAACGAUUUUAUUUUCAAAGGCAUUGUUCCCAAUCUCUAUAAUUGAGAAAAUUCAAAGAGGAGCUCAAAUGGAUCAUUUACAGGGCUCACAGAAAAGAAUACUCCAACUUAGAAGAUUGAGUCGCCUCUUUUAGAUAGUUGGCCUCUCUUUGAGUUGUUGUAGUAUUAUGUAUAGUGCUUUUUCCUGGUUUUUAUGAACAAUUUCUUGCAUAUUUUUAAAAAAAUCAAUAAAAAAUACACGCAGCAAAGUCUUGUUUCCCCUCAAAAAAGUGCAUCAAGCACUAAAGUUUACUUGCAGCUUCUGUACCAAGCACAAAUAGCUCAAAUAGGGUUUGGAUGCUUGAAAUUUCGUUUUUGCUCACAUUUCCUUCGUUAAGCACUACUCCCUCCGUCCGGGUUUAUUGGGCCCGUAAGUGACAACACCAAGACCAAGGAAGCGCACGCAUGUAGAGAUUUAGGAAAUAAAUGUGCUUAAUUUGCUCUCUAACUGCCCUAUUAAACAACCAUAUUAACUAGAGCAACGCAUGCAGCGGAAAAAAAUUAUAUGAGACCAGGUCUCAUAUAAAUCAGGUGAGACCCGCCCUGAUGGAUGACAUGUGGCAUUCACAAAUCACAAAGCAUCUAAUCUCUCCCCCCCUGAUUUCAGGUGGGGGUGGGGUGGAUGCUUUGUGAUUUGUGAAUGCCACGUGGCAUCCAUUANNNNNNNNNNNNNNNNNNNNNNNNNNNNNNNNNNNNNNNNNNNNNNNNNNNNNNNNNNNNNNNNNNNNNNNNNNNNNNNNNNNNNNNNNNNNNNNNNNNNNNNNNNNNNNNNNNNNNNNNNNNNNNNNNNNNNNNNNNNNNNNNNNNNNNNNNNNNNNNNNNNNNNNNNNNNNNNNNNNNNCAUUAGGAUGGGUCUCACCUGCUAAUCCGUGAGACCUGGUCUCAUAGAAUUUUUUUCCGCAUGCAGCCUGCAUCCAUGCCCAAUCGGCGAGGUUCGUGCGCCAGCUUCGAUGCAACGGUGCAUGCACAGGAGCAAUUUCAGGUAAUAAAGUAAGGUAAUUAAUGUACGGGCCUAAUAAACAGGUACAACCAUAUGUGGCUUACGGGGCCCAAUAAACCCGGACGGAGGGAGUAUAUGUCAAUCGGCAACACAUGUUGAAUUGUUUUUCUAGCAUUAAGUCAUUCUUUGUAACAAUGAGGGCCAUGUGCACAAUUCGGUAUACGGACCAAAUUUGGGCGCACUUCCACAGUACAAAAAAGUGAUUCCCAAAACCCAAUAUCAAAAUCGCAAUGUGUAUUGCCGGGUGCCUAUAUAUAACUUACAAAUACGAUGAAAAAAGUGAUAAAAAGAGGAAUUUUAUGAAAGCUUUUUGGACCCCCCCACUUCCCUCUCUGAGAUGAGUCCCCUAGCUUUUUACAGCAUGCAAUUAAACCUUCAUAGUGGGAGCCACAUUUACGCGACCGGUCGUCCGAGCCACGGGAUAAGACCAAAUUAGAAUCCUUUCCUAGACCUCACCUGAUGAGGGAGCUUCUAACAAUGUGUGUGUGUGUGUGUGUGUGUGUGUGUGUUUUACGGCUGGCAUUAGCCAGCCUGAAUCUUAUGGAAGUGAUAUGGAAAGGUGAGGCCGCUGUGUCCAAGAAAUUUAUUUUGUCUCUCCGGUCUUCUUGUUCAAACUCUUGUUGAGAGAAUCAUUAUCGGUCACGCGUGAUAUACGCGUUGUGCAUGGAUUUGUCCGACAGCUAGGCCGAGCUUACUUGCCUUACUGGCAUGUAAGUAGAAUUCUGCUUGGCCGACGUCAAACACUUAUAAAACCACCUCUACGUCAGUACAAUUUUUAUGAGCAAAACGAAUGAAUUAAAGCAGAUGCGUGGGGGCAGUUCACCAUCUCCCGCAUCUCCCUUCCUUCAGCAACCCCUGUUGCCCCAUGACAACGAGCACUUUGCAGUUGCAUGUGCCGGCCAUACUCGCCUUCUCACUGCUGGUACUUUCAUGCGGGCGUUGUGCUGCCCGGGAAGUACCAGGAGAAGGCCACCUUCGGACAUGGGACUGGCACUUCAUCGAGGGCUUCGUCGUCUGCCUCAUCGUUUCCCUACUGGCAGUCCUGCUCUUCUGCGUAUGCCGUAGAGGAAAAGGCGGCGCCGUGGCGGCCGUCGAAGGCAGCCGAGAAUGGUCACGGGCAACCGCCGGGCCACCCAAGUCCGACCACUACAUGUCAAUCAACGCAAGCAUGGUGCGCAGUGCGCAGACGACCCCCGACGCGCGGCCCCGAUCCUCCGACGUCUCUCCCGAUUCCAGGCGCCUCCCGCCGUCGCCAGAGAAGCUGCUUUGGAUGCUCCUCGCCUUGCCCGUGCCCGCCGACGAGCGUGCUCCUGCAGCCACCCAAAACGGCUGGCCGCCCGUGCAGCGGCCGGAGAAGGAUGCCGUGAUUAUGGAUCCCUUCUCGCCCUGCUCACGGGCAUCCUGGGUGAGACCUAAGGAGAUUGACUACGAACGGCUUCAAGUAGCAACCAACGACUUCCACAUGAAAUCUCGGAUGCGCAAGCCGGGUUGCCAGUCCGGGUUGCCAGUGGGUGGUGUACAAAGGUACCAAAUUUGUGGCCGACGACGGCUUGCCCGCUGUUGUGGUCAUCAAGAGGUUCCACGAGAUCAUUAGCACGGAGCAGAGGGAGCGUAUGGUGGACGAUCUCAGCCGCAUGACCACCCUACAACACAAGAACGUCGUAAGCCUACUCGGUAUGUGACCAAGAUGCAGUUCAUUUACCUAUAUUUUUUUGUCAGAUAUAGAAUCACACUUAUGGCAAAUGUUAACAUGCUCCCUCUUACCCCCUCUUUUUACAUGUGAGGUAAGAAGAUAAGAGUUAAUUAAACCACUAAUUAAUAAGAUCAAUGACUAAGAUCUAUUAUACACUCUUAUCUCUUGUGUGAAAAGAGUAUGUUUUUUAUCAACAAAUUAUGCACCGAUAGAGUAACGGUUAAAUCGUACAGAAAUUUUAUCUGGAUGACGUUGGCUCCAAGAGGGUGGCAUUUCAAAUGUUAUUGUUGUAGUUUUAGUUGUGUUGACUAUGGCAGUUCCUUCAGAGAGCGACAUAACAUUUUCGGGGAGGAUGACAAUUUUGAGCCUUGAACCCAGAAAAUGCAAAGCUGUUCUAAAGAAACGGCCACCCUCCACAAUAAAAUGCCAUCGAAACGUUUGCAAAUGCCAUCCCUCCCAGCGAAUGUUUGCCAGCGAAGGGGAUUCUAAACGUACUAUAGGAACAUUGACGGUUGAUUCUCUGCAGGAUACAGCUUCGGAAAUGGUUAUUUUCAUCUGGUGUACAGCUACAUGCCCAACCGCAGCUUGGACAAACGCCUCUUCCGCGAGCCCCGCGGGACAGGCUUGACCUGGCCGCUCCGCUACAGCAUGGUCAACGACGUCGCCCGGGCGCUCUACCACCUGCACGUCACCAACGUUCCCCACGGGUCGAUCAAGGCGUCGAACAUCUUGCUCGAGCAAGACUUCGCCGCCAGGCUCCACGGGCACUUUGGCUACCAACCCGACCAGAGCAACACGCCCCGCGGUUCACUGGAGGCGGACAUGCUGCAAUUCGGUGUGCUGAUAUUGCAGGUCGUAUGUGGGCCCCAGGGGCGGAGCCAGGCUAACACGGCGCCCUGGGCCUGCUUCAUCGCUACAGUGUUCAACUGGGUUCAACAGUCCAAAAUCGCUAUAGUCAACGAAGAAAUAAAUCUUCACGGCGGCCUGGGUCCUGCCUCCCACGGCCGGGGAUCACCGACUGAACUGGUGGACUGGGUUUGGACACUUCACGGGGAAAGUCGCUUCCUCGAGGCGGUCGACCCAGCUGCGCGGGGGGACGACUUCAACUCUGCUCAGGCGACCAAGCUUCUUCUCAUCGCCCUCUCGUGCACAUACCCGGACCCAGCGGCACGGCCGACUAUCUAUGAGGUGCGCAGGAUCUUAUCAGACGAAGAUCCACUGCCAGAUGUUCCUCCAUCAAAACCCACCUGAGACACCAUUCAUACUCCCUCCAUUCCAAACACAGCCGUAGGUCUGUACUUAUAGUUUUACGUUGGUUCUAAGGCUGUUGUUUGGUUGAGUUGUAGAUUCUGAAAAAGUUGUUGUGAGCUGUGAGAAAGGUGUUGUGAACUUUCAGGUGUCGAAAAGUUGCAAGCUGUUUGACUUAAACAAACUAUGAUACUAAAUUUAGCUGUCAAUUAUGUAAUGCCCAUGGUGCCUGAGUCUGAGUGAAUAUGUUUAUAUGCUAAUUGUAAGUGCAUCUAGUGCCAUCCAUAGUUGGUUUUGGAGUAUUGACGACAAACGUGGUUGUGAGACUAAUGUGUUUGUGAGAAUUGCAGGAUAACAUAGGUAGUAGUCCCUUAUUGAUUCGGUUUACCUAUCAGAGAUGACCCCUAAAAAUGUGUGAAGACAUUGAAGACAAUGGUGGUUCGUGAAGACAUUCAUGAUGAAGAUUAUGACAUGUGAAGAUAUUCACUUGAACACUAUGGAGUGCAAAAUAUAGUUGUUUCGUAGUUUCCUUUCUUCUUUAUUGAGUCAUGGGAACCACCGUACUGUUAAGUGGGGUCCAAGUGAACAAAGUCAGAGUGACUGAUAUGAUGCUCAACCAAAUCCUAUGUCUUCGAGCGAAGACAAUGAGAGCAAACCUUAUCCAGGGUUGGAUUAGUCAGCUUUGCUUGUAGCCCAAGUCAAGCUGCCGCGUGUGUUUGAAAUCCGACCGUUGGACACAUGUCGGUUCCUUAGUGACCGAGGGUCAUUUCGGACAUAUCAGGUCGGGUUGCCACUUGGCUAUAAAUAGCCUACCCCAUACACCAUAAAUUGGUGGCUGCUCAGAGUUAGUGCACGACUUUUGUCGUUUGAGAGCAACCCACCUCCGAAGCAUUUGAGAGAGAGAUCCUUGCGAGGACUAAGCCCAAAACACCCAGAGCCAAAGAGUGUUAGACAUCACUAAAGUCUUUCUGUCCGCGUGAUCUGAAGACUUGUUACACUUGAGGACUGUGAAUCCUCCAGCCGGUUAGGCGUCGCGUUUUGAGCAUCCAAGAGUCAUUGUGGAUUGCCGGUGAACGAAGUCUGUGAAGGUUUGGAAGUCUACCUUGAAGACUUACUAGAGUGAUUGGGCGAGGACUGGGUGUCCUUAGCUCAAGGGGAAUAAGGUGAAGACACGGUCUUCUGAGUUCAAUCUCAGCCUCCCUAACUAGACAUACAGUUGUCAUAGCAAUUGGAAUAGUCUACCAAAUCCUUGUCUUCGCCAAGCAACUGGUUCUAUCCCCUACUCUCAUUACUCUUCAGUUUGUCUUCGUGAAGUCAUUGCUUGCCUGCCUGAUUCAUUUGACUUCACUAUGUGAAGACUUAUAUCUGUUUGGCUUCGUACUGUCUUCCAUCCUGAUCCUGUCUACCUAGCUGCAGUUAGUCUUUGUGCUUUCACUGUAUUGUAUGCUUGACUAAUGCUUGCCUAGUGUAGUUUUCAUUCUGUUGCUAACUAUAUAGGUUCAGUUUGCUUGUUUGUCUUCAAAGCAACCGUGUUUUGAAGACUCUCAUAAAAAUCGCCUAUUCACCCCCCUCUAGUCGACAACUAGCACUUUUAAUUGGUAUCAGAGCAAGGUACUUCCUUGUUCUGUGUGAUUCGAUUUAACCACCUGGAGUUUUAGCUAUGUCGACUGCAUGGAUAAUCAAGGUAUCUGCUACGUGUCCUAUUUUUGAUGGUCAUGAUUAUCCCAAAUGGAAGGCCAUGAUGAGGAAGCGCCUCCUUGCAAUGAAUAGUGGGUUGUGGACUGUCACGGAGAUUGGUCUCACCGAUCUGUGCAAGAUGGCGCAAGCUGACAACAUUCACAAGUACACUUAGCUGGAUAUCAUGGCUAAGGAUAUCAUAUGCUCCUGCCUGUCCAAUGACGAGUUCAGGCGCAUCAUGCAUCUCUGCAAUGCAAAGCUUAUAUGGGACCGUAUUUCUGAUGUCUAUGAAGGUCAUCGAACUCGUCAAGGUCCCUGGUUCCGCGAAUUCAAGGAGGCUCUUAAAACGAUGACAUUCGAACCUGAGUCUUCUGCUCGAACCUACUGCUUCAUGGCACGUGGUGCCAAGGUAACCUCGCGCGAUAACUCUGAAUGUGUAUCCAAAACUAGCUAUAAGACACUUGCUAAAAUUGCAAUUGAGCAACAAACUGCUAUGGAACAUAUUCAAAAGCUACUAUAAAAAGCGAUGACCUGUUGGACACAGAAAUGAAUCGAACUCAAUCCUUAGUCGAAGAUAUUAAAAGUCUUCGCAUUAAGUAUGAAGAACUUGAAAGUCGUCAUGAAACUCUCUUAGCCUCUCAUAAGAAGCUUUCCUAUGAUUAUCUUCAAAGGAAGCAAGACCUUGAGAAACUGAGAGUGUCUCAUGAAGAUCUUCAAAAAGAGAAUCAUUCACUACUCGCCCAACAGAUCAGUUCCGCUUAGGUAGAAUUUGUUCCACCAUGCUUAAAGUGUCUUGAGCGUGAUAAUGUUGUCUCUGUUGCUGGAUGUUCUGAUGUUGCAAUAUCUUCAACUACUGAUGUGGUAACUAACCCCUCUACUGAGGAUGCCACUACUAUUGCUGAUGAGAAUGCUAGGUUGAAGACAUUGCUUGAGACAGACAUGUACAAAAGCCUCAAAGGGCAUCAGACUUUGUGCAAUGUCCUCAGGAAACAGAUUCUAAACCGAAACCCUAGAAAAGAGGGUGUUGGGUUCGAGAGGAAAAUGAACGUUGAUUGUUCAUACUGGACGCCUGAGCAGUACCCCAAAACCACCUGGGUUGCUGCUAAGGAUCAUUCAGUGGACCCAUCCACUUUAUCUGGCUUCACUUGUGCUAACCCAAUUGUCAUUGAUGAAUCCUUUGAUGCCAAUUAUAAACUCUUUAAGAAUCAGAAUGGUGAAGUGUUUGCCAGGUACAUUGGUACUAACUGCAGGAACGGGUCACCCUAGAAGAAGAUCUGGGUGCCCAAUAGUUGUCUUGAGAAGCUUCCCGUGAAUGUCGUCAUGACACCACCUGGGAAGAAGACAAACCCUAGACUAAAGGCGUCAUAUGGCCCAAAGGCUUCAUACAGACAAAGGACCACUCAUGGUCACCCUAACACCAAUGUUUUGCAGGAGAACCAUUAUGAGGCUCAUGAAUAUGAGCGUGUUUCGUCUAACCGCUAUGUUCACAAAAGUAAGAACUUUUCUGCUUAUUCGUAUGAGUACUAUGAAGGAAAUAUGCCCUAGAGGCAAUAAUAAAGUUAUUAUUUAUUUCCUCAUAUCAUGAUAAAUGUUUAUUAUUCAUGCUAGAAUUGUAUUAACCGGAAACAUAAUACAUGUGUGAAUACAUAGACAAACAUAGUGUCACUAGUAUGCCUCUACUUGACUAGCUCGUUAAUCAAAGAUGGUUAAGUUUCCUAACCAUAGACAUGAGUUGUCAUUUGAUUAAUGGGAUCACAUCAUUAGGAGAAUGAUGUGAUUGACAUGACCCAUUCCGUUAGCUUAGCACUUGAUCGUUUAGUAUGUUGCUAUUGCUUUCUUCAUGACUUAUACAUGUUCCUAUGACUAUGAGAUUAUGCAACUCCCGUUUACCGGAGGAACACUUUGUGUGCUACCAAACAUCACAAUGUAACUAGGUGAUUAUAAAGGUGCUCUACAGGUGUCUCCGAAGGUACUUGUUGAGUUGGCGUAUUUCGAAAUUAGGAUUUGUCACUCCGAUUCUCAGAGAGGUAUCUCUGGGCCCUCUCGGUAAUGCACACCACUAUAAGCCUUGCAAGCAAUGUGACUAAUGAGUUAGUUGUGGGAUGAUGCAUUACAUAACGAGUAAAGAGACUUGCCGGUAACGAGAUUGAACUAGGUAUUGAGAUACCGACGAUCAAAUCUCGGGCAAGUAACAUACCGAUGACAAAGGGAACAACAUAUGUAGUUAUGCGGUUUGACCGAUAAAGAUCUUUGUAGAAUAUGUGGGAACCAAUAUGAGCAUCCAGGUUCCGCUAUUGGUUAUUGACCGGAGACUUGUCCCGGUCAUGUCUACAUAGUUCUCGAACCCGUAGGGUCCGCACGCUUAAAGUUCAGUGACGAUCGGUAUUAUGAAUUUUUGUGUUUUGAUGUACCAAAGGUAGUUCGGAGUCUCGGAUAUGAUCACAGACAUGACGAGGAGUCUUGAAAUGGUUGAGACGGAAAGAUCGAUAUAUUGGACGACUUUGUCCGGACACAGGAACUAUUUCGGAAGGUUUCAGACAUUUACCGGAGUACCGGGGGGGUUACCGGAACCCCCCGGGGAGUAUAUUGGGCCUAAUGGGCCUUAGCGGGAGAAGAGGAGGGGCGGCCAGGGCAGCCACUCGCCCCCUCCCCCUCUAGUCCUAAUUGGGCAAGGAGGGAGGGGGGCGCCCCCCUUUUCCCUUCCCCUUCUCUCUCCCUUCCUUCCCUUCUCCUACUCCUACAAGGAAAAGAGGAGUCCUACUCCCGGUGGGAGUAGGACUCCCCCUUGGCGCGCCCUCCUCCUGGUCGGGCUGCCCCCUUGCUCCUUUAUAUACCGGGGCAGGGGGCACCUCUAGACACACAAGUUGAUCUGUUGAUCUCUCCCAGCCGUGUGCGGUGCCCCCCUCCACCAUAUUCUACCUCGGUCAUAUCAUAGCGGUGCUUAGGCGAAGCCCUGCGUCGGUAGCAACAUCAUCACCAUCAUCACGCCGUCAUGCUGACGAAACCCUCCUGUGAAACUCUGCUGGAUCGGAGUUCGCGGGACAUCAUCGAGCUGAAUGUGUGCUGAACUCGGAGGUGCCGUACAUUCGGUACUUGGAUCGUUCGGAUCGUGAAGACGCACGACUACAUCAACCGCAUUGUGCUAAUGCUUCCGCUUUUGGUCUACGAGGGUACGUGGACUCACUCUCCCCGCUCGUUGCGUGUGCGUAGUAUUUUUUUUUGAAAUUACUACGUUCCCCAACAGUGGCAUCCCGGCCAGGUUUAUGCGUAGAUGUUAUAUGCACGAGUAGAACACAAGUGAGUUGUGGGCGAUACAAGUCAUACUGCUUACCAGCAUGUCAUACUUUGGUUCGGAGGUAUUGUUGGAUGAAGCGUCCCGGACCGACAUUACGCGUACGCUUACGCGAGACUGGUUCUACCGUUGUGCUUUGCACAUAGGUGGCUGGCGGGUGUCAGUUUCUCCAACUUUAGUUGAAUCGAGUGUGUCUAUGCCCAGUCCUUGAGAAGGUUAAAACAACACUAACUUGGCGAAAUAUCGUUGUGGUUUUGAUGCGUAGGUAAGAACGGUUCUUGCUCAGCCCAUAGCAGUCACGUAAAACUUGCAACAACAAAGUAGAGGACGUCUAACUUGUUUUUGCAGGGCAUGUUGUGAUGUGAUAUGGUCAAGACAUGAUGCUAAAUUUUAUUGUAUGAGAUGAUAAUGUUUUGUAACAGAGUUAUCGACAAUUGGCAGGAGCCAUGUGGUUAUCGCUUUAUUGUAUGCAAUGCAAUCGCCCUGUAAUUGCUUUACUUAAUCACUAAGUGGUAGCGAUAGUCGUAGAAGCAAUAGUUGGUGAGACGAUAACGAUGCUACGAUGGAGAUCAAGGUGUAGCGCCGGUGACGAUGGUGAUCAUGACGGUGCUUUCGAGAUGGAGAUCAAAGGCACAAGAUGAUGAUGGCCAUAUCAUAUCACUUAUAUUGAUUGCAUGUGAUGUUUAUCUUUUAUGUAUCUUAUUUUGCUUUGAUUGACGGUAGCAUUAUAAGAUGAUCUCUCACUAAAUUUCAAGGUAUAAGUGUUCUCCCUGAGUAUGCACUGUUGCGAAAGUUCUUCGUGCCGAGACACCACGUGAUGAUCGGGUGUGAUAAGCUCUAUGUUCAAAUACAAUGGCUAUAAGACAGUUUUGCACACGCAGAAUACUCAGGUUAAACUUGACGAGCCUAGCAUUUGCAGAUAUGGCCUCGGAACAUUGAGACUGAAAUGUCGAGAGUGAAUCAUAUAGUAGAUAUGAUCAACAUAGUGAUGUUCACCAUUGAAAACUACUCCAUCUCACGUGAUGAUCGGACAUGGUUUAGUUGAUUUGGAUCACGUGAUCACUUAGAUGAUUAGAGGGAUGUCUAUCUAAGUGGGAGUUCUUAAGUAAUAUGAUUAAUUGAACUUUAAUUUAUCAUGAACUUAGUACCUGUUAGUAUUUUUGCUUGUCUAUGUUAUUGUAGAUAGAUGGCCCGUGCUGUUGUUCCGUUGAAUUUUAAUGCGUUCCUUGAGAAAGCUAAGUUGAAAGAUGAUGGUAGCAAUUACACAGACUGGGUCCGUAAGUUGAGGAUUAUCCUCAUUGCUGCACAAAAGAAUUACGUCCUGGAAGCACCGCUGGGUGCCAGGCCUGCUGCAGAUGCAACUGACAAUGUUAAAAACGUCUGGCAGAGCAAAGCUGAUGGCUACUCGAUAGUUUAGUGUGCCAUGCUUUACGGCUUAGAACUAGGACUUCAACGGUGUUUUGAACAUCAUGGAGCAUAUGAGAUGUUCCAGGAGUUGAAGUUAAUAUUUCAAGCAAAUGCUCGGAUUGAGAUAUAUGAAGUCUCCAAUAAGUUCUAUAGCUGCAAGAUAGAGGAGAAUAGUUCUGUCAGUGAACAUAUACUCAAAAUGUAUGGGUAUAAUAAUCACUUGAUUCAACUGGGAGUUAAUCUUCCUGAUGAUAGUGUCAUUGACAGAAUUCUUCAAUCACUGCCACCAAGCUACAAGAGCUUUGUGAUGAACUAUAAUGUGCAACGGAUGAACAAGACUAUUCCCGAGCUCUUUGCAAUGCUAAAGGCUGCGGAGGUAGAAAUCAAGAAGGAGCAUCAAGUGUUGAUGGUCAACAAGACCACCAGUUUCAAGAAAAAGGGAAAAGGGAAGAAGAAGGGGAACUUCAAGAAGAACGACAAUCAAGUUGCUUCUCAGGAGAAGAAACCCAAGUCUGGACCUACGCCUGAGACUGAGUGCUUCUACUGCAAAGGGACUGGUCACUGGAAGCGAAACUGCCCCAAGUAUUUGGCGGAUAAGAAGGAUGGCAAGCUGAACAAAGGUAUAUGUGAUAUACAUGUUAUUGAUGCGUACCUUACUAAUGCUCGCAGUAGCACCUGGGUAUUUGAUACUGGUUCUGUUGCUAAUAUUUGCAACUCGAAACAGGGACUACGGAUUAAGCGAGGAUUGGCUAAGGACGAGGUGACUAUGCACGUGGGAAAUGGUUCCAAAGUCGAUGUGAUCGCGGUCGGCACGCUACCUCUACAUCUACCUUCGGGAUUAGUUUUAGACCUGAAUAAUUGUUAUUUGGUGCCAGCGUUGAGCAUGAACAUUAUAUCUGGAUCUUGUUUGAUGUGAGACGGUUAUUCAUUUAAAUCAGAGAAUAAUGGUUGUUCUAUUUAUAUGAGUAAUAUCUUUUAUGGUCAUGCACCCUUGAAGAGUGGUCUAUUUAUCUUGAAUCUCGAUAGUAGUGCUACACAUAUUCAUAAUGUUGAAGCCAAAAGAUGCAGAGUUGAUAAUGAUAGUGCAACUUAUUUGUGGCAUUGCCGUUUAGGUCAUAUUGGUGUAAAGCGCAUGAAGAAACUCCAUACUGAUGGACUUCUGGAAUCACUUGAUUAUGAACCACUUGGUACUUGCGAACCAUGCCUUAUGGGCAAGAUGACUAAAAUGCCAUUCUCCGGAACAAUGGAGCGAGCAACAGAUUUGUUGGAGAUCAUACAUACUGAUGUAUGUGGUCCGAUGAAUGUUGAGGCUCGCGACGGGUAUCGUUAUUUUCUCACCUUCACAGAUGAUUUGAGCAGAUAUGGGUAUAUCUACUUAAUGAAACAUAAAUCUGAAACAUUUGAAAAGUUCAACGAAUAUCAGAGUGAAGUAGAAAAUAAUCAUAACAAGAAAAUAAAGUUUCUACGAUCUGAUCAUGGAGGAGAAUAUUUGAGUUACGAGUUUGGUCUUCAUGUGAAACAAUGCAGAAUAGUUUUGCAACUCACGCCACCCGGAACACCAUAGCGUAAUGGUGUGUCCGAAUAUCGUAAUCGUACUUUACUAGAUAUGGUGCGAUCUAUGAUGUCUCUUACUGAUUUACCGCUAUCAUUUUGGGGUUAUGCUUUAGAGACGGCUGCAUUCACGUUAAAUAGGGCACCAUCGAAAUCCAUUGAGACGACGCCUUAUGAACUGUGGUUUGGCAAGAAACCAAAGUUUUCGUUAAAGUUUGGGGCUGCGAUGCUUAUGUGAAAAAACUUCAACCUGAUAAGCUCGAACCCAAAUCGGAGAAAUGUGUCUUCAUAGGAUACCCAAACGAGACUGUUGGGUACACCUUCUAUCACAGAUCUAAAGGCAAGACAUUUGUUGCUAAAUUUGGAUCCUUUCUAGAGAAGGAGUUUAUCUCGAAAGAAGUGAGUGCGAGGAAAGUAGAACUUGAUGAGGUAACUGUACCUACUCCCUUAUUGUAAAGUAGUUCAUCACAGAAAUCGGUUCCUGUGACGCCUACACCAAUUAGUGAGGAAGCUAAUGAUAUUGAUCAUGAAACUUCAGAUCAAGUUACUACCGAACCUCGUAGGUCAACCAGAGUAAGAUCCGCACCAUAGUGGUACCGUAAUCCUAUUCUGGAGGUCAUGUUACUUGACCAUGGCGAACCUACAAACUAUGAGGAAGUGAUGAUGAGCCCAGAUUCCGCAAAAUGGCUUGAGGCCAUGAAAUCUGAGAUGGGAUCCAUUUAUGAGAACAAAGUGUGGACUUUGGUUGACUUGCCCGAUGAUCGGCAAGCCGUUGAGAAUAAAUGGAUCUUCAAGAAGAAGACUGACACUGACGGUAAUGUUACUAUCUACAAAGCUCGACUUGUUGCGAAAAGUUUUCAACAAGUUCAAGGGGUUGACUACGAUGAGACUUUCUCACCUGUAGCGAUGCUUAAGUCUGUCCGAAUCAUGUUAGCAAUUGCUGCAUUUUAUGAUUAUGAAAUUUGGCAAAUGGAUGUCAAAACUGCAUUCCUGAAAGGAUUUCUAGAAGAAGAGUUGUAUAUGAUGCAACCAAAAGGUUUUGUCAAUCAGAAAGGUGCUAACAAAGUGUGCAAACUCCAGCGAUCCAUUUAUGGACUGCUGCAAGCCUCUCAGAGUUGGAAUAAACGCUUUGAUAGUGUGAUCAAAGCAUAUGGUUUUAUACAGACUUUUGGAGAAGCCUGUAUUUACAAGAAAGUGAGUGGGAGCUCUGUAGCAUUUCUGAUAUUCUAUGUGGACGACAUAUUGUUGAUUGGAAAUGAUAUAGAAUUUCUGGAUAGCAUAAAAGGAUACUUGAGUAAAAGUUUUUCAAUGAAAGACCUCGGUGAAGCUGCUUAUAUAUUGGGCAUCAAGAUCUAUAGAGAUAGAUCAAGACGCUUAAUUGGACUUCCACAAAGCACAUACCUUGAGUAACUGAGAGUGUCUCAUGAAGAUCUUCAAAAAGAGAACGAUUCACUACUCGCCCAACAGAUCAGUUCCGCUCAGGUAGAAUUUGUUCCACCAUGCUUAAAGUGUCUUGAGCGUGAUAAUGUUGUCUCUGUUGCUAGAUGUUCUACUACUUCUGAUGUUGCAAUAUCUUCAACUACUGAUGUGGUAACUAACCCUUGAUAACCCGCAAGUAUACGGGAUCACAACAGUUUUCGAUAAGUAAGAGUGUCGAACCCAACGAGGAGCUAAAGGUAGAAUAAAUAUUCCCUCAAGUUCUAUCGACCACCGAUACAACUCUACGUAUGCUUGACGUUCGCUUUACCUAGAACAAGUAUGAAGUACAUUGUAGGUGUGAUAGGAUAGGUUUGCAAGAUAAUAAAGAGCACGUAAAUAAAAGCUGGGGGCUGUUUAGAAAAAGAUGCAAUAAAGUAAAUAUUAAUAGAGAGUUUUUUGUUACGAGAAAGUUAUUUGUCCAAGCAAUCAAUAACUAGACCGAUAAUCACUGUUGUAAUUCUAUUUGAGGGAGAUGCAUAAGCUAACAUACUUUCUCUACUUGGAUCAUAUGCAUUUAUGAUUGGAACUCUAGCAAGCGUCCGCAACUACUAAAGAUUCAUUAAGGUAAAACCCAACCAUAGCAUUAAAGUAUCAAGUCCCCUUUUAUCCCAUACGCAAACAACCUACUUACUCGGGUCUGUGCUUCUAUUCACUCACGCCACCCACCAUAAGAAAAUCAUAAACAUAUUGCAAACCCUAUAGCGGGGAUCCCUCACGCUUGCGCGACACGGAGAGCACCAUAGGACAGCACCAAUAAUAAAACAUGCAACUCAAACCAAUCACGAUCAUCAAUUAACCCAUAGGACAAAACGGAUCUACUCAACAUCAUAAGAUAGCCAUACAUCAUUGGGAAAUAAUAUAUAGCGUUGAGCACCAUGUUUAAGUAGAGAUUAUAGCGGGUAAGAGAGAGGUUACACCGCUGCAUAGAGGGAGGAAGAGUUUGUGAUGAAGGCGGUGAAGUUGUUGGCGAAGAUCGCAGUGAUGAUGAUGGCCCCCGGCAGCGCUCCAGCGCCACCGGAAGCAAGGGGGAGAGAGCCCCCCUUCUUCUUCUUCUUCAUCCUUGACCUCCUCCCUAGAUGGAAGAAGGGUUUCCCCUCUGGUCCUUGGCUCCCAUGGAUUGGGAGGGGCGAGAGCCCCUCCGAGAUUGGAUCUAUCUCUCUGUUUCUGCGUUCUCAGAUUCUACCCCUUCACCGUUUCCUUUAUAUCUGGAGAUCCGUAACUCCGAUUGGGGUUUCGCCCAGAUCUUUCUCAUAAAAUUAUCUUUCUUGGGCCAAAAGAAGAGCGUCAACCGCCUUACGGGUGGCCCGAGAGCCCAAGCCGCGCCCAAGGGGGGAGGGCGCGCCCCCCUGUCUCGUGGCCACCCCGGACACCGUUUUGCGUUGAUUUUACUUCCCAAAAUUCAUAAAUAUUCCAAAAAAAUCUCCGUCCGUUUUUAUCCCGUUUGGACUCCGUUUGAUAUUGGGUUUCUGCGAAACAAAAAACAUGCAACAGACAGGAACUAGCACUGGGCACUAGAUCGAUUGUUAGUCCCAAAAAAUAGUAUAAAAAGUUGCUAAAAGUAUACAAAAGUUGAAUAAUAUUGGUAUGGAACAAUCAAAAAUUAUAGAUACGACGGAGACGUAUCAGCAUCCCCAAGCUUAAUUCCUGCUCGUCCUCGAGUAGAUAAAUGAUAAAAAAGAUAAUUUUUGAUGUGGAAUGCUACCUAGCAUAAUCUUGAUCAUAUGUCUAAUCAUGGCAUGAAUAUUAAGACACGAGUGAUUCAAAGCAAUAGUCUAUCAUUUGAUAUAAAAACAAUAAUACUUCGAGCGUACCAAUAAAGCAAUCAUGUCUUUUCAAAACAACAAGGCAAAAGCAAGCUUAUCCCUACAAAAUCAUACAAUUUGGCCAUGCUUCAUUUUUGUCACACAAAAUGCUCCCAUCAUGCACAACCCCGAUGACAAGCCGAGCAAUUGGUUCAUACUUUUUAACACGCUUCAGCUUUUUCAACCCUCACGCAAUAUACGAGCGCAAGCCAUGGAUAUAGCACUAUAGGUGGAAUAGAAUAUAACGAUGGAGGUUAUGUGGAGAAGACAAAAAGGGAGAAAGUCUCACAUCGACGCGGCUAAUCAACAGGCUAUGGAGAUGCCCAUCAAUUGAUGUCAAUGCGAGGAGUAGGGAUUGCCAUGCAACAGAUGCACUAAGAGCUAUAAGUGUAUGAAAGCUCAACAAAAGAAACUAAGUGGGUGUGCAUCCAACUUGCUUGCUCAUGAAGACCUAGGGCAUUUGAGGAAGCCCAUCGUUGGAAUAUACAAGCCAAGUUUUAUAAUGAAAAUUCCCACUAGUAUAUGAAAGUGACAACAUAGGAGACAAUCUAUAUGAAAGUUUAUUAGCCCUCGAAGCAAAGUACUACUACGCAUGUGAAGGAAAUAUGCCCUAGAGGCAAUAAUAAAGUUAUUAUUUAUUUACUCAUAUCAUGAUAAAUGUUUAUUAUUCAUGUUAGAAUUGUAUUAACUGGAAACAUGAUACAUGUGUGAAUACACAGACAAACAUAUAGUCACUAGUAUGCCUCUACUUGACUAGCUCAUUAAUCAAAGAUGGUUAUGUUUCCUAACCAUAGACAUGUGUUGUCAUUUGAUUAAUGGGAUCACAUCAUUAGGAGAAUGAUGUGAUUGACAUGACCCAUUCCGUUAGCCUAGCACUUGAUCGUUUAGUAUAUUGCUAUUGCUUUCUUCAUGACUUAUACAUGUUCCUGUAACUAUGAGAAUUAUGCAACUCCCGUUUACCGGAGGAACACUUUGGGUACUACCAAACGUCACAACGUAACUGGGUGAUUAUAAAUGAGUACUACAGGUGUCUCCGAAGGUACAUGUUGAGUUGGCGUAUUUCGAGAUAAGGUUUUGUCACUCCGAUUAUCGGAGAGGUAUCUCUGGGCCCUCUCGGUAAUGCACAUCAUUAUAAGCCUUGCAAGCAAUGUGACCAAAUGAGUUGGUUACGAGAUGAUGCAUUACGGAACGAGUAAAGAGACUUACUGGUAACGAGAUUGAACUAGGUAUUGGAUACCGACGAUCAAAUCUCGGGCAAGUAACAUACCGAUGACAAAGGGAACAACGUAUGUUGUUAUGCAGUUUGACCGAUAAAGAUCUUCAUAGAAUAUGUAGGAACCAAUAUGGGCAUCCAGGUUCCGCUAUUGGUUAUUGACCGAGAAUAGUUCUAGGUCAUGUCUACAUAGUUCUCGAACCCGUAGGGUCCGCACGCUUAACGUUACGAUGACAGUUUUAUUAUGAGUUUAUAAGUUUUUAUGUACCGAAGUUUGUUCGGACUCCCGGAUGUGAUCACGAACGUAACGAGGAGUCUCGAAAUGGUCGAGACAUAAAGAUCGAUAUAUUGGAAGCCUAUAUUUGGACAUCGGAAUCGUUCCGGGUGAAAUCGGCAUUUUACCGGAGUACCGGGAGGUUACCGGAACCCCCCGGGGGGUUAUUGGGCCUACAUGGGCCUCGAGGGAGAAGAGGGAAGGAGGCAGGAGGGGGCCGCACGCCCCUCCCCUUCCUAGUCCGAAUAGGACAAGGGAAAGGGGGCGGCGCCCCUCCCUUUCCUUCCCCUCUUCCUCCUCUUUCCCCUUCUCCUAUUCCAACUAGGAAAGAAGGGAGUCCUACUCUCGGUGGGAGUAGGACUCCCCCCUUGGCGCGCCCUCCUUGGCCGGCCGCCUCCUCCCCCCUGGCUCCUUUAUAUACGGGGGCGGGGGGCACCCCAUAGACACACAAGUUGAUCUACGGAUCGUUCCUUAGCCGUGUGCGGUGCCCCCUUCCACCAUAUUCCACCUCGGUCAUAUCGUUGCGGAGUUUAGGAGAAGCCCUGCACCGAUAGAACAUCAUCAUCGUCACCAUGCCAUCGUGCUGAUGGAACUCAUCUUCGGAGCUUUGCUGGAUCGGAGCCCGGAGAUCGUCAUUGAGCUGAACGUGUGCUGAACUCGGAGGUGCCGUACGUUCGGUGCUUGGAUCGGUCGGAUCGUGAAGACGUAUGACUACAUCAACCGCGUUGUGCUAAUGCUUCCGCUUAUGGUAUACGAGGAUACGUGGACGAAUACUCUCCCCUCUCAUUGCUAUUCCAUCACCAUGAUCUUGCGUGUGCGUAGGAAUUUUUUUGAAAUUACUACGUUCCCCAACAGUGGCAUCCGAGCCUAGGUUUUAUGCGUUGAUGUUAUUUGCACGAGUAGAACACAAGUGAGUUGUGGGCGAUACAAGUCAUACUGCUUACCAGCAUGUCAUACUUUGGUUCGGCGGUAUUGUUGGAUGAAGCGGCCCGGACCGACAUUACGCGUACGCUUACGCGAGACUGGUUUUACCGCCGUGCUUUGCACACAAGUGACUAGCGGGUGUCUGUUUCUCCAACUUUAGUUGAACCGAGUGUGGCUACGCCCGGUCCUUGCGAAUGUUAAAAUAGCACCAACUUGACGAACUAUCGUUGUGGUUUUGAUGCGUAGGUAAGAACGGUUCUUGCUCAGCCCGUAGCAGCCACGUAAAACUUGCAACAACAAAGUAGAGGACGUCUAACUUGUUUUUGCAGGGCAUGUUGUGAUGUGAUAUGGUCAAGAGGUGAUGCUAUAUAUUAUUGUAUGAGAUGAUCAUGUUUUGUAACCAAAGUUAUCGGCAACUGGCAGGAGCCAUAUGGUUGUCGCUUUAUUGUAUGAAAUGCAAACGCCCUGUAAUUGCUUUACUUUAUCUCUAAGCGGUAGCGAUAGUCGUAGAAGCAAUAGAUGGCGUAACGACAACGAUGCUACGAUGGAGAUCAAGGUGUCGCGCCGGUGACGAUGGUGAUCACGACGGUGCUUCGAAGAUGGAGAUCACAAGCACAAGAUGAUGAUGGCCAUAUCAUAUCACUUAUAUUGAUUGCAUGUGAUGUUUAUCCUUUAUGCAUCUUAUCUUGCUUUGAUUGACGGUAGCAUUUUAAGAUGAUCUCUCACUAAUAAUCAAGAAGUGUUCUCCCUGAGUAUGCACCGUUGCGAAAGUUCUUCGUGCUGAGACACCACGUGAUGAUCGGGUGUGAUAGGCUCUACGUUCAAAUACAACGGGUGCAAAACAGUUGCACACGCGGAAUACUCAGGUUAAACUUGACGAGCCUAGCAUAUACAGAUAUGGCCUCGGAACACGGAGACCGAAAGGUCGAGCGUGAAUCAUAUAGUAGAUAUGAUCAACAUAUUGAUGUUCACCGUUGAAACUACUCCAUCUCACGUGAUGAUCGGAUAUGGUGUAGUUGAUAUGGAUCACAUAAUCACUUAGAGGAUUAGAGGGAUGUCUUUCUAAGUGGGAGUUCUUAAGUAAUAUGAUUAAUUGAACUUUAAUUUAUCAUGAACUUAGUCCUGGUAGUAUUUUGCAAAUUAUGUUGUAGAUCAAUAGCUUGCGUUGUUGCUUUCAUUUGUUUAUUUUGAUAUGUUCCUAGAGAAAAUUGUGUUGAAAGAUGUUAGUAGCAAUGAUGCGGAUUGGAUCCGAGAUCUGACGUUUAUCCUCAUUGCUGCAUAGAAGAAUUAUGUCCUUGAUGCACCGCUAGGUGACAGACCUAUUGCAAGAGCAGAUGCAGACAUUAUGAACGUUUGGAUAGCCCAAUAUGAUGACUACUUGAUAGUUUUGUGCACCAUGCUUUAUGGCUUAGAAUCGGGACUUCAAAGACGUUUUGAACGUCAUGGACCAUAUGAGAUGUUCCAGAGGUUAAAGUUAAUAUUUCAAGCAAAUACCCGAGUUGAGAGAUAUGAAGUCUCCAACAAGUUCUAUAGCUAAAAGAUGGAGGAGAAUCGCUCAACUUGUGAGCAUGUGCUCAGAUUGUCUGGGUACUACAAUCGCUUGAAUCAAGUGGGAGUUAAUCUUCCAGAUAAGAUAGUGAUUGACAGAAUUCUCUAGUCACCACCACCAAGUUAGUAGAACUUCAUGAUGAACUAUAAUGCAAGGGAUGACGAAAAUGAUUCCCGAGCUCUUCGUGAUGCUGAAAUCAACGAAGGUAGAAAUCAAGAAAGAGCAUCAAGUGUUGAUGAUUGACAAGACCACUAGUUUCAAGAAAAAGGGCAAAGUGAAAGAAAGGGAACUUCAACAAGAAUGGCAAGCAAGUUUUCACUCCCGCGAAGAAGCCCAGAGCUGGACCAAAGCCUGAAACUGAGUGAUUAUACUGCAAAGGAAAUGGUCACUAGAAGCGGAAAUGCCUUGAAUAUUUGGUGGAUAAGAAGGAUGGCAAAGUGAACAAGGGUAUAUUUGAUGUACAUGUUAUUGAUGUGUACCUUACUAGUGUUUAUAACCCCUGAGUAUUUGAUACUUGUUCGGUUGCUAAGAUUAGUAACUCGAAACAGGAGUUACACAAUAAACAGAAACUAGUUGAGGGUGAAGUGACGAUGUGUGUUGGAAGUGGUUCCAAGAUUGAUAUGAUCAUCAUCGCACACUCCCUAUACUUUCAAGAUUAGUGUUGAACCUAAAUAAAUGUUAUUUGGUGUUUGCGUUGAGCAUGAAUAUGACUUGAUCAUGUUUAUUGCAAUACGGUUAUUCAUUUAAAAUCAGAGAAUAAUUGUUUUUCUGUUUAAAUGAAUAAAACAUUUGAUGGUCAUACACCCAAUGAAAAUAGUUUGUUACAUCUCGAUCGUAGUGAUACACAUAUUCAUAAUAUUGAUGCCAAAAGAUGCAAAGUUGAUAAUGAUAGUGCAACUUAUUUGUGGCACUGCCGUUUGGGUCAUAUCGGUAUAAAGCGCAUGAAGAAACUCCAUAAAGAUGGAUUUUCGGAAUCACUUGGUUAUGAAUCAUUUGAUGCUUGCGAACCGUGCCUUUUGGGCAAGAUGACUAAAAACUCCGUUCUCCGGAACAAUGGAACAAGCUACUGACUUAUUGGAAAUAAUACAUACCGAUGUAUGCGAUCCAAUGAGUGUUGAUGCUCGUGGCAAGUAUCGUUAUUUUCUGACCUUCACAAAAUGAUUUGAGCAGAUAUGGGUAUAUCUACUUGAUGAAACAUAAGUCUGAAAUAAUUGAAAGGUUCAAAGAAUUUCAGAGUGAAGUGGAAAAAUCAUCGUAACAAGAAAAUAAAGUUUUUGCGAUCUGAUCGCGGAGACGAAUAUUUGAGUUACGAGUUUGGUCUUCAAUUAAAACAAUGUGCAAUAGUUUCACAGCUCACGCCACCUAGAACACCACAACGUUAUGGUGUGUCCGAACAUCGUAACCGCACUUUAUUGGAUAUGGUGCGAUCUAUGAUGUCUCUUAUCGGUUUUACCACUAUCGUUUUGGGGUUGUGCAUUAGAGACAACUGCAUUCACAUUUAAAAGGGCACCAUCUAAAUCCGUUGAGACGACACCGUAUGAACUAUGGUUUAGCAGUAAACCUAAGCUGUCGUUUCUUAAAGUUUGGAGUUGCGAUGCUUAUAUGAAAAAGUUUCAACCUGAUAAGCUCAAACCCAAAUCGGAAAAGUGCAUCUUCAUAGAAUACCCAAAGUUAAUUGUUGGGUACACCUUCUAUCACAAAUCCGAAGGCAAGAUAUUCGUUGCUAAGAUGGAUCCUUUCUAGAGAAGAAGUUUCUGUCGAAAGAAGUGAGUGGGAGGAAAGUAGAACUUGAUGAGGUAAUUGUACCUUCUCCCUUAUUGGAAAGUAGUUCAUCACAGAAAUCAGUUCCAGUGAUUCCUACACCAAUUAGUGAGGAAGUUAAUGAUGAUGAUCAUGAAACUUCAGAUCAAGUUGCUACCAAACCUCGUAGGUCUUCCAGAGUAAGAUCCGCACCAGAGUGGUACGGUAAUCGUGUUCUGGAAGUCAUGUUACUAGACCAUGAUGAACCUACGAACUAUGAGGAAGCGAUGAUGAGCCCAGAUUCCGCAAAAUGGUUUGAGGCCAUGAAAUCUGAGUUGGGAUCCAUGUAUGAGAACAAAGUGUGGACUUUGGUGGACUUGCCCGAUGAUCGGCAAGCCAUAGAAAAUAAAUGGAUCUUCAAGAGGAAGACGGACGCUGAUAGUAGUGUUACUAUCUACGAAGCUAGACUUGUCGAAAAGGUUUUUGACAAAGUUCAAGGUGUUGAAUACAAUGAGAUUUUCUCACUCGUAUCGAUACUUAAAAGUCUGUCCGAAUCAUGUUAGCAAUUGCCACAUUUUAUGAAAUUUGGCAAAUGGAUGUCAAAACUACAUUCCUUAUGGAUUUAUUAAAGAAGAGUUGUAUAUGAUACAACCAGAAGGUUUUGUCAAUCCUAAAGGUGCUAACAAAAUAUGCAAGCUCCAGCGAUCCAUCUAUGGACUGGUGCAAGCAUCUCAGAGUUGGAAUAUACGCUUUGAUAAGUUGAUCAAAGCAUAUAGUUUUAUACAGACUUGCGGUGAAGCCUGUAUUUACAAGAAAGUGAGUGGGAGAACUACAACAUUUCUCAUAAGUAUAUGUGAAUGACAUAUUGUUGAUCGGAAAUAAUGUAGAAUUAUUCUGCAAAGCAUAAAGGAGUGUUUGAAAGGAGUUCUUUAAAAGAAAGACCUCGGUAAAGCUGCUUACACAUUGAGCAUCAAGAUCUAUAUAGAUAGAUCAAGACGCUUGAUAAGAUUUUUCAAUGAAUACAUACCUUGAUAAAUUUUUGAAAUAGUUCAAAAUGGAAUAGUCAAAGAAGGAGUUCUUGCCUGUGUUGCAAGGUGUGAGGUUGAGUAAGACUCAAGACCCGACCAUGGCAGAAAAUAGAAAGAGAAUGAAAAGUCAUUCCCUAUGCCUCAGUCAUAGGUUCUAUAAAGUAUGCUAUGCUGUGAACCAGACCUAUUGUAUACCUUGCUCUGAGUUUGACAAAGGAAUACAAUUUUGAUCUAAUAGUAGAUCACUGGAUAGCGGUCAAGAAUAUCCUUAGUGAGGACUAAGGAGAUGUUUCUCGAUUAUGGAGGUGAUAAAAGAGUUUGUUGUAAAAGUUACAUCGGUGCAAACUUUUACACUGAUCCAGAUGACUCUAAGUCUCAAACUGGAUACAUAUUGAAAGUGGGAGCAAUUAAGCUAGAGUAGCUCCAUGCAGAGCAUUGAAGACAUAGAAUGUUUGCAAAAUACAUACGGCUCUGAAUGUGACAGACCCGUUGACUAAGCUUCUCUCACGAGCAAAACAUGAUCACACCUUAGUACACUUUGGGUGUUAAUCACAUAGCGAUGUGAACUAGAUUAUUGACUCUAGUAACCCCUUUGAGUAUUGGUCACAUAACAAUGUGAACUAUGUUAAUCAUAUACAGAUAUGAAUAUUGGUGUUAAAUCACAUGGCGAUGUGAACUAGAUUAUUGACUCUAGUGCAAGUGGGAGACUGAAGGAAAUAUGCCCUAGAGGCAAUAAUAAAGUUAUUAUUUAUUUCCUCAUAUCAUGAUAAAUGUUUAUUAUUCAUGCUAGAAUUGUAUUAACCGGAAACAUGAUACAUGUGUGAAUACAUAGACAAACAUAUAGUCACUAGUAUGCCUCUACUUGACUAGCUCAUUAAUCAAAGAUGGUUAUGUUUCCUAACCAUAUACAUGUGUUGUCAUUUGAUUAAUGGGAUAACAUCAUUAGGAGAAUGAUGUGAUUGACAUGACCCAUUCCGUUAGCCUAGCACUUGAUCAUUUAGUAUAUUGCUAUUGCUUUCUUCAUGACUGAUACAUGUUCCUGUAACUAUGAGAAUUAUGCAACUCCCGUUUACCGGAGGAACACUUUGGGUACUACCAAACGUCACAACGUAACUGGGUGAUUAUAAAGGAGUACUACAGGUGUCUCCGAAGGUACAUGUUGAGUUGGCGUAUUUCGAGAUUAGGUUUUGUCACUCCGAUUAUCGGAGAGGUAUCUCUGGGCCCUCUCGGUAAUGCACAUCAUUAUAAGCCUUGCAAGCAAUGUGACCAAAUGAGUUGGUUACGAGAUGAUGCAUUAUGGAACGAGUAAAGAGACUUACCAGUAACGAGAUUGAACUAGGUAUUGGAUACCGACAAUCAAAUCUCGGGCAAGUAACAUACCGAUGACAAAGGGAACAAUGUCACAUCCCUAGCUUCUGGCGUUGCUCUAGCCUAGCUUCAUGUGUGCAUCAUGUCUAUAUUUUGAAACUUGAAUUGAGGAAUUAUUGGAAGCCUCAAAACCCUAAAUAAAAGAGGGGCAAAAACCCUAGAAAUCUUAUUCAUUGCCCCAAAAGGCUCUUCUUAAAUGUUUGAUAAUUUUUGGUAAGGGUUCUGGUCCCAACCAAAAUAUUGAACAUUUUUAAGGAUUUAUUUUUGGGACUUUGAAUUUAAAUCAUUAGCUAUUUGAACUUGAAUUAUAUUCAUAUAAUUAGAAUAUAAUUUCAAAUAUCCCUGAAUUAUUUUAUGAGCUUUUGGAAAAGUCCAUCUAGCAAAAUAAAAAUAUUCAGAGGAGUUUUGGCAUUGUUUGAAUUAUUUUUAAAUUCAAACAAUGGCAAAAGAUAUUAAAAUAAAACAGAACAAAAUAGAAAACAGAAAUAUAAAACAAAACAGAAGAGAGAAGCCCAGCUUACCUGGCGCCACGAGCCGGCCCAGCUCCCCCCCCCCUGGCCGGCCCAGCCCACCAGCGCCUCCCCUGUCGCCUUCCUCCUCUGCCAGGAGGACGGGCACGCGCCCGGCGCGCGCGGCCACGCGCCCCGGCCACCUCCUCCCUGCUUCGGCCACCUCCUGCCUCCCUGCUUGCCUCCACUACUCCCUGGAGACGCCACGCGGCCCCACGAACUCCCUCACUCUCUCCCGAGCUCUCCCCCCUCCUCUGUUUCUCUCUCCCUCUCGUGCCGAGCGCAGCCGUCGCCACCGACGCUGUUCGCCGCGGCCACCGGCCACCCCUCGCCUCGCCGAUGCCUCUAGAAGAACCGCCGCGCCUUCUUCUUCGUCUCCACCAACCCAUGUGACGCCGGAAGCCUCGGAGCGCCGUCCCCGACGUCUUCUUCCUCCUCGGGCCACCGAGAUCGCCGGUGACCUCCCGUCGUCACCAGCCCCUCCCCGAGCUCGCUGACCUCCUCUACGGCACCGCUGUGAGCUCCUACGCCUCCCCUCCCUCUUUCCCCCUUCGAUUGCGCCCUGUAGCCCCGAUCCCACCGGAGCCGCGAGCUCGGCUCCGCCGGCGGUGUCGCCGCCGUCACUGCAGACAGCAAGGCUCGAAACCGAGCACGGCACCGUGCUCCUAGCAUCCUCAGGAGCUCGGCGAGCCCCUUAACCAUCCCUCCCGUCCUCUGUGGCCUCGCCCCGCUUGAACCCGAAGCUCCGGUCGCCGCCGCGGGUCCCGUUCCGGUGAGCUCGGGCCACCUCAGCCCCUGCCGCUUGCACAAAUGGAUGCGGGCGACUCCCAGCUACGCGUAGAGCCCCUCAGUCGCCGUUUUGGUCGCCGAAGGAGCGUUUCCGACGCCCUCCGCCGUUGCUGGCGUCGCCGGCGACAAGCCGCGGGUCAACUCCGGCGGGUUUGACCCGGGGUUUGACCCCCUGACGUGUGGGCCCAGGCGCCUGCUUAAUUAGUAUUAGGUUAAUUAGUGUUAAUUAAUUUAGUUAAUUAGGUGAGCCACUGACAUGCGGGCCCCGCCCGGCUAACUAAGUUAGUUAGGGCUAACUAACCCGGUUAGUUGACUGGGUCACUGACCAGUGGACCCCACUGGUCAGGUUUGACCUGGAGGCGCCCUGUUGACCUGCUGACGUCAUCAUGACGUCAGGCUGAUGCAGUAAUUGUUUUCUGGAGUUUUAAAUAAAUCAGAAAUGAUUUAUUAAAUUCAGAAAAUGCCCUAAACUUCAAUAAAUCAUAGAAAAUUAACCGUAAGUCCAAAUUUAAUAAAUUAUAUAUGAAAAAUUAUCAGAAAAAUUCAAGGAAUCCAUCUGUACCAUUUUCAUGCAUGUUAGAACAACUUAUAGGUGCUGUUUAGCACAAAUCAUAUAAAGGGCAUUUAAAUAAUCACAUAUGGAGUUUGAAUUUGAAUCUUGUAUUCAAACCAACCUCAUUUAAUCUGUUGCUAGUUGCAUUAGCUCAAAACACAUUCAUCUUGCCAUGUCAUGAUCAUGCAUCAUAUUGUGCAUUGCAUUGAUUGUGUUUUCUGUGUUGCCGGUAUCUGUCCCCUCUCGAUAGACGAGAUACCCGAUGAUGUGAUCGUUGACACUGAUGAAGACUCAAUGUUACCUUCAGAAGUGCCAGGCAAGCAAAACCCCCUUGUUCAUUCCGAUACAAUCCCACUCUCUCGCUCCUGCUCUCUUUUACUGCAUUAGGACAACAACGACAUAUUUGUUACUUGCUGCGGUAGUUGAACCCCUUUAUCCUUUGCAUGACCUGUCAUUGCCACAGUAAAUAGAUGAAACCCACUAGCAUGAGUAGGAGUUGUUUGAGCCCUAAUGUGCCUACUCAUACGUGCUUGUUUGUCAUGCCUGCUACUGCUUAGAGUUGAGUCAGGUCUGAUUCAUCGGGGAUGAAUCAGAGGCGUGUGAACAUGUCCCCAUGUGUGUAAGCUAAGUGUGUGAACACGUUUUGGUAAAGGUAGCGGUGAGAGGCCAUGUAGGAGUACAUGGUGGGUUGUCUCAUUGCAGCCGUCCUUAGGAACUGAGUUCUGUGUUUGUGAUCCAUGACCAGCUACUACCACACAUUGGAAUGCUUAAGUGCCCCUCUCGACUUAUUAAUCAACAUGAUCUCUGUCCAGGAGUUGCAACUAGUUUCUGGUGUUUGUAGGUAGUGUUAGUAGUCUACCAAGUGGCACCCGGUACAGGUGGGCUUGGGACAGACUAGGCACCGUGGCACGGUGUACCAAGUGGCACCCGGUUGGUGGGCUUGGGAACCCUGCACACAUCGUUUGGGGCCGUGAGCGACACCCCGGCCGGAUCUCCUUGCGGAUGGAACCCGAAUAGGCGAUAAACCUGGACUAGAGACUUGUUCGGUUAGUCAGGUCGUGGCCGACUCCCUCGCCCGGCUUCCGCUUGAAGGUUGCCGAGGUACAUGACGUGUACAGGGCGAUAAGUGGCGAAAGCGUGUGUGAAGAAGUACACCCCUGCAGGGUUAACACCAUCUAUUCGAAUAGCCGGAUUCCUCGGAUAUGGAAACGUGGACCCCUUAUAUCAGUUCAUAGACAAGUGAAAGUGGAUACUCUAAAAUACGCAAGAUAAGCGUGAGUGCUAUGGAUGGCGUUCUCGUAGGGAGACGGGAGCGGAUCCAUAGUGGUGUAUUGGUUGGUGAAUAUGUGGACUCGUGUGCGCCACCUCAAAAGAGUCGCUUGCAGUCGUAGUUCAGGAUAGCCACCGAGUCAAAGCUGGCUUGCUGCAGUCAAACCCUACCAUCCCCUUUGUUGAUAAUGAUGCAUAUGUAGAUAGUUCUGAUGUAAGUCUUGCUGGGUACAUUUGUACUCACGUUUGCCUAUUUUAUGUUUUUGCAGAGAGACUUCAGUCUCACUAGUAGUUCCGCUUGGACUUCGACGUUUAGCUUGAUACCUCAGCUACGAUCUUGUGCCCUCGGCAGGAUCUGGUAGAUAGUCAGGCUUCUCAGCCUUUUUCAUUUAUAGAUGUCUGUACUCAGACAUGAUAGCUUCCGCUUGUGCUUUGACUUGUAUGCUCUGAUUGUUGGGUCAUGAGACCCAUGUUUGUAAUAUCUCGCUCCUCGGAGCCUAUUGAGUAAACUACUUGAGUCGUAGAGUCAUUUUGUGAUGCCAUGUUGUAUUGCACAUAUCGAGCAUAUUGUGUGUAUGUUAUUGAAAUGCUUGGUAUGUGUGGGAUCUGACCAUCUAGUUGUUUAUCUUUAGUAGCCUCUCUUACCGGGAAAUGUCUCCUAGUGUUUCACUGAGCCAUGGUAGCUUGCUACUGCUCCGGAACACUUAGGCUGGCCGGCAUGUGUCCUUCUUCGUUCCUGUGUCUGUCCCUUCGGGGAAAUGUCACGCGAUGAAUACCGGAGUCCUGUUAGCCCGCUACAGCCCGGUUCACCGGAGUCCUGCUAGCCCAGUGCUACAGCCCGGACCCACUCGCUGAUGACCGACACGUUCGAUGCUGGGUCAUGGAUGCCUGUCCCUGUAAGUCUGUGCCACUUUGGGUUUACGACUAGUCAUGUCAGCCCGGGCUCCUUAUCAUAUGGAUGCUAGCGACACUAUCAUAUACGUGAGCCAAAAGGCGCAAACGGUCCCGGGCAAAGGUAAGGCGACACCCGUGGGGAUACCGUGCGUGAGGCCGCAAAGUGAUAUGAGGUGUUACCGGCUAGAUCGAUGUGACAUCGAGUCGGGGUCCUGACAGCGUUGGUAUCAGAGCUUGACUGCCUGUAGGAUUACCAAGCCAAACUGGUCGAAGUUGAGUCUAGAAAUUCCUUAGUUAUAUAAGGGAAUUGAUUGUGGGAUGGAACGUAAGGCUCUUUUACUCCUUAUACCUUAUGCCCUUCCGAUCUGAGUCAUCAUCUUAUCUUCUACGGGGAUUAAGAACUAGGCUAUCUCUUCUUUCUAUCAGGAUCACGUGUUACUAAUCCGUAGACUUAUAAGAUUGUUGAUUCAAGCCUCAGUUCAGCUCCUACUAUCUUCUGUAUGUUAAUUGUUGAUCUCCAAACCUUGAUAUUGUGCUUCUGAGUGGUUAUGCCACCAUUUUUGUGAAUGUCUCAAAUCUUUUCUGAGCAUUUACAGCCGUUAUGCUGUCCGAGUCAUUCCAGGUUUCUAAAUAGUCUGAUGCAUUUGCAAAUCCUUUCCCUCUGGUUUCGAUGCUCCUUUAUGCCAGCUCAAUCACACUAAUUGUUGAGUUGAGGUAUUCUAUUGCCUUGACAUUAUGUUGGAGUUACUAUUAUGGCCCUAGGUGUUUAGGGAGUCACCUAGUAAUCUAGCAAUGUUUUGUGAUCCCAGUGUGAUGAUUCUGGCUUCUAUUCUCGAAAGCAUCCCGUGAUGUUAUUAGUUAGUAGGCAUUCUGUUCCUGGGGUUUUGAACCCGAGAUUCACUCUACCUACUUCAUGUUGAUAGCAAUUGCUAGUGCCUUUAGGAUAUUAGUAACCUUUGCGAUAGUCCUUGAAGUCCGUGGUAUCUUCUUCUUCCAAAUACGAUGAACUACUUAUGGCAGAUGUUUAUUGGAUGAAAAAAGAUCACAAUUAGAGUACUCUUGAGGAGAUCUCCACUCAUAAAUCGUGACUCUGCCAGUUCUACCUUUCUGCAUGGGUUAUCCGGAAGAAAUAUGUUGAACUUGGUUCGACAUACUAAUCUAUGCAUCCACAACUCAGAAAGUUAUAUGUUCCUUUGAGUUGUUCUCUUUAGUUGCAUUCUGACCCUCGUCUAUCAAUUGAUAGUCAAGAGUAUGCGUGCGUUCGUUCAUCGAUGCCUAUGACUCUUGUGGUCUGUCAAGCCAUUCUAUUCCGGAAUGACUAGGAGAAACAAACUCCAGUACCUCUUCCAUAUCCAGGAUUGGGUCAAAGAAGUUGUGCUCCGCAGAUCAAAUUGCUAAUCCAGCUUUUGUUCUGUUCUACCUUGGAGUAUUACCAUCUUUAAAUCGGGAUUGUUAUAGGAAUUGCACACCAUCCUAUGAACUCCUGGUACAGUGAUACUUCUUGUCGUCAUUAGUCAUUCCUCGGUCUUCGUGUUGAUGCAACCGGAAUACCGACAAAUGAAUUGUGAUGCGUGAAAUCAAUACGCCUAGCAACCUCGUUGCUGGGUAGUUAAAAGACAAUAAUUUUAUUCUUAGUGUGUUGGUUAUUGAAUCAUCAUUCUAAGAUUGAUCGUGCUACCUAGUCCAUUCUCCUGGUUCACUCCUCGAUCGAUGAGUUGGGAUUAUUUCAAAUUCUUGCUCUAUUGAUCAUAUCGUCUUGCCCUGAAAAGCAAGAUUGUUCUCGAGCUUAGUAACAUACCGGUGGCUCGUGAUUUUCUGAAUAUCUUCUCAGAAGUAUUACCAGGUUGUCACCUGACCGCUAUGUUGAGCUCGUGAUCAAGUUGGUUUCUUGUGAACCAUCCUUCUCCAAGAAUCGGUGUUAGAUAUCCCUGAGCUAGUUGGUUAAGCUAGACAACAACUUGGAGAGUUGGAAGAUAAAAGCUUGUCUGACUUAGUUCGUUCCAAAGGGAUAUUCUUGUGUAGUGUGUGUUGAAGAAAGAUGAUAUCUUCAUCGAUUGGUCCCUGUGAUCAGUUGCUAGACCUAUUGUCUUAUCAACCCUUUGAUUUGAGUGUGGGCUAUCGUCAAAUCAAGUCAGAACCAACGAUGUUCGUAAUGUUGUCUUACUCGUGGUUGAUCCCUCGAGCAUACACCAUUAUAUCUUUUGGGGCUGACCAAUGCUAUCACCGUGUUCACACGAUGGUGGAAGUCCAGUGAUAUGGAAAUUCCGAUGAGUUGUUGUUGAGCCCAUUGACAACAUUCUUAUCUCCUCCAUGAUGUUGUUGAACAUUAAGUUAGUGUUGGAAACUUUUGAAAGCAUCUUCUUCAUGCUAGCUCAUGAAGUAUCUUCUUCAUGCUAGCUCAUGAAGUACUUGUUUGAUGAAAGGAGUGACUUCCUUGAUUCACGUGCAUUUUGAUGUAAGUUGCUGUCGUGAACUCGAGAAGGUUUGUUUUUGCCUCCUCUGGAACCAUCCCAAGUCAGUUAUGCACGUGCGAAGUAUUCUGUGGUUUGAUAGACUGAUCAUCUUCAUUCCAUAUGUGUAUCCUAGCACAUCAAGCCACCGACUGAUUUGUUCAAGGAGAAGGAGUAUCUUCAUAAGAGCUAAUCCGGACUUAUGAAAGAACUUUGAUAUCCUCGAUGAUGGCUCCCAACCAGAACUCGGUAGUAUUUUAUUGUAAGACUACCAUGUGGGCAUGCUUGUCUGGAACAACGUGUUCACAUGUUUGUAGCAGAACCAGCUCAUGUUUUGGAGCUUGCUAUCGUAGUUCAUUUCCUGAGAAUCUCGCAACGUCAUCUCGUCGAUUUGUGUUGCAAACUUUCAUUUUUCCUCCUAGACUCGAUGAGUCUGGAAUAUCCUGACACCAACCAGAUCUGGGUCUCAGGCAGAUAUGAUGGUUGGAACAUUUCCCAAGAACUAUAAUAUUGGUCCCUCGAUAACCGGUAAAGUGGAUGUCGUGGCCAACACACCCCACCGGAAGACCUAUUAUUGCAGUAUCUUGGUUGAGGAAGUUGGCCACCUCCCCAUAAGGAUUUCGUAGGAUUUACCUCCGUAACUGUUCCUUAUGGAUUCUAUUGCUCCCGAAGUCCGACCUUUUACUUGAUGUUCUAGAUAUCAAACCAUAUCUAUGGGUGUAUUACGCUAGCACAUUAAGGAGAACAUUAGAAGCGGAGUGCUAAAUGUCUCUCGGUCGUUCAUCCAGAUUUUAUUUGCUUGGCCUCGCUAAGGUGAAAUCUGAGAAAGUGUUAUCCUCCUUCGCAUCUGCAUCCUCCAUCACCAUUCAUCAUGGUAGCAAGUUGUGUUGCCAGGAUCCUUGACACGGAUGUUGGUAAAACUUUGAUGAAUAUGGAAAUGCUCAAGUUCUUGAGAGCACGCACAAGCGCUACGUGUUAUCAUCGGCACUAACCGAGGUUGCUCUCAGUUUCCUCGGCAAUGCUAUGAUCUUUCAAACAUAGAAUCCACUCUCUUUGUUGGGUUCUUCCCUAGUUACCAGAAUCAUUCCAGCAUUUGCAUUUUGUUCCCAGCUUGCACCACCAAUGUGCCAUUCUACCAUGGGUCUCUUCCAUCUCCGGUGAUGAGGAAAUUCAUCCAUUACGUUGUCUUCAACAAGGUAAUCCACAUCAUUCAAGUCCGAGUAUGCCAUUCUACUGACCCCCUCCAAACGAUCGUUGUGAAUUGCCUUAUGCUGGUAUGAAGAGUUUCAAUGAUCUCCGAAUCAAAAGUAAUUCUUUUUGCCACUUAAGGAAAUAUCUCUACGAGUCACCUUCCCUAAGGUGUAUCGUUAUGGUAUUAAGACAAUUCAACUCCUCGCUACGUUAACAAUCGAUUACCACCUUCUUAAGUGUGGAAUUGUUGUCUACCUAGUGAACCUUCGUCAUCCGUUUCUUUCCACCCCUCUUGAUGUGUAUCUCGUGUCUCACCCGAGAGAUGGUUCUAAGUCUCAUUCCGUGAGUUAGUCCUGAGUUGUUCGACCUUCGAGAAGACCGAUCCUUUUAGAGUUUUCCUUUCCUCUUCUUGCCAUGAUUAGCUGAAGUUCUCAGAGCAAGACGACAAGACCAAGAUGGUGUUCAAAUCAACGUUCAACUGAAGUGCACCCUGGAUCGUGAAGAUUAUACUAGUUGCGUUUCCCCUUCACCUUACCCUACGCUUGAAUCUCGAGACGAGAUUCUUGUUUAGUGGGGGUGAGUUGUCACAUCCCUAGCUUCUGGCAUUGCUCUAGCCUAGCUUCAUGUGUGCAUCAUGUCUAUAUUUUGAAACUUGAAUUGAGGAAUUAUUGGAAGCCUCAAAACCCUAAAUAAAAGAGGGGCAAAAACCCUAGAAAUCUUAUUCAUUGCCCCAAAAGGCUCUUCUUAAAUGUUUGAUAAUUUUUGGUAAGGGUUCUGGUCCCAACCAAAAUAUUGAACAUUUUUAAGGAUUUAUUUUUGGGACUUUGAAUUUAAAUCAUUAGCUAUUUGAACUUGAAUUAUAUUCAUAUAAUUAGAAUAUAAUUUCAAAUAUCCCUGAAUUAUUUUAUGAGCUUUUGGAAAAGUCCAUCUAGCAAAAUAAAAAUAUUCAGAGGAGUUUUGGCAUUGUUUGAAUUAUUUUUAAAUUCAAACAAUGGCAAAAGAUAUUAAAAUAAAACAGAACAAAAUAGAAAACAGAAAUAUAAAACAAAACAGAAGAGAGAAGCCCAGCUUACCUGGCGCCACGAGCCGGCCCAGCUCCCCCCCCCCUGGCCGGCCCAGCCCACCAGCGCCUCCCCUGUCGCCUUCCUCCUCUGCCAGGAGGACGGGCACGCGCCCGGCGCGCGCGGCCACGCGCCCCGGCCACCUCCUCCCUGCUUCGGCCACCUCCUGCCUCCCUGCUUGCCUCCACUACUCCCUGGAGACGCCACGCGGCCCCACGAACUCCCUCACUCUCUCCCGAGCUCUCCCCCCCUCCUCUGUUUCUCUCUCCCUCUCGUGCCGAGCGCAGCCGUCGCCACCGACGCUGUUCGCCGCGGCCACCGGCCACCCCUCGCCUCGCCGAUGCCUCUAGAAGAACCGCCGCGCCUUCUUCUUCGUCUCCACCAACCCAUGUGACGCCGGAAGCCUCGGAGCGCCGUCCCCGAUGUCUUCUUCCUCCUCGGGCCACCGAGAUCGCCGGCGACCUCCCGUCGUCACCAGCCCCUCCCCGAGCUCGCUGACCUCCUCUACGGCACCGCUGUGAGCUCCUACGCCUCCCCUCCCUCUUUCCCCCUUCGAUUGCGCCCUGUAGCCCCGAUCCCACCGGAGCCGCGAGCUCGGCUCCGCCGGCGGUGUCGCCGCCGUCACUGCAGACAGCAAGGCUCGAAACCGAGCACGGCACCGUGCUCCUAGCAUCCUCAGGAGCUCGGAGAGCCCCUUAACCAUCCCUCCCGUCCUCUGUGGCCUCGCCCCGCUCGAACCCGAAGCUCCGGUCGCCGCCGCGGGCCCCGUUCCGGUGAGCUCGGGCCACCUCAGCCCCUGCCGCUUGCACAAAUGGAUGCGGGCGACUCCCAGCUACGCGUAGAGCCCCUCAGUCGCCGUUUUGGUUGCCGAAGGAGCGUUUCCGACGCCCUCCGCCGUUGCUGGCGUCGCCGGCGACAAGCCGCGGGUCAACUCCGGCGGGUUUGACCCGGGGUUUGACCCCCUGACGUGUGGGCCCAGGCGCCUGCUUAAUUAGUAUUAGGUUAAUUAGUGUUAAUUAAUUUAGUUAAUUAGGUGAGCCACUGACAUGCGGGCCCCGCCCGGCUAACUAAGUUAGUUAGGGCUAACUAACCCGGUUAGUUGACUGGGUCACUGACCAGUGGACCCCACUGGUCAGGUUUGACCUGGAGGCGCCCUGUUGACCUGCUGACGUCAUCAUGACGUCAGGCUGAUGCAGUAAUUGUUUUCUGGAGUUUUAAAUAAAUCAGAAAUGAUUUAUUAAAUUCAGAAAAUGCCCUAAACUUCAAUAAAUCAUAGAAAAUUAACCGUAACUCCAAAUUUAAUAAAUUAUAUAUGAAAAAUUAUCAGAAAAAUUCAAGGAAUCCAUCUGUACCAUUUUCAUGCAUGUUAGAACAACUUAUAGGUGCUGUUUAGCACAAAUCAUAUAAAGGGCAUUUAAAUAAUCACAUAUGGAGUUUGAAUUUGAAUCUUGUAUUCAAACCAACCUCAUUUAAUCUGUUGCUAGUUGCAUUAGCUCAAAACACAUUCAUCUUGCCAUGUCAUGAUCAUGCAUCAUAUUGUGCAUUGCAUUGAUUGUGUUUUCUGUGUUGCCGGUAUCUGUCCCCUCUCGAUAGACGAGAUACCCGAUGAUCUGAUCGUUGACACUGAUGAAGACUCAAUGUUACCUUCAGAAGUGCCAGGCAAGCAAAACCCCCUUGUUCAUUCCGAUACAAUCCCACUCUCUCGCUCCUGCUCUCUUUUACUGCAUUAGGACAACAACGACAUAUUUGUUACUUGCUGCGGUAGCUGAACCCCUUUAUCCUUUGCAUGACCUAUCAUUGCCACAGUAAAUAGAUGAAACCCACUAGCAUGAGUAGGAGUUGUUUGAGCCCUAAUGUGCCUACUCAUACAUGCUUGUUUGUCAUGCCUGCUACUGCUUAGAGUUGAGUCAGGUCUGAUUCAUCGGGGAUGAAUCAGAGGCGUGUGAACAUGUCCCCAUGUGUGUAAGCUAAGUGUGUGAACACGUUUUGGUAAAGGUAGCGGUGAGAGGCCAUGUAGGAGUACAUGGUGGGUUGUCUCAUUGCAGCCGUCCUUAGGAACUGAGUUCUGUGUUUGUGAUCCAUGACCAGCUACUACCACACAUUGGAAUGCUUAAGUGCCCCUCUCGACUUAUUAAUCAACAUGAUCUCUGUCCAGGAGUUGCAACUAGUUUCUGGUGUUUGUAGGUAGUGUUAGUAGUCUACCAAGUGGCACCCGGUACAGGUGGGCUUGGGACAGACUAGGCACCGUGGCACGGUGUACCAAGUGGCACCCGGUUGGUGGGCUUGGGAACCCUGCACACAUCGUUUGGGGCCGUGAGCGACACCCCGGCCGGAUCUCCUUGCGGAUGGAACCCGAAUAGGCGAUAAACCUGGACUAGAGACUUGUUCGGUUAGUCAGGUCGUGGCCGACUCCCUCGCCCGGCUUCCGCUUGAAGGUUGCCGAGGUACAUGACGUGUACAGGGCGAUAAGUGGCGAAAGCGUGUGUGAAGAAGUACACCCCUGCAGGGUUAACAUCAUCUAUUCGAAUAGCCGGAUUCCUCGGAUAUGGAAACGUGGACCCCUUAUAUCAGUUCAUAGACAAGUGAAAGUGGAUACUCUAAAAUACGCAAGAUAAGCGUGAGUGCUAUGGAUGGCAUUCUCGUAGGGAGACGGGAGCGGAUCCAUAGUGGUGUAUUGGUUGGUGAAUAUGUGGACUCGUGUGCGCCACCUCAAAAGAGUCGCUUGCAGUCGUAGUUCAGGAUAGCCACCGAGUCAAAGCUGGCUUGCUGCAGUCAAACCCUACCAUCCCCUUUGUUGAUAAUGAUGCAUAUGUAGAUAGUUCUGAUGUAAGUCUUGCUGGGUACAUUUGUACUCACGUUUGCCUAUUUUAUGUUUUUGCAGAGAGACUUCAGUCUCACUAGUAGUUCCGCUUGGACUUCGACGUUUAGCUUGAUACCUCAGCUACGAUCUUGUGCCCUCGGCAGGAUCUGGUAGAUAGUCAGGCUUCUCAGCCUUUUUCAUUUAUAGAUGUCUGUACUCAGACAUGAUAGCUUCCGCUUGUGCUUUGACUUGUAUGCUCUGAUUGUUGGGUCAUGAGACCCAUGUUUGUAAUAUCUCGCUCCUCGGAGCCUAUUGAGUAAACUACUUGAGUCGUAGAGUCAUUUUGUGAUGCCAUGUUGUAUUGCACAUAUCGAGCAUAUUGUGUGUAUGUUAUUGAAAUGCUUGGUAUGUGUGGGAUCUGACCAUCUAGUUGUUUAUCUUUAGUAGCCUCUCUUACCGGGAAAUGUCUCCUAGUGUUUCACCGAGCCAUGGUAGCUUGCUACUGCUCCGGAACACUUAGGCUGGCCGGCAUGUGUCCUUCUUCGUUCAUGUGUCUGUCCCUUCGGGGAAAUGUCACGCGAUGAAUACCGGAGUCCUGUUAGCCCGCUACAGCCCGGUUCACCGGAGUCCUGCUAGCCCAGUGCUACAGCCUGGAUUCACUCGCUGAUGACCGACACGUUCGAUGCUGGGUCAUGGAUGCCUGUCCCUGUAGGUCUGUGCCACUUUGGGUUUACGACUAGUCAUGUCAGCCCGGGCUCCUUAUCAUAUGGAUGCUAGCGACACUAUCAUAUACGUGAGCCAAAAGGCGCAAACGGUCCCGGGCAAAGGUAAGGCGACACCCGUGGGGAUACCGUGCGUGAGGCCGCAAAGUGAUAUGAGGUGUUACCGGCUAGAUCGAUGUGACAUCGAGUCGGGGUCCUGACAAACAACGUAUGUUGUUAUGCGGUUUGACCGAUAAAGAUCUUCGUAGAAUAUGUAGGAACCAAUAUGGGCAUCCAGGUUCUGCUAUUGGUUAUUGACCGAGAAUAGUUCUAGGUCAUGUCUACAUAGUUCUCGAACCCGCAGGGUCCGCACGCUUAACGUUACGAUGACAGUUUUAUUAUGAGUUUAUAAGUUUUGAUGUACUGAAGUUUGUUCGGAGUCCCGGAUGUGAUCACAGACGUAACGAGGAGUCUCUAAAUGGUCGAGACAUAAAGAUCGAUAUAUUGGAAGCCUAUAUUUGGACAUCGGAAUCGUCCCGGGUGAAAUCGGCAUUUUACCGGAGUACCGGGAGGUUACCGGAACCCCCCGGGGGGGUUAUUGGGCCUACAUGGGCCUCGAGGGAGAAGAGGGAAGGAGGCAGGAGGGGGCCGCACGCCCCUCCCCUUCCUAGUCCGAAUAGGACAAGGGAAAGGGGGCGGCGCCCCCCCCCCUUUCCUUCCCCUCUUCCUCCUCUUUCCCCCCUUCUCCUAUUCCAACUAGGAAAGAAGGGAGUCCUACUCCCGGUGGGAGUAGGACUCCCCCCUUGGCGCGCCCUCCUUGGCCGGCCGCCUCCUCCCCCCUGGCUCCUUUAUAUACGGGGCGGGGGGCACCCCAUAGACACACAAGUUGAUCUACGGAUCGUUCCUUAGCCGUGUGCGGUGCCCCCUUCCACCAUAUUCGACCUCGGUCAUAUCGUCGCGGAGUUUAGGCGAAGCCCUGUGCCGAUAGAACAUCAUCAUCAUCACCAUGCCGUCGUGCUGAUGGAACUCAUCUUCGGAGCUUUGCUGGAUCGGAGCCCGAAGAUCGUCAUUGAGCUGAACGUGUGCUGAACUCGGAGGUGCCGUACGUUCGGUGCUUGGAUCGGUCGGAUCAUGAAGACGUACGACUACAUCAACCGCGUUGUGCUAACGCUUCCGCUUACGGUCUACGAGGGUACAUGGACGAAUACUCUCCCCUCUCGUUGCUAUUCCAUCACCAUGAUCUUGCGUGUGCGUAGGAAUUUUUUUGAAAUUACUACGUUCCCCAACAGCAUGCCCCUAGGGGGAUAGAUUGGUAGGAAAGACCAUCGCUCGUCCCCGACGACCACUCAUAAGCAAGACAAUCAAAGAAACACCCCAUGCUUCAAAUUUGUCACACAACGUUUACCAUACGUGCAUGCUACGGGACUUGCAAACCUCAACACAAGUGUCUCUACAGUCCACAACCACCCACUACCAUGACUCUAAUAUCACCACCUUUAUAUCGCAAAACUAUUGUAAGGAAUCAAACAUAUCAUAUUCAGUGAUCUACAAGUUUAUGUAGGAUUUAUGACUAACCAUGUGAAUGACCAAUUCAUGUCAUCUCUCUAAAUUGAUAUAAGUGAAGCAAGAGAGUUUAAUUCUUUCUACAAAAGAUAUGCCCACGCUCUAACAAAUAUAAGUGAAGCAAAAGAGCAUUCUACAAAUGGCAGUUUUCUAUGUGAAGAGAAACAGGCAAUCCAAACUUCAAAUGAUAUAAGUGAAGCACAUGAAGCAUUCUAUAAAGCCAUACUCAAAAGAUUUAAGUGAGGUGCAAUGAGCAUUCUAUAAAUCAACCAAGGACUAUCUCAUACAAGCAUGGUGCAUAAAAUAAAAGUGAAAACUAAAUGCAAAAGACGCUCCAAGACUUGCACAUAAUGCAUGAACGAAACGAAUAUGAAAACAUACCGAUACUUGUUGAAGAAAGAGGGGAUGCCUUCCGGGGCAUCCCCAAGCUUAGACGCUUGAGUCUCCUUGAAUUAUUACUUGUGGUGCCUCGGACAUCCCCAAGAUUGAGCUCUUGCCUCUAUUCCUAUUCCUCAUAUCGAGACAUCCACGCUUAGACACUUCAUCCACACAAAACUUCAACAGGAAACUCGGUAAGAUCCGUUAGUAUAAUAAAGCAAAUCACUACUCUAAGUACUGUAGUGAACCAAUUCAUAUUUUAUUUUUUGCAUUGUGUCUACUGUAAUAUAACUUUUCCAUGGCUUAAUCCACUAAUAUAAAUUGAUAGUUUCAUCAAAACAAGCAAAGUAUGCAUCAAAAACAGAAUCUGUCAAAAACAGAACAGUCUGUAGCAAUCUGAACAUCCACCAUACUUCUGGUUCCCCAAAAAUUCUACCACAAUUAGGAAAAAUAAACAAGUUGCAUCUCAAGACAGUGCAAAAGGAAUCAGAACCAAUUGAUGUUCCAGUUAAAAAUGUAAAAUCGUGCACUACAGCCAAAGUUUCUGUCCUGCACCGUACAAACCAACAAGCAUUGUAAACAUCCUAAAGGCAAACCUUGGCAUAUUAUUUUUAUAAUACAAUGGAAUUAUACAAGGGGAUAAUUAUUUCUGUUGAAAGGUUUCUGUAAUUAAGAUUCACAAAGUUUCCGUGAGCAUGAACAAAGUUCAAGGCUAGCUCCCACUUCAACAAUGCUUGUCUUUCUCACUUUCACUUUCCUUUUUGAAAAGUUUUUUGGUUUCCCCUCUUUAUUUUUUUGUUUUUAAACUAUAUGAAAUCACUCAAUAGAAAUAAAUGACUCUCUAAAACUUCCGGGUUGUCUCCCUAGCAGCGCUUUCUUUAAAGCCAUUAAGCUAGGCAUAUAGUGCUCAAGUAAUGAAUCCACCCAGAUCCCAUGGUAUAUCAAAGCCGAUUUUAAUUAACAAUGAUUUGUAAUUUAGUAGUGAGCACAAAGUAGCAUAUAUCAUGCAGCAAUGAAGUCUAACUCUCUUCCUAUGCAUCGGCAUGUCAUAAAAUAACAAUUCAUGCACACAUAGUAAAGGCCAAUGCAUAGUAUAAGCAGUUUCUUGCAAUUUCAUCGUGUUGGAAACAUAAAGAAGUGGAGAUGUAGUUCCUCUCUCAUAAUAAUUGCAAGUAGGAGCAGCAAGCACAUGCAUAUUAUAUUCAUCAAAAUCAUCAUGUGCAAUGGUAAAAGGCAACCCAUCAAUAUAAUCCUUAAUACGCACAAACUUCUCCGAUAUAGUGUAAUAGGGAGAAUUCAAAAAGAUAAUAGGACUAUCAUGCGUGGGUGCAAUAGCAACAAUUUCAUGUUUAACAUAAGGAACUAUAGCAAGUUCAUCUCCAUAAGCAUAAUUCAUAUUGGCAUCUUGGCCACAAGCAUAGCAAGCAUCAUCAAAAAGGGAUAUUUCAAACAAAUUCAAGGGAUCAUAGCAAUCAUCCUUUGGUAAGCACGAAGGGGAAUUAACUAAUGUAUGAGUUGGAGGGUUACUCUCAUUAGAAGGUGGGCACGGGUAGCUAAUCCGCUCUUCCUCCUUUUGUUCUUCGCUCUCCUCAUCAUCUUUUUCAUCCAAUGAGCUCACUGUUUCAUCAAUUUCUUCUUCCAUAGCUUCCUGCAAAAUACUAGUCUCUUCUUGGACAGCGUUGACUUUCUUCAUAAAAGCAUUAAUAUAGUAAUUGUAUUCAUAAUUUUCAUAGCAAUAUCCAAGUAUAGCAAGAUUUUCCGGCCUAUAACCAUCAUCAUCAAAAGCUUCAUACUUUUCAAACAAAGCUUCAAUAUCAUAGGCAGCCUUAAAAGCAACAAAUUCUUCUAUUUGUUCCACAUCAGAGUAAUCAUAUAUACCAUUAGCAUAAGAAGCUAAGGUUUCAUUAUCGUUAAAUUUGCAUGAAAAGGGGAGGUGUGGAGCCUCCAUCCUAGAGCAACAAGUAAUAUCAUAUCUCAAGCAUAGAUUCCAGGCAUACCAACGCAACAUAAUAAAUUGAUCCCAUAAUAGUUUCCCUUUUUGUGUCAAGCGAUAAUCCCUAAAGUAUUCACAUUGAUCCAACAUGUCUCCCAUUAUAAAGUUGAAUGGGGUUUUCUCAGGAUUAUCAAAGUAGUACAUAAUAUCUCUCACAUAGUGAGAAUCGGGGGUUUUAGGAGUUACCCCAUCUACAUGAUUAGCAAGUACCUCUAAUUUUUUUGGUAUUUUGUGUUCCAUAUCCAUAAGUAAAGAUAGAGAACAACUAAGAACAAAAAAUAAAAAUUACUUAGUGAUAAAGCAAACAAGCACACACGAGAAUAUUCACCCCACGCUAUGACUCCCCGGCAACGGCGCCAGAAAAAGGUCUUGAUGACCCGCAAGUAUACGAGAUCGCAACAGUUUUCGAUAAGUAAGAGUGUCGAACCCAACGAGGAGCUAAAGGUAGAAUAAAUAUUCCCUCAAGUUCUAUCGACCACCGAUACAACUCUACGUACGCUUGAUGUUCGCUUAUCCUAGAACAAGUAUGAAACUAGAAGUACUUUGUAGGUGUGAUAGGAUAGGUUUGCAAGAUAAUAAAGAGCACGUAAAUAAAAGCUGGGGGCUGUUUAGAAAAAGAUGCAAUAAAGUAAAUAUUAGUAUAGAGCUUUUUGUUACGAGAAAGUUAUUUGUCCAAGGCAAUCGAUAACUAGACCGAUAAUCACUGUUGUAAUUCUAUUUGAGGGAGAGGCAUAAGCUAACAUACUUUCUCUACUUGGAUCAUAUGCACUUAUGAUUGGAACUCUAGCAAGCGUCCGCAACUACUAAAAAUUCAUUAAGGUAAAACCCAACCAUAACAUUAAAGUAUCAAGUCCCCUUUUAUCCCAUACGCAAACAACCUACUUACUCGGGUCUGUGCUUCUGUUCACUCACGCCACCCACCAUAAGCAAAUCAUAAACAUAUUGCAAACCCUACAGCGGGGAUCCCUCACGCUUGCGCGACACGGAGAGCACCAUAGGACAGCACCAAUAAUGAAACAUGCAACUCAAACCAAUCACGAUCAUCAAUUAACCCAUAGGACAAAACGGAUCUACUCAAACAUCAUAAGAUAGCCAUACAUCAUUGGGAAAUAAUAUAUAGCGUUGAGCACCAUGUUUAAGUAUAGAUUACAGCGGGUAAGAGAGAGGUUACACCGCUGCAUAGAGGGAGUAAGAGUUGGUGACGAAGGUGGUGAAGUUGUUGGUGAAGAUCGCGGUGAUGAUGAUGGCCCCCGGCAGCGCUCCGGCGCCACCGGAAGCAAGGGGGGAGAGCACCCCUUCUUCUUCUUUUUCCUUGACCUCCUCCCUAGAUGGGAGAAGGGUUUCCCCUCUGGUCCUUGGCUCCCAUGGCUUGGGAGGGGCGAGAGCCCCUUCGAGAUUGGAUCUAUCUCUCUAUUUCUGUGUUCUCAGAUUCUACCCCUUCACGGUUUCCUUUAUAUCUGGAGAUCCGUAACUCUGAUUGGGGUUUCGCCCAGAUCUUUCUCAUAAAAUUAUCUUUCUUGCGCCAAAAGAAGAGCGUCAACCGCCUUACGGGUGGCCCACGAGAGCCCAGGCCGCGCCCAAGGGGGGAGGGCGCGCCCCCCUGUCUCAUGGCCACCCCGGACACCGUUUCGUGUUGAUUUUACUUCCCAAAAAUCAUAAAUAUUACAAAAAAAUCUCUGUCCGUUUUUAUCCCGUUUGGACUCCGUUUGAUAUUGGGUUUCUGCGAAACAAAAAACAUGCAAUAGACAGGAACUGGCACUGGGCACUGGAUCAAUAUGUUAGUCCCAAAAAAUAGUAUAAAAAGUUGCCAAAAGUAUAUAAAAGUUGAAUAAUAUUGGCAUGGACCAAUCAAAAAUUAUAGAUACGACGGAGACGUAUCAACCCCUCUAUUGAGGAUGCCACUACUAUUGCUGAUGAGAAUGCUAGGUUGAAGACAUUGCUUGAGACAUGCAUGUACAAAAGCCUCAAAGGGCAUCAGACUUUGUGCAAUGUCCUCAAGAAAUAGAUUCUGAACCGAAACCCUAGAAAAGAGGGUGUUGGGUUCGAGAGGAAAAUGAACGUUGAUGGUUCAUAUUGGACACCCGAACAGUACCCCAAAACCACCUGGGUUGCUGCUAAGGAUCCUUCAGUGGACCCAUCCACUUUAUCUGGCUUCACUUGUGCUAACCCAAUUGUCAUUGAUGAAUCCUUUGAUGCCAAUUAUAAACUCUUUAAGAAUCAGAAUGGUGAAGUGAUUGCCAGGUACAUUGGUACUAACUACAGGAACGGGUCACCCUAGAAGAAGAUCUGGGUGCCCAAUAGUUGUGUUGAGAAGCUUCCCGUGAACGUCGUCAUGACACCACCUUGGAAGAAGACAAACCCUAGACUAAAGGCGUCAUAUUGCCCAAAGGCUUCAUACAGACAAAAGACCACUCAUGGUCACCCUAACGCCAAUGUUUUGCAGCAGAACCAUUAUGAGGCUCAUGAAUAUGAGCGUGUUUCCUCUAACCGCUAUGUUCACAAAACUAAGAACUUUUCUGCUUAUUCAUAUGAGUACUAUGAAGGAAAUAUGCCCUAGAGGCAAUCAUAAAGUUAUUAUUUAUUUCCUCAUAUCAUGAUAAAUGUUUAUUAUUCAUGCUAGAAUUGUAUUAACCGGAAACAUAAUACAUGUGUGAAAACAUAGACAAACAUAGUGUCACUAGUAUGCCUCUACUUGACUAGCUUGUUAAUCAAAGAUGGUUAAGUUUCCUAACCAUAGACAUGAGUUGUCAUUUGAUUAACGGGAUCACAUCAUUAGGAGAAUGAUGUGAUUGACAUGACCCAUUCCGUUUGCUUAGCACUUGAUCGUUUAGUAUGUUGCUAUUGCUUUCUUCAUGACUUAUACAUGUUCCUAUGACUAUGAGAUUAUGCAACUCCCGUUUACCGGAGGAACACUUUGUGUGCUACCAAACAUCACAACGUAACUGGGUGAUUAUAAAGGUGCUCUACAGGUGUCUCUGAAGGUACUUGUUGAGUUGGCGUAUUUCGAGAUUAGGAUUUGUCACUUCGAUUGUCGGAGAGGUAUCUCUGGGCCCUCUCGGUUGCACAUCACUAUAGGCCUUGCAAGUAAUGUGAAUAAUGAGUUAGGUGCAGGUUGAUGCAUUACAUAACGAUUAAAGAGACUUGUCGGUAACGAGAUUGAACUAGGUAUCGAGAUAUCGACGAUCGAAUCUCGGGCAAGUAACAUACCGAUGACAAAGGGAACAAUGUAUGUAGUUAUGCGGUUUGACCGAUAAAGAUCUUUGUAGAAUAUGUGGGAACCAAUAUGAGCAUCCAAGUUCCACUAUUGGUUAUUGACCGGAGACGUGUCUCGGUCAUGUCUACAUAGUUCUCGAACCCGUAGGGUCCGCACGCUUAAAGUUCAGUGACGAUCGGUAUUAUGAGUUUUUGUGUUUCGAUGUACCGAAGGUAGUUCGGAGUCUCGGAUAUGAUCACGGACAUGAAGAGGAGUCUUGAAAUGGUUGAGACGUAAAGAUUGAUAUAUUGGACGACUAUGUUCGGACAUCGGAAGUAUUUCGGAAGGUUUCAGACAUUUACCGGAGUACCGGGGGGUUACCGGGCCUUAGUGGGAGAAGAGGAGGGGCGGAAAGGGCAGCCGCGCGCCCCCUCCCCCUCUAGUCCGAAUUGGACAAGGAAGGGGGCGGCACCCCCCUUUUUCCUUCUCCUCCUCUCUCCCUUCCUUCCCUUCUCCUACUCCUACAAGGAAAAGAGGAGUCCUACUCCUGGUGGGAGUACGACUCCCCCGUUGGCGCGCCCUCCUCCUGGCCGGCCGCCUCCCCCUUGCUCCUUUAUAUACGGGGGCAGGGGGCACCUCUACACACACAAGUUGAUCUGUUGAUCUCUCCCAGCCGUGUGCGGUGCCCCCCUCCACCAUAUUCCACCUCGGUCAUAUCAUAGCGGUGCUUAGGCAAAGCCCUGCGUCGGUAGCAACAUCAUCACCGUGAUCACGCCGUCGUGCUGAUGAAACACUCCCGUGAAGCUCUGCUGGAUCGGAGUUCGCGGGACGUCAUCGAGCUGAACGUGUGCUAAACUCGUAGGUGUCGUACAUUCAGUACUUGGAUCGAUCGGAUCGUGAAGACGUACGACUAGAUCAACCGUGUUGUGCUAACGCUUCCGCUUUCGGUCUACGAGGGUACAUGGACUCACUCUCCCCGCUCGUUGCUAUGCAUCACCAUGAUCUUGCAUUUGCGUAGGAUUUUUUUGAAAUUACUACGUUCCCCAACAUACUAUUCUUCUCAUGCGAAGCUAUUUGCUAGGGCUCCCAAGAGAAACUUCUCUGAUGUUGCACUUAGGCUCAUUGCUUCUAAGCCACCCCUGAAGAUGGGGGUGGUUAAGAAGAAUUAACUUCUCUUGCAGGGAAAGGUCUCCAGCCGGAAAGCAAAAACUUCUGACGCCAAUGUUGGAGACCUAAAACAUCUUGUGGGACGCUAGAUAAAAUGCCCCAAUGGUCUUACAUGUAUUUCGUCCUAGGGUUGACGAGCAUCCUAUCAUGCCUAACCAGAAUCUAAACUUUGAUAAUAUGCUUGUUCGCUACAUGUUUCUGCUUCAUAGUACUCUUGGUGAAGCCUAUCCCGCUAAGUGCAUUGUAGGGUACAACUCCGAAAGCCACUGAAUGGGUCAUGGACAGCGUCUGCACCAACCACAUGACUGGUGAUCGAAGUCUUCUUAUAGAUUCAACCCUACAUCCAUCUACUAAGAGCCACAUCACAUUCACUAAUACUGGUAAAAGAAAGGUAUUGGGUCUUGGUAGAGUUGCUAUCUCAAAGGAUCAGUGCAUGGACAAAGUGAUGCUUCUUGAAUCCCUUGGAUACAACUUAAUGUCUGUGUCAAUGCUAUGUGAUCUGAACAUGAUUGUGAUAUUUGGAAAAUCUCAUUGUCUUGUGCUUAUGGAAUCUGACAAAUGUCUAGUCUUCGAAGGCUAUCGAAGAGGUGAUCCGUAUAUGGUAGAUUUCUCAGCAGGACCAUAGCUUGUCGUAUGUCUUCUAGUAGAGGCUUCAAAAUGCUGGCUAUGACAUCGAUGGCUAGGACAUGAGGGCAUGAGGAACCUGUACACUCUCGCGAAGAGGAAGCACAUCAUUGGCAUCGAGGGCGUCAAGUUCAAGAAGGAUCAUCUAUGUGGUGCCUGUGAAGCUGGGAAGAUGACUAGAGCCAAGCAUCUCUCAACGACAAUCAUGACUACCUCACGUCCCUUCGAGUGCUUCACAUGGACUUAUUUGGCCCUACUCACUACUCGACCCUUACUACCACUGCACAUCUCUAUGGGUUCGUUAUUGUUGAUGAUUACUCGAGAUACACCUGGAUACACAUAAUUCUCUAUAAGACUGAAGUGCAGGAUGUCUUCAGUCGCUUCACAAAUCGGGCCAUGACGAAUUAGGGCAUCAAGAUCAAGCACAUCCGGAGUGAAAAUGGCACUGAGUUCAAGAACGCUGGCCUUGCCAUUUAUCUUGAUACUUUGGGCAUCACACAUGAGUUCUCUGCUCCUUACACACCUCAGCAGAAUGGCAUCAUGGAGUGCAAGAACAAACACUCAUUGAGAUGGCACGCACGAUGCUCGAUGAAUACAAGACUCCAAGAAAAAAAAGCCAUUGAUACUGCAUGCCACAUCAUCAACAUGGUAUAUCUUCAUAAGUUCUUCAAGAAAACAUCUUAUGAACUUCUGACUGGUAAGAAGCCAAACGUCAGUUACUUCAAAGUCUUUGGUGCUAGGUGCUGGAUCAAGGAUCCACAUCACACGUCUAAGUUCGCACCGAAAGCACAUGAAGGUUUAUGCUUGGUUAAGGAAAGGACUCGCACACCUAUAGAGUCUUCAACCUCUUUCACUACAAAGUGGUUGAAACUGUAGAUGUGUGGUUUGAUGAAUCUAAUGGCUCGCAAAGAGAGCACCUGCCAAAUGUGCUAGAUGAAGCUACACCAGGUGAAGCUAUCAGGCUAAUGGGUACUAGAGAAAUCAUACCCACUAAGGAACAGGCUGAGGACGGGAUCAUCAUUUUUGCACCUAAUCAACAUGAAGACAAUGCUCAGUCUAAAGCCAUAGCUGAAGAUGAAGAAAAUAAUCAGUCUGAUCAAAAUCUUCAUCCAGCUCAUCCUCGAGUCGCCAAUGAUGUCCAGAUUGAGAAGACUAUUAUAGCAUCAAUGCACCUGGUCCUCUCACUCGAUCAAGAGCUACACAACUAGUGAACUUCUAUGGUCACUUUACUUUUGUCUCUAUAUCUGAACCCAAGAAAGUCGAAGAAGCCUUCAUGGAACCUGAAUGGAUUCAAGCUAUGCAAGAAGAGCUUCAACAGUUUGAGCUAAAUAAUGUCUAGGAGCUUGUCAAACAUACUGAUCCUCGCAAGCACAACAUAAUUGGCACAAAAUGGAUCUAUCACAACAAGCAAGAUGAACUUGGACAAGUUGUCAGAAACAAGGCUCACCUCGUCGCUCAAGGUUACACACAAGUAGAAGGAAUCGACUUCGAUGAAACCUUUGAUCCUGUGGCUAGGCUUGAAGCCAUUCCCAUACUACUGGCCUAUGCUAACCAUGACAACAUUCUUCUGUACCAAAUGGAUGUGAAGAGUGCCUUUCUCACUGGAAAAAUCGAAGAAGAAGUGUAUGUCGCUCAACCGCCUGGUUUUGAAGAUCCAAAGCAUCCUGAUAUGGUGUACAAGCUCAACAAGGCACUAUAUGGCCUCAAACAAGCACCUCGCGCUUGGUAUGACACACUCAAAGAAUUCCUGAAGAGCAAAGGCUUCAAACCUGGUUCUCUAGACCCACUCUCUUCACGAAGACAUAUGAUGGUGAACUGUUUGUGUGUCAAAUAUAUGUGGAUGACAUCAUCUUCGGCUGCACUGAUAAGAGAUAUAGUGAUGAGUUUGGAUACCUGAUGCAAGAGCAAUAUCAGAUGUCCAUGAUGGGAGAGCUGAAGUUCUUCCUUGGUCUUCAAAUCCGUCAACAGUGCAAUGUCAUCUUCAUAUCACAAUAAAAAUACCUCAAAGAUUGCCUGAAAAAGUUUGGAAUGCAAGACUGCAAAGGGUACACGACGCCAAUGCCAACCAAAAGUCAUCUUGUCCCUGACGACAAAGGUAAAGAGUUCGAUCCAAAGGUAUACGCUCCAUGAUUGAUUCUUUACUAUACUUAUGUGCAUCUAGGCCUGGUAUUAUGCUUAGCGUUUGCAUGUGUGCCUGAUUCCAAGUGGCACCAAAGGAAUCGCAUCACCAUGCUGUGAAGCGAAUUCUUUAAUAUUUGGCUCACACCCCAACACUAGUAUUAUGGUAUCCAAAGGGCUCAUCGUUUGAUCUAGUUGGAUACUCAGAUGCUGAUUAUGCUGGUGAUAAGGUUAGUUGCAAGUCUACACCAGGCACAUGUCACUUUCUUGGACAAUCUCUUGUCUAUUUUUUGAGAGGAAGACUGUAAGGGAAUCCCCUACAGUAUAAUUGGUGCAACAAACCCAAAUUGCAAGUACCGUGCCUUAAACCUGGGUGGGUGGGAAGGCAUCAGCCCCUUCCUACCACUAGGCAAUGCCUUAGUCUGCAAUCUCUUGUCUGUUGGUCUUCAAAGAAGCAGAACUAUGUAUCCCUCUCCACUGCUAAAUCUGAACACAUUGCUGCUGGAUCUUGUUGUGUUCAGCUUCUUUGGAUGAAGCAAACUCUCAAGGAUUAUGGAAUCAACAUGAAAAAUGUGCCACUCUUCUGCGACAAUGAAAGUGCCAUCAAGAUUGCCAAGAAUCUAGUUCAGCACUCAAAGACAAAGCACAUUGAGAUUCGUCAACACUUUCUCAGAGAUCAUGUCAUCAAGGAAGAUAUUGAUAUCAUUCAUGUCAACACUGAAGAGCAAUUGGCAGAUAUCUUCACAAAGCCCUUGGAUGAGAAAAGGUUUUGCAAGCUUCAGUAUGAGCUAAAUAUAUUAGAAUCCUCAAAUGUCCAAUGAAUGGACACACAUCGUAAUGCUUAUGCAUACUGAUGACUUAGAUGUGCAACACACAAAGUAAUGUAUUUCUUCAAUCAAUGAAGACUUACCCUCUGCGUGUGAAUACAUUAAUGUGGAAUUUGACUUCGGAGUGCCACGAUAAUUGUGCAUCGUGUCUGGGUCUAAUACUUCCUAUACGGUGGGUAACGCCACCACCACACUUUCUUGAAAGAUUUUCAUUUGGCGUCAUGAUUGCAUUAUCUUCGCAUUUGGAUUGUCUUCAACAUUGUUUUGUCUUCAAAACCUAUAUCUUCGCAAUAUUGAUUUAUCUUCAAUACUAUAUAUGUGUUCUGUCCUCUACAACAUUCACUUAUAGCUAUGUCUUCAUGUUGCUAUUUUUCUGACCUAAGUGAAUGUGAUCGGACCCUAAACCCAUUUGUGCUACUCCCUCAAAUUCUUUCUGUCUAGUCAUAUGCAUUCUAUUGACACCUGUCAAAUAUCUUCACUGUGUCCUUGCCAGCUGAAGAUACAGAGACACACAUUUAAAACUGUUUUAAUGCCUUAUCUUUUUCCUGAAAACCGGAGAAGCCGGAACGACCACCCGACAAUCCAGGCGUGUGUGGGAACAUGGUUCAACUCCUGAUAAGUUGCAUGCAUGCCACGUGUCCUUCAAAUGUGAACCGCCAGGGGCACCUGCGUAAUUGCGCUGUGCCGCCCUCCUCCUCCUUAUAAAUACUCACCCCUCGCGGUCAUUAUCUCUUCUUCCACCUCACCAUCUCGCUCAAACCCUAGCGCCACCGCUAGCUCGUGUCGACGCCGGAGACAAAGCUCUUAGCUGCUGCCACCUCUUUGACGCCAUCCUCAUGCCGGUCGCGGAUCUCAUCUUCUCCGCCGCCACUGUAGGUGUCUUCCGUCGCCAAGUUAGGUCACAGGAGAUUCGACUGCUCGUCAUCCGUUCUGCCUCGUCAAGCAGUUCCUCUAUGGUAAAUAAAACUCGAUUUUUACUGCUUUUUAGAUCCGUCAAAUCUGUCAACUUCACCCAAAAGUGGUUUCUGAACUUCCAAAUCUGGAUCUUUCUUUUUUUGCAUCUCAUAUCUUGCAAAGUAUGUUCACUUAUGCUUCACAACUAGUUAGAUUCCUCACUUGUACUUAUUCUUGGAUUCGACAAAUCUGGAACCGACUUCCUUCAAAUAAGUGAAUGUCUUCGCACUGUGAGGUCAAUGUCUUCUAACCGAUUUAUCUUCAAAAUCUUCUGAGAAUGCAUAUGACCUCUUCCCCUUCCCUCGCAUCUCUAAUGUUGUCACAGGUACAUGUCCAUGGGAGAAUCCCUUGGUUCUCAUAGUCUGUUCAUUUUGAGAAUUCUUACAGCGUCAUAUUGAAUCUCCUAAAGCCAGUUCUUGCUUGACAAGUCGACAGAAGCCUUUCACUGUUCUGAAGCCAAUCCGUCUGAAUCCAAUGGCCACUGAAAAAUUUGCAAGGAAAGGCGGCAGGCAACGCCAUGGUAAUACUGCUCUGGACCUUCCCCAGAUCUGUAUGAGCUCUACAAAUCUGAUCUUGAAGAGAGUUAUACACAUCGCAAGAACAGAAUCCAAUGGAUCCGAAGAUAUUGGGCUGAGCAGUGGUUCAAGUACAACUUCGUGACACCUGAAUAUGCUGAGAAGAAUGCCAUCAAGCGCUCGUGGGGCGAUAUUCUUUACAAAAACUUGGCACCGAAGACAAAGGCUGAAACUAUUGCUCAAACGUUCUAUCCAUGCAUGGUCCAAGGACAUCAGCCAGAAAAUGCCGACCCAUCAUCUCUUCUAUGCUGUCGUGAUGAUGUUCUCUUCAAGCGCAACUUCCAGUUUGAAGAGAUAUGUCCCGCGUGUCCAAGAUGGCCAAGAAGCCAAAGCCCAAGAAGGUUUCUGGGCAGGCUCUCACUCCAGCUACCGUCCUGCGCAAUGAGGAAAACACUAUUGAUCUGUCAAGUGAUGAAGAUCUUGCAGAUGAUGCUCUGGAACAGUUGAUCAAGAGCAAGCAGGAGGCUGAGAUCUUCUAGGAUCUGCCUCUAUUUGAUGCUGACAUUCUGAACAACUUCAUUGAUGAAUGGUUUGAGGACCAACGCAUCAAUCUUGAUGAUCUGCAGCUGCCAGUGGACAUCAAUGUUACCUUUCAUGGAGCCAUUACAAACGAACUUGCCUUGGCUUAGAAAAUUGUCGAGCUCAAGAACAAGAUGACAAUAAGCGUUGUGUGCAAGCACAAGCUCAACGUGGCUGAUGUGCAAAUCUUCAAGAAGAUAAUGAAUGACCUCAAGGCUGAAUUCAACAAUAAGCGUGAAGAAUCCAAAGGCUCACGCGAGCGCGUGAAGUAUUAUGCAUAGAAAUGUGUGCAAGCACACAAUGGAGCUAAAAAGAGUAAGGCUCUUGGGCGUCCUGGCAUCGACCCCAGGAUGGCUGCCAAGAAAAGCAAGAAGCCUGCAGAAGCUAAUCCGUAUGCUCCACGGCAGGGACAACCAAGCAUUGUGUUCCCUGCCAGCAUGACUGGCUCGAAGCCAAAUGUCCCCUCUGCCGCUUCUUAACUCAAGAAGACUAGGCAAGAUGAAUCCAAAGCCAGGAAGAGGAAGCUCAAAGAUACAUCUGAUGACGCUCCCUCCAAGAAGAAGUUGAAGACAAAGGGCUCUAAAUCUUCAAGAAAAGAGCGUGCUGCUGCCCCAGAGCCCCUCAUUGUUGAACCCAUCUCCAUUGCCUUACCUUCUUCUGCCAACCGCGAGCGCCGCCUCGUAGUCCAUGAGCCUGCUUCCAUAGAGGCUCCAGAAAAUGAAGAAGUUCCGAUUGCUGACCCCGACACUGCUGAAGACAUUGGACGUGAAGCCAAUGUGAAUGAUGAUGAAGUCCUUCCUCAGCUUGAACCAACACCCAUGGUAUCAUCGCCUACUCCAACGAGCAGUGAAUUGACCAGUAUUGGUCAUCCUAUGACGCCAUUCACUCAGGAUAUGCCAAUGGAUGAUGAAGCUGUUCUGCGUACUCCUCCAGCUCAAGUCACCACUCUAGUGCUUGAGACUCAGCAAGAAAGCCCUGACGACUUUGAUUUCACUAUCCCCUCACCACAGGCGUCACCUUCCUUCAGGAGGCUUCGCAGAGGUCCCAGGUCUCAGGCAUGCAUGUCGAGCAUACCAGAGGAAGAUGUGCAACAAACUGGCUCAGUAGCAUGUCAAGUGUUCCCUGAUGCCAUCCCCUCUAAGACUGCUCAAGAGUCUAAAGCAAAAGCUGCUGAAGAUAUUCUGGCUGCAUCAACAGAUGAAGAAAGAGAAGCCACACCCCCUGCCAGUGAUCCAGUCAUACAAGCUGAGAAUAUGCUUGUGCCAGACCCUCCAGUCGUUGAAGAGAUGGAGGUUGAAGCCAAUGUGGCUGCUGAUACGUCCAUUUUGCAUCAUGUUUUCCUACUGCUAUUUAUGUUGUUUUAUUGUAUAAUAAUGCUUUUUGGAGUAAUUCUAAUGCCUUUUCUCUCAUAAUAUGCAAGGUAUGCACCAAUGGGGAGAAUUCUGGCAGCUGAAAUCUGGACUUGGAAAAGCUACGUCAAGCUACCUAUUCUGCACAACUCCAAAUGAGCUGAAACUCCCCAAGGAAUUUUUGUGGAAUAUUUAAUGAAUAUUGGAGCAAAUAAGUACCAGAGGAGGGCCACCAGGUGGGCAAAACCCACCUGGCCGCACCAGGAGGCCCAGGCGCGCCCCUCCUCGGCCCACCUCCGGUGCCCAUCUUCUGGUAUAUAAGUCAUUUUGACCUAGAAAAAAUGAGGGGAGGACAUUUAGGACGAAGUGCCGCCGCCUCAAGGCAGAACUUGGGCAGGAGCACUUUUGCCCUCCGGCGGAGCGAUUCCGCUGGGGGAAUUUCCCAACCGGAGGGGGAAAUCAUCAUCAUCAUCAUCACCAACAACUCUCCCAUCUUGGGGAGGGCUAUCUUCAUCAACAUCUUCACAUAACCAACUCCUCUCAAACCCUAGUUCAUUUCCUGUGUUCAAUCUUUGUAUCAAAACUAUAGAUUGAUGCUUGUGGGUGACUAGUAGUAUUGAUUACAUAUUGUAGUUGAUUACUAUAUGGUGUAUUUGGUGGAAGAUUAUAUGUUCGGAUCCAUUAUGCCAUUUCAUACCCCUCUGAUCUUGAGCAUGUUUAUCACUUGUGAGUAGUUACUUUCGUUCUUGAGGUCACGGGAGAAAUCAUGUUGCAAGUAAUCAUGUGAACUUGAUAUGUGUUCGAUAUUUUGAUGGUAUUUAUGUUGUCAUUCUCUUAGUGGUGUCAUGUGAACGUCGACUACAUGACACUUCACCAUAUUUGGGCCUAAGGGGAUGCAUUGUGGAGUAGUUAUUAGAUGGUGGGUUGCAAGAGUGACAGAAGCUUAAAACCCAAUUUAUGCGCUAUUCCGUAAGGGACCAAUUGGAUCCAAAAGUUUGAUGCUAUGGUUAGAAUUUAUUCUUAAUACUUUUCUCGUAGUUGCGGAUGCUUGCGAGAGGGUUAAUCAUAAGUAGGAGGUUUGUUCAAGUAAGAACAUCACCUAAGCACCGAUCCACCCACAUAUCAAAUUAUCAAAGUACCGAACACGAAUUAAGCCAACAUGAUGAAAGUGACUAGAAGAAAUUCCCGUGUACCCUCAAGAACACUUUGCUUAUCAUAAGAAACCGUUUUGGCAUGUACUUUGCCUCAAAAGGAUUGGGCUACCUUGCUGCACUUUUGUUACUACUAUUGUUACUUGCUCGUUACAAAUUAUCUUGCUAUCAAACUUCUCCGCUACUCACAAUUUUAGCAAUUGCAGAUUGUACCUUGUUGAAAACCACUUGUCAUUUCCUUCUGCUCCUCGUUGAGUUCGACAAUCUUACUUAUCGAAAAGGGAUAAAAUUGACCCCCUAUACUUGUGGGUCAUCAAGGCAAUUUUCUGGCGCCAUUGCCGGGGAGUGAAGCGCUUUCGGUAAGUGGAAAUUGGUAAGGAAACAUUAUUACUACGUGCUGAAAUUUAUUGUCACUUGCUACUAUGGAAAACAAUCCUUUGAGGGGCUUGUUCGGGGUAUCUUCACCUCGACCGGAACCACAAUUCCUUCAGGCAUGUUAGAGCAACUUCUAGCUAAUCCUUAUGCAGGAGAUGGAACCGAACAUCCUCAUGUGCACUUGAUUUAUGUGGAUGAAAUUUGUGGAUUAUUUAAGCUUGCAGGUUUGCCCGAAGAUGAAGCUAAGAAGAAGGUUUUCCCUUUAUCUUUGAAGGGAAAAGCAUUGACAUGGUAUAGGCUAUGCAGUGAUAUUGGAUCUUGGAACUGGAACCGUUUGAAACUAGAAUUUCAUCAAAAAAAAUUAUCCUAUGCAUCUAGUCAUCGUGAUCGGAAUUAUAUAUAUAAUUUUUUGCCUUAUGAAGGAGAAAGAGUCACUCUAGCUUGGGGGAGGCUUAAGUCAAUGUUAUAUUCAUGCCCCAAUCAUGAUCUCUCAAGAGAAAUUAUUAUUCAUAAUUUUUAUGCUCGACUUUCUCUAAUGAUAAAUCCAUGCUCGAUACUUCUUGUACUGGUUCUUUUAUGAAGAAGACUACUGAAUUCUGGUGGGAUCUUUUAGAAAGAAUUAAAUGCAACUCUGAGGAUUGGGAACCCGAUGAAGGUAAAGAGUCAGGUAUUGAACCUAAGUUUGAUUGUGUUAAAUCUUUUAUGAAUACUAAUGCUUUUGAAAAGUUUAGCACUAAAUAUGGACUUGAUUCUGAGAUAGUGUCUUUCUUUUGUGAAUCUUUUGCUACUCAUGUUGAUCUCCCUAAGGAGAAGCAGUUUAAAUAUUGAAAAACCACCUUUUCCUGUUAGGAUGAAGGAACAUGCUAAAGCUUCAACUGUGGUUAACAAAAGUUAUGUUAGAACACUCAACCUUCUGAACAAAUCAAAGUUGAACCUAGUGUUAAUAUGGUUAAAGAUCUCUUAGUUGAUAAUAUUGAUGGGCACAUUAUCUACUUCUGUAGUGAAGCUUCUAGAAUUGCCAAACCUGACGGAAAAGAUAAACAUAGACCAGUUGUUGGCAUGCCUGUUGUCUCAGCUAAGAUAGGAGAUCACUAUUAUCAUGGGCUAUGUGACCUAGGUGCUAGUGUGAGUGCUAUUCCUUUCUCCUUAUAUCAAGAAAUUAAAGAUGAAAUAGCACCUGCUGAAAUAGAAGACAUAGAUGUUACUAUUAAACUUGCUAAUAGAGAUACUAUAUCACCAAUUGGGAUCCUUAGAGAUGUUGAAGUCUUGUGUGGGAAAAUAAAAUACCCCACUGAUUUUCUUGUUCUUAGCACCCCACAAGAUGAAUUUUGUGCCAUUAUUUUUGGUAGACCUUUUUUGAACACCGUCAAUGCUAAAGUAGAUUGUGAGAAACAAACUGUCGGUGUUAGCUUUAGUGAUGAAUCUCAUGAGUUUAAUUUUCCAAGUUUAGUAAACAACCUCAUAAGAAAGAUUUGCCAGUAAGGAUGAAAUUAUUGGUCUUGCUUCUAUUGAUGUGCCUCCUACUGAUCCUUUGGAACAAUAUUUGCUAGACCAUGAAAAUGAUUUGCAUAUGCGUGAAAGAAAUGAAAUAGAUAGAAUCUUUUUCGAACAACAACCUCUGCUUGAACACAAUUUGCCUUUUGAAACUCUAGGAGGUCCUCCUCCACCUAAAGGUGAUCCUGUGUUUGAAUUAAAACAAUUACCAAACACUCUAAAAUAUGCUUAUCUUGAUGAAAAGAAGAUAUAUCCUAUUAUUAUUAGUGCUAACCUUCAGAACAUGAAGAAGAAAGAGUAUUGAAAGUUCUAAGGAAGCACAUGGCUGCUAUUGGAUAUACUCUUGAUGAUCUUAAGGGCAUUAGUCCCACUCUAUGUCAGCACAAGAUUAAUAUCCUGUUGUUGACCACCAACGUCAGUUAAAUCCAAAAAUGAAAGAAGUGGUAAGAAUGGAAAUAUUGAAACUUCUGGAAGCAGGUAUAAUCUAUCCUAUAGAUGAUAGUAGAUGGGUAAGUCAUGUUCAUUGUGUCCCUAAGAAGGGAGGCAUUACUGUUGUUCCUAAUGAUAAGAAUGAGCUUAUUCCACAAAGAAUUUUCACAAGCUAUAGAAUGGUAAUUGAUUAUAGAAAAUUAAAUAAAGCUACUAGAAAAGAUCAUUACCCUUUGCCUUUUAUUGAUCAAAUAUUAGAAAAAUUAUCUAAGCACACACAUUUUUGCUUCCUUGAUGGAUACUCUGGCUUUUCACAAAUACCUGUUUUACAAUCUGAUCAAGAAAAGACCACUUUUACUUUUCCUUUUGGAACAUUCGUUUAUAGACGUAUGCCUUUCGGUUUAUGUAAUGCACCUGCUGCCUUUCAAAGAUGUAUGACCGCUAUAUUCUCUGAUUUUUGUGAAAAGAUUGUUGAGGUUUUCAUGGGUGACUUUUCUGUUUAUGGGAAGUCUUUUGAUGAUUGUUUAAGCAAUCUUGAUUGAGUCUUGCAGAAAUGUGAACAAACAAAUCUCGUCUUGAACUGGGAGAAGUGCCACUUUAUGGUUAACGAAGGUAUUUUCUUGGGCCAUAAAAUUUCUGAAAGAGGCAUUGAGGUGGACAAAGCCAAGGUUGAAGCAAUUGAGAAAAUGCCCUGUCCUAAAGAUAUCAAAGGUAUUCGUAGUUUCCUUGGUCAUGCUGGUUUCAAUAGGAGGUUUGUCAAAGACUUUUCUAAAAUUUCUAGGCCUCUUACUAAUCUUUUGCAAAAGGAUAUUCCCUUUGUGUUUGAUGAUGAUUGUAUGGAAGCCUUUGAAACAGUAAAUAAAUCCUUAAUUACUGCACCUAUUGUUCAACCACCUGAUUGGAACUUGCCUUUUGAGAUUAUGUGUGAUGCUAGUGAUUAUGCUAUUGGUGCUGUUCUAGGACAAAGAGUUGAUAAGAAACUAAAUAUUAUUCAUUAUGCUAGUAAAAGUCUAGACAAUGCUCAACAAAACUAUGCUACUACUGAAAAAGAAUUCUUAGCGGUGGUGUUUGCUUGUGAUAAAUUCAGAUCUUACAUUGUUGAUUCUAAAGUAAUUGUUCACACCAAUCAUUAUGUUAUAAAAUACCUUAUGGAAAAGAAAGAUACUAAACCUAGAAUUAUUAGGUGGGUUCUUCUGCAAGAAAUUGAUUUGCAUAUCACUGAUAGGAAAGGAGCGGAGAACCCCGUAGCUGAUAACUUGUCUAGACUUGAAAAUAUUCUUGAUGACCCACAACCAAUUAAUAAUAGCUUCCCUGAUGAACAACUAGCUGCAAUAAAUGUUUCUCAUAGUACACCUUGGUAUGCUGACUAUGCUAAUUAUAUUGUUGCUAAAUAGAUACCACCUAGCUUCACAUACCAACAAAAUAAAAAAAAUUCUUCUAUGAUUUAAGACAUUACUUUUGGGAUGACCACAUCUUUAUAAACAAGGAGUAGGUGGUAUUAUUAGAUGUUGUGUACCUGAGCAUGAACAGGAACAAAUCCUACGGAAAUGUCACUCUGAAGCUUAUGGAGGACAUCACGCGGGAGAUAGAACCGCUCAUAAGGUAUUGCAAUUUAGUUUUUAUUGGCCUACUCUCUUCAAGGAUGUCAGUACGUUCGUCUCAUCAUGUGAUGAAUGCCAAAGAAUAGGUAAUAUCGGUAAGCGUCAAGAAAUGCCUAUGAAUUAUUCACUUGCUAUUGAACCAUUUGAUGUUUGGGGAUUUGACUUCAUGGGACCUUUUCCUUCCUCUAAUGGGUAUACACAUAUUUUGGUUGUUGUUGAUUAUGUUACUAAGUGGGUAGAAGAUAUUCCAAACAGUAGUGCUGAUCACAACACCUCUAUUAAAAUGCUUAAUGAAGUUAUUUUUCCAAGGUUUGGAGUCCCUAAAUAUUUAAUGACUGAUGGUGGUUCACACUUUAUUCAUGGUGCUUUCCAUAAAAUGCUUGCUAAGUAUGAUGUUAACCACAAAAUUGUGUCACCUUAUCAUCCUUAGUCUAGUGGUCAAGUUCUACUUAGCAAUAGAGAAAUAAACUAAUCUUACAAAAGACUGUCAAUAGGUCCAGGAAGAAUUGGUCUAAGAAAUUAGAUGAUGCACUUUGGGUUUAUAGAACAGCUUAAAAAUCCUAUGGGUAUGUCUCCAUAUAAAAUGGUUUAUGGAAAAGCUUUUCAUUUGCCUCUCGAGUUAGAACACAAAGCAUUUUGGGCAAUAAAAGAACUCAAUUAUGAUUUCAAACUUGCUGGGGAAAAGAGGUUAUUUGAUAUUAGCUCUUUAGAUGAAUGGAGAACCCAGGCUUAUGAAAAUGCUAGGUUAUUCAAAGAAAAAGUUAAAAGAUGGCAUGAGAAAAGAAUUCAAAAGCGUGAGUUCAGAGUCAGAGAAUAUGUUCUUUUGUACAACUUUCAUUUCAGAUUCUUUGCAGGAAAGCUCCUCUCCAAAUGGGAAGGACCCUAUGUCAUCGAGGAGAUCUAUCGAUCCGGAGCUAUCAAAAUAAAUAAUGUCGAAGGGACUAACCCGAAGGUUGUCGAUGGGCAACGAAUAAAACACUAUAUCGCAGGUACACCCAUUAAUGUUGAAAGCAAUGUUAUCCAAACUUUGACACCGGAAGAGAACACAUAAAAGAGUCCUUCCGGGACACUCCAGAAUCGUGAAAAUAAGGAGAUACAUGAUACGGUAAGUAAACGGACUCCGAAAAAUUCGCAAAAAUACUUUUGUCAGUUUGGGAAUAUUUAGAAAAUUAGGAAAAUAAGAAACUUCUAGGAAAGUAACCCUGGUGGGCACGAUACACUAGGGCUCCUAGGUGGGUUGUGUCCACCUCGGGUACUCUCCGGACUCCAUUUUUCUACAUUAUGCUUGUUCCCCAAGAUAAAAAAUCUAUAUAUACCUCCCGAACCUGUUAACCUCCAUACCGCGGAGAAAUCUCCUGUUUUCUUUUCUUGUUGUUUUCUGUCAGAUCCAACCCACCAUGGCCGCUUCAAGCUCCUCUCCAAGGACAAGUUCUUCGACAACAUCAUCAACCCAUAUCUGCGGGAGGUGAUGCAGCAACCUCAAGUUAUCCAGAUGCGCGAUGGGGUGCUGCACAUCUGUGAUGUGCAAGGACCCAGGGGGACUAGAUCCAUGGAGGCCAGGUUUGGAGCGAUGGAGCAGGACAUCUUCAAGUGCAAGGGGAUGGUGGAGCGUGGACUCAAUGCCAAUCACCUCAUGAUCACAGACUAUACCCAUGAUCUCAAGGUGGAUGGAAAGCCCAUAAAGUACAUCAUCUUCUCCUUCAACGAGCAAAUCAACUUCCUCCAUAGCCAGAUCCACGAUCUUCGAAGCUUGGUCUUUGAAUAUGAGGCUAGGUUUAAAGGUAUGAGUUUGGCUGCCAGUUGUAGGAUCCGGGAGACUCACUCCUCCUCUUAUGAUGGUGAGCCUCUGCCAUGGAAACCCGAGGGCAAGAAACCUUCUACUUCAUCACCACCAUCUUCUUCAUCACCACCAAAAGAGAACUGAGUCUUGGGUAUGGGCACUCCACUUGGCUUUUGCCAAGCUUGGGGGAGGUGCCCAGGUAUCGUAUCAUCUCCACUAUCUGUUGCCUUUAAUUUCUUAUUUCGAUCAAUGGUUAUCUUUUGCUUUUAGAUGAAUAAAAGUUUAGUUCAAUCCUUUCUUUUUGUGAGUUUGCUUAGUGAUCAUCCUUGUAAUUGUGUGCAAGAUAUAUAAUAAAGUUUAGUUUGAGUCUUGCCUUCUUUACUUUCUUGUUGCAACAAAAGAAAGGAAAUAAAAAGAAAAGGAUCAUAUGCUAAUCUUAUGGUAGGUGAUGACAUUACACAAGGAAAAGUAUAAGUAGAAAAUUUUAUUGUAGAUUGACAAACAUAGCAUUGGUCAAUGAUGCAACUCAUGAAAGAAUUAAUAAGGGAAGAGAAGAUUCACAUAUAAAUAUACUAUCAUGGAAAUCUUUUGUGAUUGUGAGCACCCAUUGAGGGAGUCCUGGAUUAAGAGGUCCUCGAGCGUCCGGCCUAUUGACCUGGGCCGGACUGAUGGGCUGUGAAGAUACAAGACCGAAGACUCUCACUUGUGUCCGAAUGGGACUCUCCUUGGCGUGGAAGGCAAGCUUGGCGUCUGGAUAUCAAGAUUCCUUUCUCUAUAACGGACUUUGUAUAACCCUAGUCCCCUAUGGUGUCUAUAUAAACCGGAGGGGUUAGUCCAUAGAGGCAAUCAUAAUCAUACAGGCUAGACUUCUAGGGUUUUAGCCAUUAGGAUCUCGUGGUAGAUCAACUCUUGUAAUACUCAUAUUCAUCAAGAUCAAUCAAGUAGGAAGUAGGGUAUUACCUCCAUAGAGAGGGCCCGAACCUAGGUAAACAUCGUGUCCCCCGCCUCCUGUUACCAUCAGCCUUAGAUGCACAGUUUGGGACCCCCUACCCGAGAUCCGCGGUUUUGACACCGACAUUGGUGCUUUCAUUGCGAGUUCCGCUGCGUCGUCACCAAAAGGUUUGAUGGCUCCAUUAAUCAGCUACAACAAUGCAGUCCAGGGGGAGGUUUUCCUUCCUGGACAGAUCUUCGUAUCUGGCGGCUUCGCACUGUGGGCCAACUCGCUUGGGCAUCUAGAGCAGAUCGACAGCUAUGCCCCUGGCCAUCAGGUCAGGUUUGGAAGCUUGAAUUACGUUGCCGAUAUCUUCGGAGACUUGAUCUUUGACGGAUUCAAGCCCAUGACAGCCACUCCCUGCCACCACGAUGAACAUGACCUAAAUCUGUCAUCAGAUCGUGCCCAGGAGAUAGUGCAUGUAACUACUCUGGCCCUAGAUUUGGAGCAGAUUGCGUCGUCCGAGGACGGGAAGCUCAACCCCGCCACGGAAGCCGCGGACUCAGCGGUGUUAGAGUCGCACACAGAUCCAACCUCGAGCGGGGCGUGUGUCACCGGAACCUCGGAUUCGUCUCCGGCCAUAGGUUCCAUACCGCAUGCAUCCGCGCCCAUCGAACCUGAUCAGGCGCCGAUCGUUGAAUUCAGCUCCGCGGACAUCUUUCAGCACUCACCUUUAGGCGAUGUGCUAAACUCAUCAAAAGCACUCUCUUUAUCAGAGGACUCUCAGCCGAACUAUAUCUGGUUUGGUCUGGAAGGUGAUGACGGAGAAUACUGCUUCCAACCCACCACCCACUUCAUAGCCACAGUCGAAGACUUAACCGACAUGCUCGAUUACGGCUCCAAAGACAUCGACGGUAUGGAUGACGAUGCCGGAGAGGAGCAGGCACAAAAACCACCGCUUACAGGGCGCUGGACAGCCACCUCCUUGUAUGACGUAUACAUGGUGGAUACACCCAAAGAGAACAACGAUGACAAUGAAAAGGAUCCUGUCGAAGAUAAGCCUUCUGAGAUACAGCCAAAGCGCCGACGUCAGCGGCGCCUCUCUAAACCACGCCGUGGAAAAAAUAGCAAUACCUGCACAAGAGAAAAUAAUACUCCGGAUGAUGCCGAAGACAACGAAGACCUCGUUGAGCCAACUUCUGAACAUGAUGAACGGGAUGAUGUGCGAGUCAGCCCUAAUGAACAGGCCAUUAACAAAGACUCGGAGGACAGUAAUUAUCUUCCACCCUCCAAGGAUGAGGCAAGCCUCGGCGACGAAGACUUUAUCGUGCAUGAGGAGCCCAUCGAUCAGGAGCGCUUUAAGCGCCGGCUAAUAGCCACUGCAAGGAGCCUGAAAAAGAAGCAGCAGCAGCUUCAAGCUGAUCAAGCUCUGCUCAACGAUAGAUGGACAAAUGUCCUAGCAGCCGAAGAAUACAGCCUCGAGCGCCCAACCAAAAUUUACCCGAAGCGCAAAUUAUUACCCCAAUUCGAUGACGAGGCGCUGGAGCCCGUCCUACCAGCGCAUAAUGCGGCUGACCGACCACCACAUGUAGGGAUGAAAAUGGAGUGGAAACUUUCCGUUUUUUUGGGAAGAAGAAUGGAAACGGAGAGGAAAUAUGAAAACAGAAACGAAAAUUUGCAAAACAGAAGUGGAAAUGGAAUUUUUUAUGUGGAAACAGAAAUAGAAACGGAACGGUGUUUUCCGGUGGAACAUGCAUGGAAAUGGAACUUUUCGUUUACAUGAGUAUGGAAUUUCUAUUUUUACUAUAGACCUAUAGCUGCUUUGUAACCCAACCACCAAAGAGAACACAAUGACACAAUUAGUAUAAUGGAUCUAAGGCCCAACUUCUACUACCACACAUGUACUCAGCUUGACCCUAUACGCAAUUGUCCGGUACUACUACAAUACUACGCUAAGUUGCUAACAUAAUGAUAUCAUUUUGUAGCCAUGUUAACAACUCAUUAAAUUUGUUUGUUUUUGUGUGUAUUUAUCUAUGAUUCAAGGGGUUUUUAAGUUCCGAUCAAUGCCUAUUUCUGUUUACGUAUCCUCUUUGUAUUCGCUCUGUGUACGUUUUCGGUAGUAUCUGUUUCCAUAUUCAUUUCGGGGUUUCUGUAUUUGUUUCUGCUUCUGCAAAAAAAUGUGAAAACAAAUAUGAUAGAACUCAGUUCAGUCUGUUUCCGCUACAUUUUCAUUCCUAACCACGUGGCCGGGACAAAGCAGCAACUCAAGCCGAACACCAGCCUGUACCACCUCGCGGUAAGGGCAGAGACAUAACAUCUCGGGGUCAUACAUAUGACCUGCGACAAGACCUAGACAACACAACAGGUCAGACCAGAUAGAUCUACAGGUCAUGGGGACGUGCCCGGACGCGCAACAAUGGCCAUCUAGCCGGACGUGAUAAACACAACCACGCCCGGGCCGAGCACCAUAGACGAACCCCAUCCGAGCUACGCGCAACAUGGCCCGACAUAGAGGCGCCACACACCCCCUUUGAUUCACUGAUGAAGUAAUGGAACACGAAUUCCCGGAAGGAUUCAAACCCAUGAAUAUCGAAUCGUACAAUGGAACAACAAACCCCAUAGUUUGGAUUGAAGAUUUCCUCCUCCAUAUCCAGAUGACCUGGAGUGUUGACAUCCACGCCAUCAAAUACCUCCCAUUAUAACUAAAGAGGCCAGCGCGGCACUAGCUGAACAGCCUCCCUGAGAACUCCAUUGGCAGCUGGGAAGACUUGGAAGACGCCUUCCGCAAUAACUUCCAACGUACAUAUGUUCGGCCCCCAGAUGCCGAUGACCUAAGCCACAUCAUCCAGCAGCCCGGGGAGUCUUCCAGGAAGCUCUGGACUAGGUUCUUAGUCAAAAAGAACCAAAUUGUUGAUUGUCCGGACGCCGAAGCCCUCACGGCCUUUAAACAUAGCGUCCAAGAUGAGUGGCUCGCCCGCCACCUCGGUCAAGAAAAACCAACAUCCAUAGCUGCCCUUACCACUCUGAUAACCCAUUUUUGCGCGGGAGAAGACAGCUGGCUCGCUCGUAGAAGCAACAACACCAUUGAUUCAGGUACUUCCGAAGUUCGAGACGGCAACGGCAAGCCACAACACAAUAAACACAAGCGUGCAAUAACAAUGAAGGAACGCAGGACAUGGCGGUCAAGGCCGGAUUCAGUGGUUCCAAUCCCGGUCAACGAAAAAAGCCAUUCAAGGCAAACAGAGACGGGCCAUCCAAUUUAGACAAGAUACUGGAUCGGCCCUGCCAGAUUCAUGGCACCCUCGUUAAACCAGCCAAUCACACCAACAGGAGCUGUUGGGUUUUUAAACAAGUCGGCAUGCUUAAUGCCGAACACAAGGUGAAGGGGCCGCCCAGUGACAAUGAUGACGAAGAGACUCGCCAGCCGAACACCGGGGGUCAGAAGCAAUUCCCCCCGAAGUAAAGACAAUGAACAUGAUAUGCGUGACGCACAUCCCUAUAGGGGACCGCAAGCGCGCUCUACGGGAUGCCGGUGCCAUAGAGCCAGCCGCCCCAAAAUUAAGCCAAUGGGCGGCACGCCCGAUCGCUUUUGAUCACAAGGACCACCCAGGCAAUAUCCUUCACAAAGGUUCCAUCUCACGAAAGUCCUUAUGGACAGCGGCAGUAGCCUUAAUCUACUCUACCAAGACACUGUCUGCAAAAUGGGCAUUUAUCCUUCAAGAAUCAGGCCCACCUCAACUGAACAAUAUCCGGCGUAGAAGCUCACUUCACGGGCUCGAUUACAUUAGAAGUCAUUUUCGGCUCGCCGAACAACUUUUGAAGCGAAGGCUUGACCUUCGAUAUUGUCCCGCUCCAUAGUAGAUGCCAUGCACUACUCGGGCGUACCGCUUUCGCUCGCUUUAAUGCGGUCCACAUUACACCUAUUUCCAACUUAAGAUGUCCGGUCCAUGCGGCACCAUCACAAUAAAUGGAAAUAUGGAAUGUUCCCUCCGUACAGAGAAACACACUGCGGAUACUGCGGCCAAAGUACAAAACGACAUUAUCAAGCCGCACAUUUCGUCAGCCAUCAAGCUGCCGGUCUCCAUUAGACAGGACCAAUCAAUCUCAGAGCUGAAUUACCAGUUCGGCCUCUGUCGUCCGCCCCAUAUAGCCGCGAAGUCUGUCCCGCGGACAUAAAUAUACACUUAAAAUACCCUGGUCACCGACGGAGGCACAAUGCGGACAGACCUAUAACACUAUCCGCACUCUCAUAGCCUUUUUUUUCUAACCAUUUUUUAUCUUUUACUACAGGUGACUAUAUUUGCUGAGAAGUCCUUUAACCAAGGCACAGCAGCGCAGACGUGCGACAGGAGGUCCAAAUGUUUUCUGUAGACCGCACUCUUUAUUUUAAACCUGUAAAGUGCCCUUUUUAUCAGCUUUCGACCCUCGGCAUAUAUUGCCAGGGGCUCGAUAUGGCAACAUAUGAGUUGCCAACAAGUCCGAGCAGCUUUAUAGCACAUUUCGGCGUCACGAGUUUGGCCUUAUAUGCAUCAGCUCCGAAUCAUGUCUUUGGAAAACAGUUGGGUUGCCCAGCUCCUUUGCUUACUACCUUACGUUCCGCUCUAUCGGCUAGGGUAGUAAAGGGAGAUCUACUGCGAUUGUGUCCUGGUUCGUCCGGAUGAGAACCUCAGUAGAGAAAGCCGAAAACUGACUGUCAUGAUGCGGCGAGAGCUGGUCAACCACUCAAUGACUCACCGGAAUCUUAGCGAUUCCUUCCGUAUUACACUAAGGACCGUUCUUCUGGUCACGUAUGUAAACGCACCCUAUUCAGAUAACCUCGUACAUACCAGGGGCUAUAUCAUAGACCCAUCGUCAAACUCCUAUGGCUAAGUGAGAGUAUUAGAGCCGUAUAGUCCGAUUGCCUGGUUCGCCGCAUUGAAACCUCCUUAAUGGACCAAGACAUUGGGUCAAGAGUGAUCAAGUGCUUUUCCGAACACCCCCGCGCUAUAUGCGAGAGGGUCGAAGCCGACCACUGGUAAACUUUCAGAUUAUACAAAAAAUGGCCGCACGGGAGGCACCAAAAAAAAUUUAGGCAAAAGUAUAAAACAUAGCCCUAAUAUAUCAUAAUAUUGUUUUUACAAUUUUGGUACACUUCACUCGAACAUAAUAUCUUUCGAGCACUGACCCUCUAUCAAGAGGGCACCCUCUAGGACAUCCUCAAAAUAAUGCUCUGGCAUAUGAUCAUCCUUGCCCUUGGGUGGACUUUUCGCUGCAAUAUCGGUGGCCUUCAUCUUCGCCCAGUAUGUCUUGACGCGGGCAAGGGCCAUCCGUGCACCUUCUAUCCACGUUGACUGCUUGACAGCAUUGAUACGCGGAACCGCAUCAACAAGUCGCUGCACCAAACCGAAAUAACUAUUCAGAAUUGGCUUAGUCGGCCACAGCUAGACCACGACGUCCUUCAUGACAGAUCCGGAUAUCUUGUGGAGCUCAGCCCACUGGGCAAUCUGUUCAUUCAGCAACAGCGGACGCUUUGGCAUGCUGAAUUGCGACCAGAAAAGCUUUUCCGUUGCAUGCCUUCUUGCGCUUGGAAAAAUUGUGUUGCAUCGGAGACACUCUUCGGCAAGUCCAAAACUGCGUCUGGAGAACUCCACAUUUGAUUAAGCGGGGCGUACUUCGGAUCACCGAAUUUAGUUUGUAAUAAGAAGGGCUUACCAGCCGCGAUCUCCCCAGCUUGUCGGAUCUCCUCCCGAGCUGCUCUAGACUCAGACCGUGCUUCCCUCGCCUCUUGUAAGGCCUUAUCAAGAUCAACCACUCUGGUUUUGUUAUCUUUCUCGAGAAAUUCGCAUCGGCUAGUGGCAUCCUUUAGCUCAAGCGCCAUAGUAGAUAUUCUCUCCUCGCACUGGCGCCGAGCAGCCUGUUCGGCCUCUAAUUCAGUAGCUACCUUUUCGGCAGCCGCAUUACUCAUCCUGGCUUGCUCCUUGGCCCGGGCAAGCUCAUCCCGAAGGGUCUCAACUUCGGCGGCACUAUCUGCAGUUAUGCAUACCUCAGUAUACAAUUCUCAGCGUCAUGGUCAUAUUAUAGCACUUGCAUAAACUGACUGCCCCAAAAACAUACCUUGCGGCUCGUCGAGCCGCCUGUUAAUAAGCGAUGUCAUCAUCCGCCACAUCAAGUUUCUGCUUCAUAUCUGCAACGUCUGUAGCUUGGGCAGUCGCCAGGGAUGUAACAGCCUGUGUUCCAAUUAGUCAGAUUAUUUCAUGGGCAUAUCUUUCUUGAUCCUCUGAUCGCCUCCCUUUGGAUGCCAACCAAAGUCUCAGGGGCUACUAUCUAUACACAGGGCAUUUUGCGUUUAUAGCACAAUUGAAAAUAUUACAUUACGUACCUCGAAGCCUCUUAGCAGGCCCGUAAAGGCUUCAUUCAAUCCGCUUUUCAUGGAUAGAACCCUCUCAACCACCGCACCCAUCAAGGUACGAUGUUCCUCUGAGACGGGCGCAUGUCGCAAUAUGUCCAUCAAUGUAUCCGGCGCCUCCGGAUCCCUGGAAGCAGCUGAAGGGGUACGGACUCCUUUCAUAGGAAUAUGUAUACUCGACCUUAGAGUCAUCUCUGGCUGUAAAUCAGAUAGUCCGAGGCCUUUAUUGUUGGUCCCCAGAGGGGCCGCACAUCUCGGACCCUGGACAGCCAAAGUGUCCCCUUCGGGCCUAGUCUUCAUUGUCCCUCGCACCACUUGUUGAUCGGGAGAGAUCCUCCGGGACGACACCUCGGUGUCGUCUACCUUAUUAGGCGGGGAGAUCUAUGGAGGCGUCUCGCUCUUCAUCAUCUCCGAAAGAAGAUCCCCCGACGAGGAGGAUUGUUGAGGAAGGCUGCAUGCCGGACUGCAAGCAUAUAUUUUAAAUGUUACCCUUGCAACCAGGAAAGAACGGGAUAUGUUUAAAACACCCUUGUUCACUUAAUAUUCAGCUAAGGGCAUGUCCUUACGAAGGAACUGCGUGUCAACAUCACCUCCCGAACCAGAACCCCCUGACAGGGAUAUCUUCCCUCGCUUAGAAGCCUUUAUCUUCAACUCUUCGGAGGCGGUUCUCUUCUUCCCAUGGGGAGAAGGGAUGUCAGUUUCUCCUUCCCUUACAUCUUCGGAAGAGGGAGUUCCAAUCUCCCCGGACGAGGUACCUGGCAUGCCUCUAGAAUGGGGGCCACCCUGGGCCUUUUUGCUCUCCUCCUUGUCUUCCUUCGCCGGCACUUGAUAUGGUGCCGGAACCAACAUCCUUGUCAACACCAGAUCAGCUGAGUCUUCGGGAAGAGGGGACGAACACCUAAAUUCUCUCCGCCUUCAUGAUCCAGACCUGGCCGGGUAUGUUUUUCUCAGUACAUUGUUAUGAGAAAUUUAACUAAGCUGUGUUCGGGAGUCGAGUGCUUACCGAGGUAUCCGAAUGGUUGCAGUCAAGGCCGAUGUCUUCUGUAGUAUCCGGCCACUGUUUUCGUGUCCCGAAGAAUAAUUUCCAGAUUCCUUUGAGCGUCGUGUCGGAGAAGUGUUGAAGGGUUCGUGGUCCUUCCGGAUUGAACACCCACUUGCGGAGAGGCCGUUGCUGGCACAGUAGGACCUGACGGACUAGCAUUACUUGGAUUACGUUGAUGAGACUGGUGUCCUUUUCAAUGAGGCUCCGUAUGCGGCUUUGCAGCAUCUGCACUUCAUCAAUGGAUCCCCAAUCCAGCCCCUUAUUAAUCCAUGAUGCAAGCUGUAACAGAGGGCCAGAUCGGAACGCAGGUGCAGCUGCCCACUUGGUACCACAGGUUCAGUGAUGUAAAACCACUCCCGCUGCUAUAGGUCGGAAGUUUCUGUGAAGGAGCCCUUUGGCCAAGGAGUAUUAGUGAGUUUUCUCACUGCAGCACCACCGCACUCCGCUUGUUUCCCGUCGACUACCUUCGGCUUCACAUUAAAGUUCUUGAGCCACAAGCCGAAGUGUCAGGGAAUACGGAGGAAGGCCUCGCACAUGAUAAUCAACGCCGAGACAUGAAGAAAGGAGUCCGGAGCUAGAUCGUGAAAAUCUAGCCCGUAAUAGAACAUGAGCCCUCGAACGAAGGGAUGAAGAGCGAACCCUAGCCCUCGGAGGAAGUGGGAGAUGAAUACGACCCUCUCACCGGAUCUGGGAGUAGGAGUAACCUACCCGUGCGCAGGAAGCCUGUGGGGGAUUUCUGCGGUCAGGUAUCUUGCCGCCCGGAGCUUCGCAAUAUCCUCCUCUAUGAUAGAGGAAGCCACCCACCGGCCUUGAGGGUUGGGUUCAGACAUGACUAGAAUUGCGAAGCAAUUAGACUCAACCUUGGGCACUAGAGCUCUAGGUGGGAGAGGUUGAGGAAAGGGUUGGCGUAAAGGAGAGAAGACGGGUCUUAGCCCCCUUAUAAAGGCGAGGAAUAUCAAACACCCCCUCCUAGGCCUUAAAACAUGCCUAUUCCCAAGGAAUCAUGCCAACGGAACGGUUGGGUUACCCAUGCCCGUAUUGAUGAGAAUCCCGUAAUAAGGGGACGCGAUCUCUGUUUUGACAAGACAUGUCAAUGAAACCGCAUCUCGAAAUAUGGAGCGAUAGGCUAAAAACAGUUCGAAAUAAUGGCCAGGCGGCGACGUGAUGUCACAUUACAAAAGUGUUGGAGAACGUAGUAAUUUAAAAAUUUCCUACGCACAUGCAGGAUCAUGGUGAUGCAUAGCAACGAGAGGGGAGAAUGUGUCCACGUACCCUCGUAGACCGAAAGUGGAAGCGUUAGCACAACGCGGUUGAUGUAGUCAUACAUCUUCACGAUCCGACCGAUCCAGUACCGAACGCAUGACACUUCCGAGUUCAGCACACGUUCAGCUCGAUGACGUCCCUCGAACUCCGAUCUAGCCAAGCUUUGAGGGAGAGUUCCGUCAGCACGACGGCGUGGUGAUGAUGAUGAUGUUCUACCGAUGCUGGGCUUCGCCUAAGCACCGCUACGAUAUUAUCGAGGUGGAUUAUGGUGGUGGGGGGCACCGCACACGGCUAAGAGAUCCAAGGGAUCAAUUGUUGUAUCUAGAGGUGCCCCCUGCCCCCGUAUAUAAAGGAGGGAGAGAGAGGCUGGCCCUAGAGGGGGAGCGCCAAGUGUGGGGAGUCCUAGUAGGAUUCCCCUUUCCUUUCCGGAGUAGGAGAGAAGGAAAGAGGGGGAGAGGGAAAAGGAAAAGGGGGCUGCACCCCUUGUCCAAUUCGGACCAGAGGGGGGGCGCGCCUCCUUCCUUUUGGCCUCUCUCCUCUAUUCCCGUAUGGCCCAAUAAGGCCCAAUACUUCUCCCGGUGAAUUCCCGUAACUCCCAGGUACUCCGAAAAUACCCGAAUCACUCGGAACCUUUCUGAUGUCCGAAUAUAGUCGUCCAAUAUAUCGAUCUUUAUGUCUCGACCAUUUUGAGACUCCUUGUCAUGUCCCCGAUCACAUACGGUACUCCGAACUACCUUAGGUACAUCAAAACACAUAAAUUCAUAAUAUAAUCGUCAUCUAACUUUAAGUGUGCGGACCCUAUGGGUUCGAGAACUAUGUAGACAUGACCGAGACACGUCUCCGGUCAAUAACCGAUAGAGGAACCUGAAUGUUCAUAUUGGAUCCUACAUAUUCUACGAAGAUCUUCAUCGGCCAAACCGCAUAACAACAUACAUUGUUCCCUUUGUCAUCGGUAUGUUACUUGACCGAGAUUCGAUCGUCGGUAUCUCAAUACCUAGUUCAAUCUCGUUACCGGCAAGUCUCUUUACUCGUUCCGUAAUACAUCAUCCUGCAACUAACUCAUUAGUUACAAUGCUUGCAAGGCUUAUAGUGAUGUGCAUUACCGAGUGGGCCCUGAGAUACCUCUUCGACAAUCGGAGUGACGAAUCCUAAUCUUGAAAUACGUCAACCCAACAAGUACCUUCGGAGACACCUAUAGAGCACCUUUAUAAUCACCCAGUUACGUUGUGACGUUUGGUAGCACACAGAGUGUUCCUCCGAUAAACGGGAGUUGCAUAAUCUCAUAGUUUUAUGAACAUGUAUAAGUCAUGAAGAAAGCAAUAGCAACAUACUAAACGAUCAGGUGCUAAGCUAAUGGAAUGGGUCAAGUCAAUCACAUCAUUCUCCUAAUGAUGUGAUCCCGUUAAUCAAAUGACAACUCAUGUCUAUAGUUAGGAAACUUAACCAUAUUUGAUUAACGAGCUAGUCAAGUAGAGGCAUACUAGUGACACUAUGUUUGUCUAUGUAUUCACACAUGUAUUAUGUUUCCGGUUAAUACAAUUCUAGCAUGAAUAAUAAACAUUUAUCAUGAAAUAAGGAAAUAAAUAAUAGCUUUAUUAUUGCCUCUAGGGCAUAUUUUAUUCAGUCUCCCACUUGCACUAGAGUCAAUAAUCUAGUUCACAUCGCCAUGAGAUUUAACACCAAUAUUCAUAUAUGUAUAUGAUUAACACCCAUAGUUCACAUCGUCAUGUGACCAACACCCAAAGGGUUUACUAGAGUCAAUAAUCUAGUUCACAUUGCUAUGUGAUUAACACCCAAAGAGUACUAAGGUGUGAUCAUGUUUUGCUCAUGAGAGAAGUUUAGUCAACGGGUCUGUCACAUUCAGAGUCGUAUGUAUUUUGCAAAAAUAUUCUAUGUCUACAAUGUUCUGUACGGAGCUAAUCUAGCUAAUUGCUCCCACUUUCAAUAUGUGUCCAGAUUGACACUUAGAGUCAUCUGGAUCAGUGUCAAAUCUUGCAUCAACGUAACCUUUUACGACGAACCUCUUGUCACCUCCAUAAUCGAGAAACAUAUCCUUAUUCCACUAAGGAUAAUUUUGACCAAUGUCUAGUGAUCUACUCCUAGAUCACCAUUGUACUCCCUUGCCAAACCAGGGCAGAGUAUACAAUAGGUCUGGUCCAUAGCAUGGCAUACUUUUAUAGAACCUAUGACUGAGGCAUAGGGAAUGACUUCCAUUUUCUUUCUAUUUUCUGCCGUGGUCGGGAUUUGACUCCUACUCAAUUUCAUACCUUUACAACACAGGCAAGAACUCUUUCUUUGACUGUUCCAUUUUGAACUACUUCAAAAUCUUGUCAAGGUAUGUACUCAUUGAAAAUCAUAUCAAGCGUCUUGAUCUAUCUCAAUAGAUCUUGAUGCUCAAUAUGUAAUUAGCUUUACUGAGGUCUUUCUUUUAAAGAACUCCUUUCAAACACUUCCUUAUGCUUUCCAGAAAAAUUCUACAUCAUUUCUGAUCAACAAUAUGUCACUCACAUAUACUUAUCAAAAAGGUUGUAGUGCUCCCACUCACUUUAUUGUAAAUACAGGCUUCACUGCAAGUCCGUAUAAAACUAUAUGCUUUGAUCAACUUAUCAAAGCAUAUAUUUCAACUCCGAGAUGCUUGCACGAGUCCAUAGAUGGAUCACUGGAGCUUGCACAUUUUGUUAGCACCUUUAGGAUUGACAAAACCUUCUGGUUGCAUCAUAUACAACUCUUCUUUAAGAAAACCAUUAAGGAAUGCAGUUUUGACAUCCAGUUGCCAGAUUUCAUAAAAUGUGGCAAUUGCUAACAUGAUUUGGACAGACUUAAGCAGCGCUACAGUUGAGAAAAUCCCAUUGUAGUCAACACCUUGAACUUGUCGAAAACCUUUUUGCGACUAGUCGAGCUUUGUAGAUAGUAACACUACCAUCAACGUCGGCCUUCCUCUGGAAGAUCCAUUUAUUUUCUAUGGCUCGCUGAUCAUCGGGCAAGUCAACCAAAGUCCACACUUUGUUCUCAUACAUGGAUCCUAUCUCAGAUUUCAUGGCCUCCAGCCAUUUCGCAGAAUUUGGGCUCAUCAUCGCUUCCUCAUAGUUCGUAGGUUUAUCAUGGUCUAGUAACAUGACUUUCAGAACAGGAUUACCGUACCACUCUGGUGCAGACCGUACUCUGGAAGACCUACGAGGUUCUGUAGUAACUUGACCUAAAGUUUCAUGAUCAUCAUCAUUAGCUUCCUCACUAAUUGGUGUAGGAAUCACUGGAACUGAUUUCAGUGAUGAACUAUUUUCCAAUUCGGGAGAAGGUAUUAUUACCUCAUCAAGUUCUACUUUUCUCCCACUCACUUCUUUCGAGAGAAACUUCUUCUCUAGAAAGGAUCCAUUCUUGGCAAUGAAUGUCUUGCCUUCGGAUUUGUGAUAGAAGGUGUACCCAACAGUCUCCUUUGGGUAUCCUAUGAAGACGCAUUUCUCCGAUUUGGGUUCGAGCUUAUCAAGUUGAAACUUUUUCACAUAAGCAUCGUAACUCCAAACUUUAAGAAACGACAACUUAGGUUUAUUGCUAAACCAUAGUUUAUACGGUGUCAUCUCAAUGGAUUUAGAUGGUGCCCUAUUUAAUGUGAAUGCAGCUAUCUCUAAUGCAUAACCCCAAAACGAUAUUGGUAAAUCGGUAAGAGACAUCAUUGAUCGCACCAUAUCAAAUAAAGUGUGGUUAUGACGUUCGGACACAUUGUUACGCUGUAGUGUUCCAGGUGGCAUGAGUUUGUGAAACUAUUCCACAUUAUUUUAACUGAAGGCCAAACUCGUAACUCAAAUAUUCAUCUCCACGAUCAGAUCGCAGAAACUUUAUUUUCUUGUUACGAUGAUUUUCCACUUCACUCUGAAAUUCUUUGAACCUUUCAACUAUUUUAGACUUAUGUUUCAUCAAGUAGAUAUACCCAUAUCUGCUCAAAUCAUCUGUGAAGGUCAGAAAAUAACGAUACCCACCACGAGCCUUAAUUCUCAUUGGUCUACAUACAUCAGUAUGUAUUAUUUCCAACAAGUCAGUAGCUCAUUCCAUUGUUCUGGAGAACGGAGUUUUAGUCAUCUUUCCCAAAAGGCACGGUUCGCAAGCAUCAAAUGAUUCAUAACCAUGUGAUUCCGAAAAUCCAUCUUUAUGGAGUUUCUUCAUGCGCUUUACACUGAUAUGACCCAAACAGCAGUGCCACAAAUAAGUUGCACUAUCAUUAUUAACUUUGCAUCUUUUGGCAUCAAUAUUAUGAAUAUGUGUAUCACUACGAUCGAGAUCCAACAAUGUAUUUUCAUUGGGUGUAUGACCAUUGGAGGUUUUAUUCAUGUAAACAGAACAACAAUUAUUCUUUGACUUUAAAUGAAUAACUGUAUUGCAAUAAACAUGAUCAAAUCAUAUUCAUGCUCAACGCAAACGCCAAAUAACAUUUAUUUAGGUUUAACACUAAUCCCGAAAGUAUAGGGAGUGUGAGAUGAUGAUCAUAUCAAUCUUGGAACUACUUCCAACACUCAUCGUCACUUCCCCUCAACUAGUCUCUGUUUAUUAUGUAACUCUUGUUUCGAGUUACUAAUCUUAGCAACCGAACAAGUAUCAAAUACUCAGGGGCUACUAUAAACACUAGUAAGGCACACAUCAAUAACCUGUAUAUCAAAUAUACCCAUGUUCACUUUGUCAUCCUUCUUAUCCACCAAAUAUUCAGGGCAUUUCCGUUUCCAGUGACCAUUUCCUUUGCAGUGUAAGCACUGAGUUUCAGGCUUUGGUCCAACUUUGGGCUUCUUCGCAAGAGUGACAACUUGCUUGUCAUUCUACUUGAAGUUCCCUUUAUUUCCCUUUGCCCUUUUCUUGAAACUAGUGGUCUUGUUAAUCAUCAACACUUGAUGCUCUUUCUUGAUUUCUACCUUCGUUGAUUUCAACAUCGCGAAGAGCUCGGGAAUCGUUUUCGUCAUUCUUUGCAUACUAUAGUUCAUCACGAAAUUCUACUAACUUGGUGAUGGUGACUAAAGAACUCUAUCAAUCACUAUCUUAUCUAGAAGAUUAACUCACACUUGAUUAAAGCGAUUGUAGUAACCAGACAAUCUGAGCACAUGCUCACUAGUUGAGCAAUUCUCCUCCAUCUUUUAGCUAUAGAACUUGUUGGAGACUUCAUAUCUCUCAACUCGGGUAUUUUCUUGAAAUAUUAACUCCAACUCCUGGAACAUCUCAUAUGGCCCAUGACGUUCAAUAUGUCUUUGAAGUCCCGAUUUUAAGCUAUUAAGCAUGGUGCACUAAUCUAUCAAGUAGUCAUCAUAUUGAGCUAGCCAAAUGUUCAUAACGUCUGCAUCUGCUCCUGCAAUAGGUCCGUCACCUAGCGGUGCAUCAAGGACAUAAUGCUUCUGUGCAGCAAUGAGGACAAUCCUUAGAUCACGGAUCCAAUCCACAUCAUUGCUACUAACAUCUUUCAACACAGUUUUCUCUAGGAACAUAUCAAAAUAAACAUAUGAAAGCAACAACGCGAGCUAUUGAUCUACAACAUAAUUUGCAAAAUACUACCAGGACUAUGUUCAUGAUAAAUUUAAGUUCAAUUAAUCAUAUUAUUGAAGAACUCCCACAUAGAUAGACAUCUCUCUAUUUAUCUAAGUGAUCACGUGAUCCAAAUCAACUAAACCAUAACCGAUCAUCACGUGAAAUGGAGUAGUUUUCAAUGGUGAACAUCACUAUGUUGAUAAUAUCUACUAUAUGAUUCACACUCGACCUUUUGGUCUCAGUGUUCUGAGGACAUAUCUGCAUAUGCUAGGCUCGUCAAGUUUAACCUGAGUAUUCUGCGUGUGCAAAACUGGCUUGCACCCGUUGUAGAUGGACGUAGAGCUUAUCACACCCGAUCAUCACGUGGUGUCUAGGCAUGACGAACUUUGGCAACGGUGCAUACUCAGGGAGAACACUUUUAUCUUGAAAUUUAGUGAGAGAUCAUCUUAUAAUGUUACCGUCAAUCAAAGCAAGAUAAGAUGCAUAAAAGAUAAACAUCACAUGCAAUCAAUAUAAGUGAUAUGAUAUGGCCAUCAUCAUCUUGUGCUUGUGAUCUCCAUCUCCGAAGCACCGUCAUGAUCACCAUCGUCACCGCCGCGACACCUUGAUCUCCAUCAUAUCAUCAUUGUCGUCUCGCCAACUAUUGCUUCUACGACUAUCGCUACCGCUUAGUGAUAAAGUAAAGCAAUUACAGGGCGAUUGCAUUGCAUACAAUAAAGCGACAACCAUAUGGCUCCUGCCAGUUGCCGAUAACUCGGUUACAAAACAUGAUCAUCUCAUACAAUAAAAUAUAGCAUCAUGCCUUGACCAUAUCACAUCACAACAUGCCCUGUAAAAACAAGUUAGACGUCCUCUACUUUGUUGUUGCAAGUUUUACGUGGCUGGAAUGGGCUGAGCAAGAACCGUUCUUACCUAUGCAUCAAAACCACAAUGAUAGUUCGUCAAGUUAGUGUUGUUUUAACCUUCUCAAGGACCGGGUGUAGCCACACUCGGUUCAACUAAAGUUGGAGAAACUGACACCCGCCAGCCACCUGUGUGCAAAGCGCGUCGGUAGAACCAGUCUCGCGUAAGCGUACGUGUAAUGUCAGUCCGGGCCGCUUCAUCCAACAAUACCGCCGAACCAAAGUAUGACAUGCUGGUAAGCAGUAUGACUUGUAUCGCCGACAACUCACUUGUGUUCUACUCGUGCAUAUAAUAUCUACGUAUAAACCUGGCUCGGAUGCCACUGUUGGGGAAUGUAGUAAUUUAAAAAAUUUCCUAUGCACACACAGGAUCACGGUGAUGCAUAGCAACGAGAGGGGAGAGUGUGUCCACGUACCCUUAUAGACUGAAAGCGGAAGCAUUAGCACAACGCGGUUGAUGUAGUCGUACGUCUUCACGAUCCGACCGAUCAAGUACCGAACGCACGGCACCUCCGAGUUCAGCACACGUUCAGCUCGAUGACGUCCCUCGAACUCCGAUCCAACCGAGCUUUAAGGGAGACUUCCGUCAGCACGACGGCGUGGUGACGAUGAUGAUGUUCUACCGACGCAGGGCUUCGCCUAAGCACCGCUACGAUAUUAUCGAGGUGGAUUAUGGUGGAGGGGGGCACCGCACAUGGCUAAGAGAUCCAAGGGAUCAAUUGUUGUAUCUAGAGGUGCCCCCUGCCCCCGUAUAUAAAGGAGGGAGGGAGAGGCCGGCCCUAGAAGGGGAGUGCCAAGUGUGAGGAGUCCUACUAGGACUCCCAAGUCCUAGUCGGAUUCCCCCUUCCUUUCCGGAGUAGGAGAGAAGGAAAGAGGGGGAGAUGGAGAAGGAAAAGGGGGCUGCACCCCUUGUCCAAUUCGGACGAGAGGCGGGGCGCGCCUCCUUCCUUUUGGCCUCUCUCCUCUAUUCCCGUAUGGCCCAAUAAGGCCCAAUACUUCUCCCGGUGUUCCCGUAACUCCCCGGUACUCCGAAAAUACCCGAAUCACUCGGAACCUUUCCGAUGUCCGAAUAUAGUCGUCCAAUAUAUCGAUCUUUAUGUCUCGACCAUUUUGAGACUCCUCGGGACUCCGAACUACCUUCGGUACAUCAAAACACAUAAACUCAUAAUAUAACCGUCAUCUAACUUUAAGCGUGCGGACCCUACGGGUUCGAGAACUAUGUAGACAUGACCGAGACACGUCUUCGGUCAAUAACCAAUAGCGGAACCUGGAUGCUCAUAUUGGUUCCUACAUACAUUGUUCCCUUUGUCAUCGGUAUGUUACUUGCCCGAGAUUCAAUCGUUGGUAUCUCAAUACCUAGUUCAAUCUCGUUACCGGCAAGUCUCUUUACUCGUUCCAUAAUACAUCAUCCUGCAACUAACUCAUUAGUUACAAUGCUUGCAAGGCUUAUAGUGAUGUGCAUUACCAAGUGGGCCCUGAGAUACCUCUCCGACAAUCGGAGUGACGAAUCCUAAUCUCGAAAUAUGUCAACCCAACAAGUACCUUCGAAGACACCUGUAGAGCACCUUUAUAAUCACCCAGUUUUGUUGUGAUGUUUGGUAGCACACAAAGUGUUCCUUCGAUAAACGGGAGUUGCAUAAUCUCAUAGUUAUAGGAACAUGUAUAAGUCGUGAGGAAAGCAAUAGCAACAUACUAAAUGAUAAGGUGCUAAGCUAACGGAAUGGGUUAAGUCAAUCACAUCAUUCUCCUAAUGAUGUGAUCCCGUUAAUCAAAUGCCAACUCAUGUCUAUGGUUACGAAACUUAACCAUCUUUGAUUAACGAGCUAGUCAAGUAGAGGCAUACUAGUGACACUAUGUUUGUCUAUGUAUUCACACAUGUAUUAUGUUUCCGGUUAGUACAAUUCUAGCUUGAAUAAUAAACAUUUAUCAUGAAAUAAGGAAAUAAAUAAUAACUUUAUUAUUGCCUCUAGGGAAUAUUUCCUUCAAAAAUAUUGUCAGCGGAUUGGACUCGUGAAAUAUUAUACUCUUUGCGAUUGUGUGUGGAAUUUAAUUUGCAGAGCCGGACACGAUUCUUGUGUUCAAAGACUAUUUUGGAGUAUUCGGAGAAGGAACCCGCCUUUCAAUGCCGAAGACAAUCUGCGCGCCGGACACCAUGUCAUUGAAGCCUGGUUCAGGAGCUACUGAGGGAGUCCUGGAUUAAGGGGUCCUCGGGUGUCCGGCCUAUUGACCUUGGCUGGACUAAUGGGCUAUGAAGAUAUGAUACGUCUCCAACGUAUCUAUAAUUUAUGAAGCAUUCAUGCUAUUUUAUUAUCUGUUUUGAAUGAUUAUGGGCUUUAUUAUACACUUUUAUAUUACUUUUGGGACUAACCUAUUAACCGGAGGCCCAGCCCAUAUUGCUGUUUUAUUGCCUGUUUCAGUAUUUCGAGGAAAAGGAAUAUCAAACGGAGUCCAAACGGAAUGAAACCUUCGGCAGCAUGAUUUUUUGGAAAAAUAUGAUCCGAGAGACUUGGAGUUCACGUCAGAAGAUCCUCGAGGAGGCCAUGAGAUAGGAGGGCGCCCCCCCCCUAAUGGGUGCGCCCUCCUGUCUCGUGGGCCCCUCGAGGCUCCCCCGACCGACUUCUUUCGCCUAUAUAAGCCUACGUACCCUAAAACCAUCGAAUAUCAAGAUAGAUCGAGAGUUCUGCCGCCGCAAGCCUCUGUAGCCACCAAAAACCUCUCAGGAGUCCGUUCCGGCACCCUGCCGGAGGGGGAACCCAUCACCGGUGGCCAUCUUCAGCAUCCCGACGCUCUCCAUGACGAGGAGGGAGUAGUUCACCCUCAGGGCUGAGGGUGUCUACCAGUAGCUAUGUGUUUGAUCUCUUUCUCUCUCUCGUGUUCUCUCUAUGGCACGAUCUUGAUGUAUCGCGAGCUUUGCUAUUAUAGUUGGAUCUUAUGAUGUUUCUCCCCCUCUACUCUCUUGUGAUGAAUUGAGUUUCCCCUUUGAAGUUAUCUUAUCGGAUUGAGUCUUUGAUUUGAGAACACUUGAUGUAUGUCUUGCCGUGUUUAUCUGUGGUGACAAUGGGAUAUCACGUGCCACUUGAUGUAUGUUUUGGUAACCAACUUGCAGGUUCCGCCCAUGAACCUAUGCAUAGGGGUUGGCACACAUUUUCUUGACUCUCCGGUAGAAACUUUGGGGCACUCUUUGAAGUACUUUGUGUUGGUUGAAUAGAUGAAUCUGAGAUUGUGUGAUGCAUAUCGUAUAAUCAUGCCCACGGAUACUUGAGGUUUGGUUGAUUUGUGUCUUAAGGUGUUAUUCUAGUAUGAACUCUUGAAUAGAUUGAUCCGAAAGAAUAACUUUGAGGUGGUUUCGUACCCUACCAUAAUCUCUUUGUUUGUUCUCCGCUAUUAGUAGCUUUGGAGUCACUCUUUGUUGCAUGUUGAGGGAUUGUUAUUGUUGGGGAACGUAGCAGAAAUUCAAAAUUUUCCUACGUGUCACCAAGAUCUAUCUAUGGAGAAACCAGCAACGAGGGGAAGGAGAGUGCAUCUACAUACCCUUGUAGAUCGCUAAGCGGAAGCAUUCAAGAGAACAGGCUUGAAGGAGUCGUACUCGUCGUGAUCCAAAUCACCGGAGAUCCUAGUGCCGAACGGACGGCACCUCCGCGUUCAACACAUGUACAGCCCGGUGAUGUCUCCCAUGCCUUGAUCCAGCAAGGAGAGAGGGAGAGGUUGAGGAAGACUCCAUCCAGCAGCAGCACAACGGUGUGGUGGUGGUGGAGGAGCGUGGCAAUCCUGCAGGGCUUCGCCAAGCACCGCGGGAGAGGAGAAGGGAGAGAGGUAGGGCUGCGCCAGGGAGAGGUCAAAACUCAUGUGUUGGCAUCCCUCAAGACCUCAACUAUAUAUAGGGGAGAGGGAGGGGGUGCACCCCCUCUAGGGUUUCCACCCCAAGGGGUGCGGCCACCCCAAUCCCAUCUAGGGUGGCGGCCAAGGGAGGGGAGAGGGGAAACUUGCCCCCCAAGUUAGGUCGAAGCACCCCCUCCCCAAACCCUAGGCGCCUUGGGCCCUUGUGGGGGGGUGCACCAGCCCACCUGGGGCUGGUCCCCUCCCACACUUGGCCCAUGCAGCCCUCCGGGGAUGUUGGCCCCACUUGGUGGACCCCCGGGACCCUCCCGGUGGUCCCGGUACGUUACCGAUAAAACCCGAAACUUUUCCGGUGACCAAAACAGGACUUCACAUAUAUAAAUCUUUACCUACGGACCAUUCCGGAACUCCUCGUGACGUCCGGGGUCUCAUCCGGGACUCCGAACAACAUUCGGUAACCACAUACAAACUUCCUUUAUAACCCUAGCGUCAUCGAACCUUAAGUGUGUCGACCCUACGGGUUCGGGAACCAUGCAGACAUGACCGAGACGUUCUCCGGUCAAUAACCAACAGCGGGAUCUGGAUAACCAUGUUGGCUCCCACAUGGUCCACGAUGAUCUCAUCGGAUGAACCACGAUGUCAAGGACUUAAUCAAUCCCGUAUACAAUUCCCUUUGUCUAGCGGUAUUGUACUUGCCCGAGAUUCGAUCGUCGGUAUGCCGAUACCUUGUUCAAUCUCGUUACCGACAAGUCUCUUUACUCGUUCUGUAACACAUCAUCCCAUGAUCAACCCCUUGGUCACAUUGUGCACAUUAUGAUGAUGUCCUACCGAGUGGGCCCAGAGAUACCUCUCCGUCACACGGAGUGACAAAUCCCAGUCUCGAUUCGUGCCAACCCAACAGACACUUUCGGAGAUACCUAUAGUGCACCUUUAUAGCCACCCAGUUAUGUUGUGAUGUUUGGUACACCCAAAGCAUUCCUACGGUAUCCGGGAGUUGCACAAUCUCAUGGUCUAAGGAAAUGAUACUUGACAUUAGAAAAGCUUUAGCAUAUGAACUACGAUCUUUUGUGCUAGGCUUAGGAUUGGGUCUUGUCCAUCACAUCAUUCUCCUAAUGAUGUGAUCCUGUCAUCAAUGACAUCCAAUGUCCAUGGUCAGGAAACCGUAACCAUCUAUUAAUCAACGAGCUAGUCAACUAGAGGCUUACUAGGGACAUGGUGUUGUCUAUGUAUCCACACAUGUAUCUGAGUUUCCUAUUAAUACAAUUAUAGCAUGGAUAAUAAACGAUUAUCAUGAACAAGGAAAUAUAAUAAUAACUAAUUUAUUAUUGCCUCUAGGGCAUAUUUCCAACAGUUAUAUGAUCUAUCUAUGUUAUUAUUGUUGAGAGAACUUGCAUUAGUGAAAGUAUGAACCCUAGGCCUUGUUUCCUACCAUUGCAAUACCGUUUACGCUCACUUUUAUCAUUAGUUACCUUGCUGUUUUUAUAAUUUUAGAUUACAAAAACCUAUAUCUACUAUCCAUAUUGCACUUGUAUCACCAUCUCUUCGCCGAACUAGUGCACCUAUACAAUUUACCAUUGUAUUGGGUGUGUUGGGGACACAAGAGACUCUUUGUUAUUUGGUUGCAGGGUUGCUUGAGAGAGACCAUCUUCAUCCUACGCCUCCCACGGAUUGAUAAACCUUAGGUCAUCCACUUGAGGAAAAUUUGCUACUGUCCAACAAACCUAUGCACUUGCAGGCCCAACAACGUCUACAAGAAGAAGGUUGUGUAGUAGACAUCAAGCUCUUUUCUGGCGCCGUUGCUGGGGAGGUGAGUGCUUGAAGGUAUAUCUUUAGAUCUUGCAAUCGAAUCUUUUUUUUUCUUGUUUUAUAACUAGUUUAUUUUAUAAAAGAAAACAAAAAAAUGGAGUUAAGUUUGUCUCAUACGCUUCGUCUUUUUAAUAUCUUUCGUGAGUAUGAUGGAAAGGAAAAUUGUGCUCAAUUGCUAGAAUAAGAGUGCAUUAAAAUGCUUGGUACUAAAUCUUUGAAUGAUGAGCAUGAUUGCAAUGUUGUUAGUAUGAACUCUUUGAAUAUCCAUAGUACUAAUGAUGAUUGCACUAGUUAUGAUGAAAAUGUCCCCUAUAAGCAUGUUGAUUUUUGUGGAGUGCAUGUUUGCAUGAACACACCAAAUAGAGAAGAUAUAUAUUGCAAGAGGCAUAAGCAUUUAGAAACUAAAUGGUUGCAAGAAAGGCUAGAUGUGAGUGCUGAAAAUUUAAAAUUCCUUUGCCGUACUUGUGAACUUUGCAAUGAACGUGGUCAUUUACAUCUCCAAUGCAAAUUGUUUCAUGACUGAAUCAUGUCCAAAAAUUGUGAUGAUUUGAUCUCCCUUGCACAUUAUAAUGAACUUAGUUUGCUUUUGGGUUAUGAAGAGUUGAAACAUUUAACUAAGCCUAUUCCAGAAUUUAAUCUUGAGCAUUUCCUUGAUAUUGAUCUCGAAAAGAUUUAUAUUUUUUGUGCGGAGAAUUGCAUUGAAAAUCCUUAUAUUGCCAAUUACAUAAAGAAAAGAAAGCAAAUAGAAGAAGAAGAGAAUAAUAAUGAAAGGGAAGAGACUUCCCAAUCUCCUCCUAUUAUUUCUUAUGAUGAAUCAGGUAACGAGGAGCUUUCUAUUCAACCAAUCACAUCAAUAAGGAGCUCAAAGAGGAAGGUUGAACCCACACAUAAUGUGAAGAAGAAAAAGAAAAGAAGGAGCAACAAAGGUAAAAAAAAGGUAUCCCUCCCAAAUUAUGUUGCUCCUACUACUCAUUGUGAUGAUGAUAAUUGCUUUACUAUUGGUGCUAUCCAUAUUUUUAAUUAUGAGAGUGAUUAUGCCUGUGAUAUGAAAGAGCCCAAGCUUGGGGAAGCUAUGUUUGAUGAGGAUGGCAUAUUUGAUAAUAUAUUUGCUGAAAUUAAUGUUUGUACCAAGCUUGGGGAUGCUAUGUUUAAUGAAGAUGAUACUUUUAGCAUCCCAAGUUUUGAUAUGCAAAGUUGUUAUGAUGAUAGCAUGCCUCCUACCUAUGAUGAUUAUAUUGAUGAAAGUGGGUUUGGAAGAGUGUCAACUUUAGGAAGUAGUGAUCCCACUAUUUUGGAGGAUGUUGAAUUUUAUUGUGAUGAAUAUGAAAGUGGAUUUGGGAGAGUGUCAACUUUAUUUAGUGAUUCCACUAUCUUGGGAGAGGUUUCAAUCGAUUAUGAUGAGAACGAAGUUGCUACUUAUGAUGAUUAUUGUGAUGAAACUUAUGCUAUAAAAAGUCGAUGAUUAUAUUUACAAAUCUUGUCAUGAUUAUGAUUACCCUCUUUCUGAACAUUACUCUUUUAAUGUGGAAACAAUUUUUAGUGUUCAAGUCUCUUAUGAUACUCCCACUAUUCCGAAUGAGAGGAAUUUUGCUUAUGUGGAGAGUAGUAAAUUUUCUAUGCUUGUAGAUCAUGAAAAGAAUGCUUUAGAUGCUGGUUAUAUUUUUGAAUUUAUUCAUGAUGCUACUGAAAAUUAUUAUGAGGGAGGAACAUAUGCUUGUAGGAAUUGCAAUAAUGUCAAGUUUCCUCCCUAUGUGUUGAAAAUUUUGAAGCUAUGCUUGUUUUACCUUCCCAUGCUAGUUGAUUAUUGUUCCCAUAAGUUGUUUGCUCACAAAAUCCCUAUGCAUAGGAAGUGGGUUAGACUUAAAUGUGCUAGUCAUAUGCUUCAUGAUGCUCCCGUUAUAUUUCAAUUCUUAUCUUUUAUGUGAGCAUCAUUGUUAUCAUCGUGCCUCGCUAGAAAGGCAUUAAAGAAAAGCGCUUGUUGGGAGACAACCCAAUAUCUAUCCUUUGUUUUUAUAGCUUUUGUUUCAAUAAAGUGCCAAGUAAGACCUUUAGGAUAGCUUUCGGUGAUAGUUGUGUUGAUCCUGCUGAAAAUCAGAAACUUUUGCACCCAGUAAAUUAGUUUUGUUAAUUCACAUAAAAGUUCUUAUGAUCUGAUUCUUUUUGCUAUUGAUUGGUACAUUAAUUUCUUAGGACUUCCUAAUUCGGUAGAAUUUUUGGAGUUCCAGAAGUAUACGUUCGAUACAGAUUACUUCAGACUGUUCUGUUUUUGACAGAUUCUGUUUUCUAUGUGUUGUUUACUUAUUUUGAUGAAUCUAUGAGUAGUAUCGGAGGGUAUGAACAAUAGAUAAGUUAGAGUAGAGUAGAUAUUACACCAAUAUGAAUUUAGAAUGAGUUCAUUACAGUACCUAAGUGGUGGUUUUAUUUUCUUAUACUAACGGAGCUUACGAGUUUUCUGUUGAGUUUUGUGUUGUGGAGUUUUCAAGUUUUGGGUAAAGAUUCGAUGGACUAUGGAAUAAGGAGUGGCAAGAGCCUAAGCUUGGGGAUGACCAAGGCACCCCAAGGUAAUAUUCAAGGACAACCAAGAUCCUAAGCUUGGGGAUGCCCCGGAUGGCAUCCCCUCUUUCGUCUUCGUUCAUCGGUAACUUUACUUGGAGCUAUAUUUUUAUUCACCACAUGAUAUGUGUUUUGCUUGGAGCGUCAUUUUCUCUUGUUAGUAUUUGCUUGCUGUUAUUUAGAAUAACGUUUUGUAUCUUUAGUUUCAAUAAAAAAAGUCAAGGAUAGCCUUUGCCAUGAUUAUUUUGCUAGUAUACAUGUUGCUGUUUGAAAACAGAAAGUUUACCGCUGUUGCAAAAAUUCCCUAGAAAAGUCAGAGAAUGAUAUAAUGUUUAAACCUUUUGCAUAUUGAGAUAUGAUAAAUUUAUUACAGUGGGAAUUUUAUUUCAUAAUUUUUGGAGUUAGGGAAGUAUGAUGAAUCUUGCAUUCUUUACAGACUGUACUGUUUUGACAGAUUGCUGUUAUGUUUGCAUUGUUUGCAUAUGUUUGCUUGUUUAAUGAUUCUAUUUGAGGAUAGGAGUAUUAAAUAUGCAGAGGCAUUUAGUAUGCAAUGUUGAAUAAUAAUUUUAGUGAUUUGUUACAGUAGAAAAUGAUAAGGUUUUGCAUUGGUUUAUACUAACCUAUCUCACGAGUUCUUGUUGAGUUUGGUGUGGAUGAAGCUUUUGAUAAAAAGAGAAACCAUGAUAUGAGAGGAAUUAAGGAGACACAAAAUUUCAAGCUUGGGGAUGCCCAAGGCACCCCAAGAUAAUAUUUCAAGAAGUCUUAAGCAUCUAAGCUUGGGGAUGCCCCGGUAGGCAUCCCACCUUUCUUCUUCAACAAUUAUCGGUUAGUAUCGGUUGAGCCUAAGUUUUUGCUUCUUCACAUGAGUUGUGCUAUCCUUGCAAUGUCAUUUUAUUUUAUUUUGCUUGCGGUUUGAAUACAAUACCAAGAUCUGAAAUUCCUAAAUGAGAGGGAGUCUUCGUAUAGUUACAUAAUUAUUUAGCUACUCAUUGAUCUUCACUUAUAUCUUUUUGGAGUAGUUUGUCAUUUACUCGUGUGCUUCACUUAUAUCCUAUGAGUAAAUUGUUGAAUGAGUUGAUCAUAAUAAAUCUGAAAUUAUAUAUGCCUCAUUUGCUUAUCCCAUGGGGAGUAAUGACUUCACGUCUAAGAAGUAGAGGUUGUAAAUUUAUUGAAGGUUAGCAAGCAUUGUAUUGGUCAUUUGAACAAUUCAUGAAAGAAUAUUGAAGGAAGAGAGAUUUCACAUAUAAAUAUACUAUUGUAGACAUAUUUUAUAGUUGGGAGCACUCAUUAAGUAUGACAUGCUAAAGAGUUGAUGUUGGACAAGGAAGACAACAUAAUGGUUUAUGUUUUCCGACAUCUCAGUUAAAGUAUAUUGUCAUGGAUCAUUCAAACAUGUUGAGCUUGCCUUUCCCCUUAUGCUAGCCAAAAUUCCUUGCACCAAGUAGAGAUACUACUUGUGAUUCCAAAUAUCCUUAAACCCAGUUUUGCCAUGAGAGUCCACCAUACCUACCUAUGGAUUGAGUAAGAUCCUGCAAGUAAGUUGUCAUCGGUGCAAGCAAUAAAAAUUGCUCUCUAAAUAUGUAUGAUCUUUUGGUGUGAAGAAAAUAGCUUUAUACGAUCUCUUGUUAUGGAAGCAAUAAAAGCGACGGACUGCAUAAUAAAGGUCCAUACACAAGUGGCAAUAUAAAGUGACGUUCAUUCGCAUUAAGAUUUUGUGCAUCCAACCCUAAAAGCGCAUGACAACCCCUGCUUCCCUCUGCGAAGGGCCUAUCUUUUACCUUAUGUCUUUUACUUUAUGCAAGAGUCAAGGUGAGCUUCACCUUUCCCUUUUUCAUUUUAUCCUUUGGCAAGCACCUCGUGUCGGGAAGAUCCUGCUAUAUAUAUCCAAUUGGAUGUAAGUUAGCAUGAACUAUUAUUGUUGACAUCACCCAAAGGUGAAUAAGUUGGGAGGCAACACUAUAAGCCCCUAUCUUUCUCAGUGUUCGAUUGAAACUCCAUAACCAUUAGUAUUUCGUGAGUGUUAGCAACUGUAGAAGACUAUAUGAUAGUUGAGUAUGUGGAGUUUGUUAUUUCUGAAAAUAAGAUGAAUUGCAAUUGUUUGAUGACCGAGAAUGAAGUUUGCUAGUUUUCAAGAAAGUUUAUGGUCUAUGCUUUGACAUGUGAAUUGUUUGUUACUUUAUCGUGAGAAGUUUUAUGAGAUGAACUACUGUUAUGAUAUAUUAUCAUGCUCUAAAAGGUGAUUGAAAUUAUUAUUGAUCAAACUUGUGCACCUUCUAGCAUUCACACUUCAUAAAUUCUUUCUUUUAUCAUUUAGCUACUCGAGGACGAGUAGGAAUUAAGCUUAGGGAUGCUGAUACGUCUCCAACGUAUCUAUAAUUUAUGAAGCAUUCAUGCUAUUUUAUUAUCUGUUUUGAAUGAUUAUGGGCUUUAUUAUACACUUCUAUAUUACUAUUGGGACUAACCUAUUAACCGGAGGCCCAGCCCAUAUUGUUGUUUUAUUGCCUGUUUCAGUAUUUCGAGGAAAAGGAAUAUCAAACGGAGUCCAAACGGAAUGAAACCUUCGGCAGCGUGAUUUUUUGGAAGAAUAUGAUCCGGGAGACUUGGAGUUCACAUUAGAAGAUCCUCGAGGAGGCCAGGAGAUAGGAGGCCCCCCCCCCUACUGGGCGCGCCCCCUGUCUUGUGGGCCCCUCGAGGCUCCCCCGACCGACUUCUUUCGCCUAUAUAAGCCUACGUACCCUAAAACCAUCGAAUAUCAAGAUAGAUCGGGAGUUCUGCCACCGCAAGCCUCUGUAGCCACCAAAAACCUCUCGGGAGUCCGUUCCGGCACCCUACCGAAGGGGGAACCCAUCAGCGGUGGCCAUCUUGAUCAUCCCGGCGCUCUCCAUGACGAGGAGGGAGUAGUUCACCCUCGGGGCUAAGGGUAUGUACCAGUAGCUAUGUGUUUGAUCUCUCUCUCUCUCUCGUGUUCUCUCUAUGGCACGAUCUUGAUGUAUCGCGAGCUUUGCUAUUAUAGUUGGAUCUUAUGAUGUUUCUCCCCCUCUACUCUCUUGUGAUGAAUUGAGUUUCCCCUUUGAAGUUAUCUUAUCGGAUUGAGUCUUUGAUUUGAGAACACUUGAUGUAUGUCUUGCCGUGUUUAUCUAUGGUGACAAUGGGAUAUCACGUGCCACUUGAUGUAUGUUUUGGUGACCAACUUGCGGGUUCCGCCCAUGAACCUAUGCAUAGGGGUUGGCACACGUUUUCUUGACUCUCCGGUAGAAACUUUGGGGCACUCUUUGAAGUACUUUGUGUUGGUUGAAUAGAUGAAUCUGAGAUUGUGUGAUGCAUAUCGUAUAAUCAUGCCCAAGGAUACUUGAGGUGACAAUGGAGUAUCUAGGUGACAUUAGGGUUUUGGUUGAUUUGUGUCUUAAGGUGUUAUUCUAGUAUGAACUCUUGAAUAGAUUGAUCCGAAAGAAUAACUUUGAGGUGGUUUCGUACCCUACCAUAAUCUCUUCGUUUGUUCUCUGCUAUUAGUAGCUUUGCAGUGACUCUUUGUUGCAUGUUGAGGGAUUGUUAUAUGAUCUAUCUAUGUUAUUAUUGUUGAGAGAACUUGCACUAGUGAAAGUAUGAACCCUAGGCCUUGUUUCCUACCAUUGCAAUACCAUUUACGCUCACUUUUAUCAUUAGUUACCUUGCUGUUUUCAUAAUUUCAGAUUACAAAAACCAAUAUCUACUAUCCAUAUUGCACUUGUAUCACCAUAUCUUCGCUGAACUAGUGCACCUAUACAAUUUACCAUUGUAUUGGGUGUGUUGGGGACACAAGAGACUCUUUGUUAUUUGGUUGCAGGGUUGCUUGAGAGAGACCAUCUUCAUCCUACGCCUCCCAUGGAUUGAUAAACCUUAGGUCAUCCACUUGAGGAAAAUUUGCUACCGUCCUACAAACCUGUGCACUUGCAGGCCCAACAACGUCUACAAGAAGAAGGUUGUGUAGUAGCCGUCAAGAUACAAGACCGAAGACUCUCACCUGUGUUCGGAUGGGACUCUCCUUGGCAUGGAAGGCAAGCUUGGCGUCCGGAUAUGAAGAUUCUUUCUCUGUAAUUGACUUUGUACAACCCUAGUCCCCUUCAGUGUCUAUAUAAACCGGAGGGGUUAGUCCGUAGAGGCAAUCAUAAUCAUAUAGGCUAGACUUCUAGGGUUUUAGCCAUUACGAUCUCGUGGUAGAUCAACUCUUGUAAUACUCAUAUUCAUCAAGAUCAAUAAAGCAGGAGUAGGGUAUUACCUCCAUAGAGAGGGCCCGAACCUGGGCAAACAUCGUGUCCCCCGCCUCCUGUUACCAUCAACCUUAGACGAACAAUUCAGGACCCCCUACCUGAGAUACGCCGGUUUUGACGCCGACACCCAUCAAAAUAUUAUAUGCUAAAAUUGUUGACGUUGGACACGGAAGACAACUUAAUGAUUUAUGUUUGUUCAUAUUCACAUAGAAGUCAUAUUGUCAUAGAUCCUUCAACAUGUAGUGCUUGCCCCUAUGUUUGCUAGCCAAAAACUCCGCACUAAGUAGAGAUACUACUUAUGCAUCCAAAACCCUUAAACCUUAUCUUGUUUGAUAGUCCACCAUAUCUACCUAUGGAUUGAGUAAUAUCCUUCAAGUAAGUUGCCAUCGGUGCAAAAAGGGCAAUAAAAUUGCUUAUAAAAAUGUGAGACCAUUUAGUGUAAGGUAAAAUUGAGCGUUAUACGAACUCGUAAUGGUGAAGAAUAAAAGCGACAGACUGCAUAAUAAAGGUUGCCAUCACAAGGGGCAAUAUAACGUGACGUUCUCUUGCACUAAGGGGUCGAGCAUACAAACAAAAAGCGCAUGGCAACCUCUGCUUCCCUCUGCGAAGGGCCUAUCUUUUACUUUCAUGUAUUUACUUUUAUGCAAGAGUCAAAGUUUUUCUCUCUAUUCCUUUUUUUUUCCUUUGGCAAGGAUCAUGUGGCGAGGAAAGAUCUAGGCACAUAUGUCCAGUUUAAUAUGGGUAGCAUGAGUUAUUAUUGUUGACAUCACCCUUGAGGUGAGUGUGUUGGGAGGCGAAACUAUAAGCCCCUAUCUUUCUUUGUGUCCGGUUGAAACAUUUUGCUCAUGUGUACGUCGUGAGUGUUAGCAAUCAUAGAAGACUAAAUGAUGGUUGAGUAUGUGGACUUGCCUAAAGGCUCCGAUACGUGACCCUUCCUGAAAAGAUGAUGAAUUGCAGUUGCAAAGUUGACUAAGAACAUAGUUUGUUGGUUUCCAAUAGAGUUUAUGCUUUAUACUUCGAUGUUGUGAUGAAUUGUCACUUGUUCAUGAGAGGUUUAUGAUAAAAGUUUUAUAUUAAAGUCUGUUGUUGCUAUAAUAAGUCACAUGAUGCUGCUAUGUCUGUAUUUUUGUUUUUAUCGACACCUCUCUCUCUAAGCAUGUGGACAUGUUUUUCGAUUUUGGUUUUGCUUGAGGACAAGCGAGGUCUAAGAUUGGGGGAGUUGGUACGUCCAUUUUGCAUCAUGUUUUCCUACUGUUAUUUAUGUUGUUUUAUUGUAUAAUAAUGCUUUUGGAGUAAUUCUAAUGCCUUGUCUCUCAUAAUAUGCAAGGUAUGCACCAAGGGGGAGAAUUCUGGCAGCUGGAAAUCUGGACCUAAAAAAGCUACGUCAAGCUACCUAUUCUGCACAACUUCAAAUGAGCUGAAACUCCCCUAGGAAUUUGUAUGGAAUAUUUAAUGAAUAUUAGAGCAAAUAAGUACCAGAGGAGGGCCACCAGGUGGGCACAACCCACUUGGGCGCACCAGGAGGCCCAGGCGCGCCUUGGUGGGUGCUGCCCUCCUCGGCCCACCUCCGGUGCCCAUCUUCUGGUAUAUAAGUCAUUUUGACCUAGAAAAUGAGGGGAGGACAUUCGGGACGAAGCGCUGCCGCCUCGAGGUGGAACUUAGGCAAGAGCACUUUUUCCCUUCGGCGGAGCAAUUCCGCCGGGGGAACUUCCCUCCCGGAGGGGGAAAUCAUCGUCGUCAUCAUCACCAACAACUCUCCCAUCUCGGGGAGGGCUAUAUUCAUCAACAUCUUCAUAGCACCAACUCCUCUCAAACCCUAGUUCAUCUCUUGUGUUCAAUCUUUGUAUCAAAACUAUAGAUUGGUGCUUGUGAGUGACUAGUAGUGUUGAUUACAUAUUAUAGUUGAUUACUAUAUGGUUUAUUUGGUGGAAGAUUAUAUGUUCGGAUCCAUUAUGAUAUUUAAUACCCCUCUGAUCUUGAGCAUGUUUAUCAUUUGUGAGUAGUUACUUUUGUUCUUGAGGUCACGGGAGAAAUCAUAUUGCAAGUAAUCAUGUGAACUUGAUAUGUGUUCGAUAUUUUGAUUGUAUGUAUGUUGUCAUUCUCUUAGUGGUGUCAUGUGAACGUCGACUACAUGACACUUCACCAUAUUUGGGGCUAAGGGAAUGCAUUCUGGAGUAGUUAUUAGAUGGUGUGUUGCGAGAGUGACAGAAGCUUAAACCCCCAUUUAUACGCUAUUCCGUAGGGACCGAUUGGAUCCAAAACUUUAAUGCUAUGGUUAGAAUUUAUUCACAAUACUUUUCUCGUAGUUGUGGAUGCUUGCGAGAGGGUUAAUCAUAAGUAGGACACUUUCCUUAUCAUAAGAAACCGUUUUGGCCUGUCCUUUUCCUCAAAAGGAUUGGGCUACCUUGCUGCACUUUUGUUACUACUAUUGUUACUUGCUCGUUACAAAUUAUCUUGCUAUCAAACUACUCCGCUACUCACAAUUUUAGCACUUCAAACUGUACCUUGCUGAAAUCCACUUGUCAUUUCCUUCUGCUCCUUGUUGGGUUCGACACUCUUACUUAUUGAAAAGGGCUACAAUUGACUCCCUAUACUUGUGGGUCAUCAGCUACCACCACCAACAAUACUGAAGUACCUAACAACAUUGAACAACCAGUCACUUCUGAUGAUGUUGUUCCUCCACCAAGGCCUCAUACCAUGGAAUGCGCAUUCUAUCAAGGUGAGUUGGUAACUAUUAGAUGGCCUAUAAUGGUUCCACCCACUGCUCCCGGGCCACAAUAUGAUUAUCACGUGGAGGAGAGGCCUCAGACCUUGAAGCCAAAGCCAAGACUACCAAGGCUUCCUAGUGCUGCAACAACACACGGCUCAUUUAGUGUGCUCAGCUUCAGAGAGCACAACACAUUCUUCGACAGCACCAAGAACCCAUACACGAAGCCCAAGAUCUCCUCUGAUAGGUUUUGGAGCUGACAGCAACGAAGCUAUUACUCGUAUAUCCUAUACAACCAAGACCGGGUUUUUUCUCAUAAGCGUCUGGAUUGUGAUGCUGUUGCUGGGCUGCCAUGCCUUGAAGAGGCACUUGAUUGCUUCAUAGAUGUUGGGCUGCUAUAUUUUGUGACUGGCAAGGAGCACUGGAAUGAAGAGCUUUUGCUGUAGUUCUAUGCAACCUUGCACAUUCGAGGCUACAACAAGGAUCCGAAGACUUGGGUCCUUCAGUGGAUGACAGGAGAUGUUCAUCAUGAAGCCAAAGCUCAGGACGUCAUUGAGCUUACCUCCCUGCCCACUCCUAGUGAGUUAUGUGAACUAGGUUGUCAGCUCUAUCAAGAUAAACUGCAGAGCAUAUUUCGGAAGCCCAAGCCAAAUAUGAGUCAGAUGCUGAGCAUGAUGAAGCCAUUGCCCUAAGAUGCUGAAUACCCUAAAUAGUUCUUUGUUGAAGACCUCAAGUACUUGCCCCACACAGUCUAUCACAUUCUGAGGCGUACUCUCUGGCCAAUCAAAGGAUACUCUCUGGAGCUAAACUCGAAGGCGCCAUGAAGACACUGGUCUUCUAUAUUGUCAAUGGCAUAAGAUUCAACACUCAGGAUUUCUUCAUUCGUCAGUUGGCUGCUUCUGGAAUUGAUCUGUUUGGCCUGAAGUUAUAUGCCCCCUGGAUCAUGCGUCUCAUCAAGCUUCAUUCCAUAGUUGACUAUCAACCUUCAGCGUGCAAUCAUGUCAUAUUUCUGCCUAAUGUUGACAUGUCCUAUGAAGCCAUCUACUCUGAUCCAGCAAAGAAGCCACUCCAUAUGCAGAAUGCUGAAUAUCAAAGCUUCACUCAACCUAUUGAAGGCAUUCAUGUACCAAAUUCUGCUACUCCUGACUAUCCCCUGGCUGGCAACUUGCGUAUGCCGCAUCGCGCCAAUACUGAAGCCACUGCCAGUGCAAUUGCACAAAGGCCUCAGAAGCAUUCGUGUGUCCUUAAUGACCGUGAGCUUCUGGUAUCUUUGCAUCAGAAGCAGGAUAAGCAUCAUGAAUGGAUGAAACGCCAAAUGCAAAGUAUUCUGGUGGAUGUCAAUCGCAUUCGCAACUUGGCUACCAAGAAUUCUUUUGUUGCUCAUGAAGCCUGCCUGCGGUCCUGGAAGAGCCUUACCUUGCUCUGCUCUGAAGAUGAUCUUCGCGAGGAUGGCUUCAUUGAAAAAUUCAAGUUUGACUCCAGGCCACCACAAUCAGCAAGUUGGCGUCCAACACCUUCUAUUCAAGAUUCUGAGUACUCAUCUUCGGCUGCAACUAUUGUUGCGAGAGUUGUCGAUGAUGAAGACGACGCCACUUCACCAUCAUUAGCUUCACUGCAUCAAGAUGCUGCCCCAGGCCCCUCUGCACCACCUAACUCCAACGUCGACCAUGCUGCUCCAAAUUCGUCUACACCUGGGAACGCGUAGAAACUCUCUGUCUUCAAACCUUUUUGGUCCUUAUUGACAAAAGGGGGAGAAGCAUAUGAGGUUGGUAGUCUUCAAGCGGGUCCAUAUGGGUGGAUGCCUUAAUUUUUGCUAAGUGCUUGCAACUCUCAUUUUUAAAACUAUUUGGCUCUUGAGUUGUAACACUUAAACUUGAUGGUCGUCUACUACUUUUGCUACUAUGUUGUGAUUCGAUGAUAAAUUCCGCAUGAAGUCAUUCUGCAGACGUCUUUUCAUUAUGCAUAUCAUUAUCUUCAUAACUUUCAUAUAUGCAUGAUGAAUUGUCUUCAUACAUUGAAGAUGGCCUCCACGAAGCAAAACCUGCAUGUGCAUUUUCAUUCAAAAGCAAACUAUUUAUAUGCACAUCUUCAGGGGGAGCCUCUUUUGAUCUAUGAAGACAAUGCUCACAAAACUGAAUUUCACAUAUCAGGUCGGGUUGCCACUUGGCUAUAAAUAGCCUACCCCCUACACCAUAGAUUGGUGGCUGCUUAGAGUUAGUGCACAUCUUUUGUCGUUUGAGAGCAACCCACCUCCGAAGCAUUUGAGAGAGAGAUAUUUGCGAGGACUUAAGCCCAAAACACCUAGACCCAAAGAGUGUUAGGCAUCACUGAAGUCUUUCUGUCCGCGUGAUCUUAAGACUUGUUACACUUGAGGACUGUGAAUCCUCCAGCCGGUUAGGCGUCGCGUUCUGAGCAUCCAAGAGUCACUGUGGAUUGCAGGUGAAUGAAGUCUAUGAAGGUUUGGAAGUGAUGCGGAGCAUCCCACAUUCAUUCCCAUGUACACUCCGACUACUCUCCAAGCCCCAAAAGGACAUAUGACGAGACCUCAAACAUACGCCAUCGGACACAAGGUGAACUCGCUCCUCUCCGAAUCGUCACUUUCCACAUGUGAGACAUGGAUACUACCUCAAACAUAUGUGCUAUGCAUGACCAGGAACCAAGAGGAAGGCCAUGGAACAACUACGAGCAUUGGACAAGACGGAGAGGACACCAAGCGCGAGGAACAAGAGGAAGAGCUGCCAGGAAGCUACAGCUCUCAGACGUCCGACGACCUCCAGACGACUGACGAUCUCCGAACAUCCGAUGCCUGGAGACUCCACCAGCCAGAUCAACUCCAGCCGAGGCAACCUACAAUGCCCGGACGAUCGCCCGACACCGGACAUCCGACACUCAUCAGCGCACGGACGACCGACACCGACCGGACAUCCGACACUACCGGACUAGAGCCAAAACAUCGGAAGUCCGAAGACUUCCGGAUGACCGGACGCCCGUGGGCGACCGGACAACCAAUAGCCGUCGGACGUCCGACGCCUGUCUGCAUGGAGAGAUCGGGCCCGAGGCCCAUGUAUCCCUCUCCCACUUACCCCUUCGUGGACCUAGACUAUAUAUACUCCUCCACCUCCUUCUAGUUAGGGUUAGCGUUGUGAUAGCUCAUUUGUGAGACAGAGCCUCGCUCAUUCAUCUGGAUCUGCUCCUCUGAGAGAGGCUGUGCCUCUACGGAGAAGAUCCACUUGGAUUCAAGACCCCUAAUAGGAAGAACUCAAGACCUCCUCUUGGAGAAGAACCGGUUACCCUAUGUAUCUUCCUUGUUGGAUUCGGAUCGUGUAUCUCAUUGUGUUUCGAGAAUCUAGCACAUGUGUGAUUGAUCUUGUUAGUUGAGUGUUUCCUCUUGUAUUUCCCCUUGUUUUCCCUCGUUUCCCCCUCGUGUUCUUCGUAUUCUUCAUAGGAUCCCCUCCAAACGUGAAUGAUCGGGAUGCUAGGGUUCUACCCUACAUCAUCUUGGUAUCAUGAGCCACGUCGAUUGAGGGAGUCCUGGAUUAGGGGGUGUCUAGACAGCCGGACUAUCAUCGUCAGCCGGACUCCAAGACUAUGAAGAUACAAGAUUGAAGACUUCGUCCCGUGUCCGGAUGGGACUUUCCUUGGCGUGGAAGGCAAGCUUGGCGAUACGGAUAUGUAGAUCUCCUACCAUUGUAACUGACUCUAUGUAACCCUAGCCCUCUCCGGUGUCUAUAUAAACUGGAUGGCUUUAGUCCGUAGGACACAAUAACCAUUACAAAAAUCAUACCAUAGGCUAGCUUCUAGGGUUUAGCCUCCUUGAUCUCGUGGUAGAUCUACUCUUGUAAUACCCACAUUAUCAAUAUCAAUCAAGCAGGACAUAGGGUUUUACCUCCAUCAAGAGGGCCCGAACCUGGGUAAAACAUCGUGUCCCCUGUCUCCUGUUACCAUCCGCCUAGACGCACAGUUCGGGACCCCCUACCCGAGAUCCGCCGGUUUUGACACCGACAUUGGUGCUUCCAUUGAGAGUUCCUCUCUGCCGUCACCGAUAGGCUUGAUGGCUUCUUCAAUCAACAACAACGCAGUCCCGGGUGAGACUUUUCUCCCCGGACAGAUCUUCGUAUUCGGCGGCUUCGCACUGCGGGCCAAUUCACUUGGCCAUCUGGAGCAGAUCGAAAGCUACGCCCCUGGCCGUCAGGUCAGGUUUGGAAGCCUAAACUUCAUGGCCGAUAUCCGCGGAGACUUGAUCUUCGAUGGAUCCGAGCCGCAGCCGAGCAUGCCGCACUGUCACGAUGGGCAUGAUCUAACUCUGCCGCCGGACAGUACCUUGGAGGACGCACACGAAUCCGCUCCGACCCAUAGUCCGGAGCCGAUCACGCAGAUCAAGGACGGGUGGCUGGACACCGCCUCGGGAGCUGCAACUUCCACCGCGAUGGAGCCGGACACUGACCUCGUCCCUUAUAAAGCUCGUGACUCCGAAGUGCCGGACUCCCUGCCGGACUCCGAACCUCCUGCGCCCCUGCCAAUCAAAUCUGAUUGGGCGCCGAUCAUGGAGUUCACCGCUGCGGACAUCUUUCAGUACUCACCCUUUGGCGACAUCCUAAAAUCGCUAAAGCAUCUCUCGCUAUCCGGAGAGCCCUGGCCGGACUACGGCCAGGAUGGUUGGGAUGCGGACGACGAAGAAAUUCAAAGCCCACCCACCACCCACUUUGUAGCCACUGUCGACGAUCUAACCAACGUGCUAGACUACGACUCCGAAGACAUCGACGGUAUGGAUGACGAUGCCGGAGACGAUCAAGAACCAGCGCCUAUAGGGCACUGGAAGACCACCUCGUCACACGACAUAUACAUGGUGGACACCCCAAAAGAUGGGGACGGCGAAGAAGUAGUGGAGGCAGAUUCCUUAAAGAAACAGCCCAAGUGCCGACGUCAGCGGCGCCGCUCUAAAUCCCGCCAUAGCAAGAAUGGAGAUUCCGGCACAGGAGAUAACAACACCCCAGAAAGUGCCGAAAUCAACCCCCUCCAGCAAGAUUCAGCGCAGGAGGAUGCAGAAGCAAGCCCUCACGAGAGAGCGGCAGACGAAGAGGUCGAGGAUUAUAAUUACAUACCUCCCUCCGGAGACGAGGCAAGCCUCGACGACGACGAAUUCGUCGUGCCUGAGGAUCCCGUCGAACAAGAGCGUUUCAGACGCAGGCUAAUGGCCACAGCAAAUAGCCUGAAGAAAAAGCAGCAGCAGCUUCAAGCUGAUCAAGACCUGCUGGCCGACAGAUGGACCGAGGUCCUCGCGGCCGAAGAGUAUGAACUCGAACGCCCCUCCAAAAGCUACCCAAAACGCAAGUUGCUCCCCCGACUAGAGGAGGAAGCAUACAAACCUUCAUCACCAGUGCACAAUACGGCAGACCGACCACCUCGUGGCCGCGACAGAGAGGCAUCUAAGCCCUCCACCAAAACCGUACCCCGGCACCGCUCAAAAAGUACGAAGCCACGAGGGAACGCGCCGGACUUGCGGGAUAUAUUGGAGGACAAGGCAAGACAAUCCAGAUCUAUCUAUGGAUCACGUGGGCGCCCCAAGACCCAUGACGAAUACCGUCGCACCGGAUACAACAACUCCGGCUGGGCCGAACACAGCAGACAACGCUCUCUUGAGCUACGUCGUGAUAUUGCUCAAUACAGAGGCGCCGCACACCCACUAUGCUUCACUGACGAAGUAAUGGAUCAUCAAAUCCCCGAAGGGUUUAAACCCGUUAACAUCGAAUCCUACGAUGGCACAACAGACCCCGCGGUUUGGAUCGAGGAUUAUCUCCUUCAUAUCCAUAUGGCCCGCGGCGACGAUCUUCACGCUAUCAAAUAUCUCCUGCUCAAGCUUAAAGGACCAGCUCGGCAUUGGCUCAACAGCCUGCCCGCAGAGUCAAUUGGGUGUUGGGAGGACCUGGAAGCCGCAUUCCUCGACAACUUCCAGGGCACAUAUGUGCGACCACCAGACGCAGAUGACCUAAGCCACAUAAUCCAGCAGCCAGACGAAUCGGCCAGACGAUUCUGGACACGGUUCUUAACAAAGAAAAAUCAAAUCAUCGACUGUCCGGAUACAGAGGCCCUCGCAGCCUUCAAACAUAACAUCCGCGACGAGUGGCUGGCCCGGCACCUAGGACAGGAAGAGCCGAAAUCCAUGGUAGCCCUCACAUCACUCAUGACCCGCUUCUGUGCGGGAGAGGAUAGCUGGCUAGCUCGCAGCAACAACCUCAGUAAAAAUGAUGGCAGUCCGGAUACCAAGGACCGCAAUGGCAGGUCGCGUCGAAACAAAAACAAACGCCGCAUUAACGGCGACAGCAAUGAGGAUACGGCAGUCAACGCCGGAUUCCGAGACUCUAAACCCGGUCAAAGGAAGAAGCCAUUUAAAAGAACAACUCCGGGCCCGUCCAAUUUGGACCGAAUACUCGAGCGCUCUUGCCAAAUACAUGGCACCCCCGAAAAGCCAGCUAACCACACCAACAGAGAUUGUUGGGUAUUCAAGCAGGCAGGCAAAUUAAUUGCCGAAAACAAUGACAAGGGGCUACACAGCGAUGACGAGGAAGAGACCCGGCCGCCGAACAAUAGAGGACAGAAGGGCUUCCCCCAGAAGUGCGGACGGUAAACAUGAUAUACGCAACGCAUAUACCCAAGAGGGAGCGGAAGCGUGCACUAAGGGACGUAUAUGCGAUGGAGCCAGUUGCCCCAAAGUUCAACCCAUGGUCCUCUUGCCCGAUCACUUUCGAUCGAAGAGACCAUCUGACCAGUAUCCGCCAUGGCGGAUUCGCCGCAUUGGUUUUAGACCCAAUCGUCGAUGGAUUUCACCUCACGAGAGUCCCGAUGGACGGCAGCAGUAGCCUGAACCUGCUUUAUCAGGAUACAGUGCGCAAGAUGGGCAUAGACCCUUCAAGGAUUAAACCUACAAAGACGACCUUCAAAGGCGUCAUACCAGGUGUUGAGGCCAAUUGUACAGGCUCAGUCACACUGGAAGUGGUCUUCGGAUCCCCGGAUAAUUUCCGAAGCGAGGAGUUAAUUUUCGACAUAGUCCCGUUCCGCAGUGGCUAUCACGCUCUGCUCGGACGAACCGCGUUCGCAAAGUUCAAAGCGGUGCCGCAUUAUGCAUACCUCAAGCUCAAGAUGCCAGGCCCUCGUGGAGUCAUCAUGGUCAAUGGAAAUACGAAACGCUCCCUCCGAACGGAGGAACAUACAGUGGCUCUCGCGGCAGAAGAACAGAGCAGCCUUCUAAGGCAAUUUUCGAGCCCGGCCGUUAAACGACCGGACACGGCCAAACGCGCCCGGAGCAACAUCAACCAAGACCACCUGGCACGUUCCGAGCACGCGUAGCAAUGCGUCCCCAACCCCAACCCUCGCAUGAUUGCAAGACAAACUCUCCGCGUACAUCAUUAUGCUCUGGAGAUACCAUGGGCAUAGGGGGAGGGGCACGACCACAACAGACCCAGAGUGCGGUUCGACCACACCAGGGGCUCCCAAGUGGGUUGCUCUUUUUAUUUUUUAUUUUUCUUCUUUUUAUACACAGGAGUCUGUCCGGCGGCGAACCUGCCGAACUCCUGAUGCAACAGCCAGGGAGGGACAAAGGCUGCGACGAACACUCAGGUGGUCUCCAUUACGAGCAUUAAAUUUGUUAAAUACACCAUUCCGCAGCCUACCCCUGGAGGGAGACACCUUUAAUUAGUCCAAUCCCUUGCUUACCGCACUAUUUGUAUCAUUCCGCACUCAUAGCAGAAUUUCUUGAAUAAAUAAUGCAGCACUUUUUGCAUAUAAUUGCAUUACUUUACAUAUAUGUUCAUUUAUGACAUCUUGCACCCGUAUAUUUUGGUACGGCCGAAUACACCAGGGGCUUAUGUUCCCCGCAUUAUGGUAUGAUAAGUCCGAACACUUUCACAAGUGCGGCACCCCGAACUUAUAGCAUUAUAUGAAUCGGCUCUGAAUCAUGACUUGGGUCAAUAGUUGGGUUUGCCCGGCUCCCACGUUUUGGUACCUUACGUUCCGUUCUGUCGGCUAAGGUGGCACUGGGAGAACCACUGCGAUUGCGCCCCGGUUGAGCCGGGUUAACGCCUCAGUGGAGAAAGCUAAAACUGACUGUCAUGAUAAGGCGAGAGACUGGUCGCUGUUCGAGAGGUCUUUUCGAGUCCCUAAAGACUUAUGCCGCUUCGAGCGAAGAACCGGAUAAUGUCCGGCCAAGGCGUGGAUAGCGCCCCGAACUCGGUCUUCUGAAUACUAGGGGCUUCGCCGAAAUUUAAAAUUAUAGAAUUCUAUGGCUAAGUGAGAGUGUUCAAGCAUUAUAAGUCCGGUUGCCUUGUUCGUUGUGUUGAGCGCCUCCCUAGAUGGACCCAAAAAUGGGAACAAGAGUGCUCAAGUUUAUCCCGAACACCCCAGCACUCGUGGCAUGGGGGCUGAAGCCAACGACUUGCCAUCUCUCAGAUAUAAUAAACGCCCGCACAGAAGGUAAUAUUUUAAAUCAAUAAGCGUUGCUUAGCGCAUAUGAACAAAGUUUUCAGCGCACAGGAUAACACAUUGCGAAUUUACUCAAUAAUUACAUCUCUGGGGCACUCAUCCGCAAUCUUGCAGGCACCCUUCAGGAUAGUCUUAUAGUACAUCUCGGGCGUACGAUACUCCUUGCCCGUUGGCUGCGCGUCAGUGAUAAGCCUCUCCGCAUCCAGCUUGCCCCAAUGCACCUUUGCGCGGGCAAGGGCCCGACGAGCACCUUCAAUACAGGCGGAGCGCUUGAUGACCUCCACCCAGGGGCACACAUCCACCAGCCGCCGCACGAGGCCGAAGUAGCUCCCAGGCAUGGCCUCUCUAGGCCACAGCCGGACUAUGAGGCCCUUCAUGGCCUGCUCGGCUACCUUGUGGAGCUCGACCAGCUGCUUCAGCUGGUCGCUAGGGGGCACCGGAUGGCUGGCCUCAGCGUACUGAGAGCAGAAGACCUUCUCCGUUGAGCUCCCCUCCUCGGCUCGGUAGAAUGCGACGGCAUCAGACACGCUGCAAGGCAGGUCUGCAAACGCCCCUGGAGAGCUCCGAAUUCGGGUAAGUAACAGGUAAUUUACAUUCACAUGCUUGCUAUGCAUGAAAAAUGCCUUACCCGCCGCUAUCUUUUUCACCUCCUCAAUCUCCUGGAGGGACUUAUGGGCCUCGGCCUUGGCGGCUUUGGCACUUUCGAGAGCCGAGGCAAGCUUGGACUCUAGAGUCUUUGAGUCACGCUCCAAACUCUCAUGUUUUUCCAUGAGAGCCUGGAGCUCUUGCCGCACCUCCACCACCCGUGCCUCCUGCUUCUCUCGCUCUGCUCGUUCCGCGGCUGCAUUGCUUUCGGCCGCGGACACAGCCUCCUUCAGGGUUGCCACCUCAUUCGUGGCCCCUGCAGUACCCAUGUUAUCCUUGUUAUUUUUAUCGCAACCUAAAUCCUUUUCUGUAAGGUAAAAAUUCAAAGUGGUGUUACUCACCUUCUUUGUCCUCAAGCUGCUUCUUGGCACGGCCGAGCUCUUGCUCGGACCGCUCGAGCUCCUGCUUUAAAGCACCGACCUCCGCAGUCAGUGCGGCAGAGGUCAGCAGCGCAGCCUGCAAACCCAUAUUGACAUAAUUUUUAGCAACCCUGCGUAUAUCUUUUUUAGAUCCUCAGUCCGGCUUUUCUUUCCGAACACCGAACCAAGCAUCAGGGGCUACUGUCUAUGUGGUAUUACAUUGCAUAUUUUUAACUUCUUACCUCAAAGCCUCAUAGAAGGCUACUGCAGGCUUCGGUCAGCCCGCUCUUGGCGAGCUGAACCUUCUGAAUCACCGCACUCAUAAUAGUGUGGUGUUCUUCCUCGAUGGAAGCGCCUUUGAGCGCCUCCAACAAGUUGUCCGGCGCCUCCGUUUGAACGGAGGCCGCUGGCUUCACGGUCUUGCCCUUCUUGUGAAGGGGCCGCCGGCCGGACUCCGGAACCACUGCGGGUUCCAACGUGGAGUCCAGCGCAAAGUCUGGGAGGCUGCCUUGUGGUGCCUCCGGAGCCUCCUCCUGAUGGGUCCCUUCUUGGGAUCCCACCUCGGUGUCCUCAGCGUCGCGAGGGGUGGAGGCAGUCGGGAUGGAGUCUACAUCCGAUGGAGCCAACGACCCGCUCGAUGAAGCGGGGAGAUCAUCAUCGGCCGGACUACAAGCAGCGUGCGGCAUUAGAAGGACACUAUGUGACACAAAAGAGAAAUUAUAAAUUAUUCAGGAAUCCGGAUACUUACGAUCUUGCCGGAGGCCUGGCCCUUGAAGGCCACUCUUCGUCACCAACAUUGGCGUUGGCGGAGCUGUCCGGGGGAAUAGUCCUUCCCCUCUUGGACCCUUCGGCCUCCCCUGUUGGGGAAGCCUUACUCUUCCUCUCUCCUUCCUCUGGGAGAUAGUCCUCUUUCUCCCCCUCGUCUUCGGGGGAGGAGUCCGCCUCGGAGUCGUCGGACACCUGAAAACGGGAACUCUUUCGAGUACCCGUGGCCUCCUUCUUGGCCUUCUUCUCCGGCACCACAUGCGGUGCCGGAACCAGUAGCCCCGCUAGACGGGCGUCUACUGGGUUUUCUGGCAUAGGAGCCGGACAGAUGAUCUGCUCCGCCUUCCUCAUCCAGUCCUGUCAAAGGAAAAGGGAAAUUGAAACCCGCAUAGAGUCAAACUAUGAAUAGCAAGUGUCCCGUAAAGGGGUAGAAUCACUUACCUCGUCAACUGGACGCUGCGAGCGAAAUCCGCGAUCUUCAGUAGCGGAUGCGGGAGCUUCGGCGCCCUUGAAGAGAACUUUCCAGGCAUCUUCGUACCUAGUGUCGAAGAGCCUGUUCAAGGUCUGGUGCUGUGCCGGAUUGAACUCCCACAAUUUAAAUGCCCGUUCUUGGCACGGGAGAAUCCGGCGGAUGAGCAUGACCUGGACCAUGUUGACAAGCUUGAGCUUCUUGUUCACCAGCCUCUGGAUACAGGCUUGGAGUCCGGUCAGCUCCUCCGAAUCACCCCAGGUCAGGCCACUCUCCUUCCAAGAGGUGAGCCGCAUGGGGAUCCCGGAUCUAAAUUCGGGGGCCGCUACCCAUUUAGGGUCGCGCGGCUCGGUGAUGUAGAACCACCCCGAUUGUCAUCCCUUGAUGGUUUCCACGAAGGCACCCUCGAGCCAGACGACGUUGGGUAUCUUACCCAACAUGGCGCCUCCGCACUCCGCCUGAGUGCCCUUCACCACCUUCAGCUUGACAUUGAAGGUCUUGAGCCACAAGCCGAAGUGAAGCUGGAUGCAGAGGAAGGCCUCGCACACGACGAUAAACGCCGAGAUGUUGAGGAUGAAGUUUGGCGCCAGAUCGUGGAAAUCCAGGCCGUAAUAGUACAUGAGCCCCCAAACAAAGGGAUGCAAUGGGAAGCCCAGUCCGCGGAGGAAGUGGGGAAGGAAUACGACCCUCUCAUGGGGCCUGGGGGUGGGGAUGAGCUGCCCCUCGUCGGGCAGCCGGUGCGCGAUAUCGCCGAAUAGAUAUCCGGCGCUGCGCAAUCUUUCGAUGUGACCCUCCUAACGGAGGAGGUCAUCCACUUGCCUCCCGCUCCAGACAUGACUGGAGAAGGUUGAGACGAGAUGUACGGGCUUGGGUGCUGGAGCUCGAGUGCGCGGAGAUGGAUAAGCAAAGGAGGAAGAAUGCGUAGGUGAAAGGGUGGAUCCUUAUCCCCUUAUAUAUGGGCGGACGAAAACUAUGCGUCCCCACCGGCCUGGUAAAACUCGCUUAUCUCCCAAGCGCCACCAUCAAUGCCGCGGUUGGGUUACCCACGUCCGUAUUGAUGAGAAUCCCGGAAUAAGGGGAACACGAUCUCUGCUUCGACAAGACGUGCCAAGGAAACCGCUUUGCUAAACGCGCUGAGGUGGUAAAGUAAAAAACGAUUCAAGUAAGGGCUUGGUAGUGGUGUGACAUCAUGCCACAAAAAACGUCAACAGAUUGAACUUGUGUAUAUAUUAUUCUCUCUACGGUGGAAUGUGGAAUUUAUUUUGCAGAGCCGAACACUAUCAUGGUGUUCACAAUCUUCUAUGAAUUAUUCGGAGGAGGAACCCGCAUUGCAACGCCGAACAAUAUGCGCGCCGGACUCAUCGUCAUUGAAGCCUGGUUCAGGGGCUACUGAGGGAGUCCUGGACUAGGGGGUGUCCGGACAGCCGGACUAUCAUCGUCAGCCGGAUGGGACUUUCCUUGGCGUGGAAGGCAAGCUUGGCGAUACGGAUAUGUAGAUCUCCUACCAUUGUAACCGACUCUAUGUAACCCUAGCCCUCUCCGGUGUCUAUAUAAACCGGAUGGCUUUAGUCCGUAGGACACAAUAACCAUUACAACAAUCAUACCAUAGGCUAGCUUCUAGGGUUUAGCCUCCUUGAUCUCGUGGUAGAUCUACUCUUGUAAUACCCACAUUAUCAAUAUCAAUCAAGCAGGACGUAGGGUUUUACCUCCAUCAAGAGGGCCCGAACCUGGGUAAAACGUCGUGUCCCUUGUCUCUUGUUACCAUCCGCCUAGAUGCACAGUUUGGGACCCCCUACCUGAGAUCCGCCGGUUUUGACACCGACAUUGAUCACGUAUUUGGAGCCCCUACCCUGUGUUUUCUAGCUUGAUUUUGUUGUGUUCUUCCCCAAUUUCGAAAAUCCCCACCAAAAAUAGCCCCAAUUUUUUUGUGAUUUGUUGGUUUGAUGAUGUUUUGUUGAUUUUGAUCCAUGGAUUUGCUUGGUUUCGAGUGGAUCUAGCAUCUCCCCAAGUUUCCCCACUUUCCAUCCACGAAAUCUCAUCAAUUUCUACCCCAAAAUCUCCAUUUUCUGCCCAAAAUCACGUCCCAAAACUUGGAUCCCGAGUUGACCCAGACCCACCGGAUGUCUGACACUUUACCGGACGACCGGCCCGUCCGCAGCACCGGACGUCUGACCCUUACCGUACAUCUGACACCACCAAUCCAAUACCAAAACAUCGGAUUUCCGGCCAUUUCCGAACGUCCGUCCCGCGCUCCAGCCACCGGCCGUCCGAUCCUUAUCGGACGUCCGACCCCUGUGAAAACUGACUUUGGCUGAUUUUUGUUUCGGCCAUAACUAAUUCAUCUAAACUCUGAUUUUGAUGUUCUUUAGCUCGUUUUGAAGCUCUUGACAUCCCCCAUCCCACAACAAUACCACCAACAUCAUUUGACUCCAUCAAAGUUUUGUAAUUUUGGCAUCUUUGCCUAGGGCUUCCACCAAAUCAUCCGCUACACCACCAUCGACUUCUGCAACCUAACCCAUUUUGCUUGCCAUAGCAUUAGUGGUUGCUUGAGUUGUGAUUCGAGUCUCCUAAGGUGUUUUGGCUACUUAGGGACGGUUACUUCUUCAUCAACCACCACCACCAUUUCCGCAUAGGCUUGCCCACCAUACACUUCCACCAACCCAACUUAACUCAAUUUUGUUUGAGCUUGUUUGAGUUGUGGCUUGUGUCUCCUAGGGUGUUUCGGCUACUUAGGGACAACAACUUCAACUCCAACACAUGUAUAGCCCAUCUUUCCACUUCCGCAUUGCCGAGUGUAAACCACCCCCACUUUUCCGCUACCACCAUUUGACUUUUGUCCUUGAGAUUUUGAGUUGUGGUUUUUCCGUUUCCUAAGGUGUUUCGGCUAAUUAGGAAUGGGUCGACAUCGACAACACCGCCUCUCAUCAUCGACACGGACGAUAACCUCGACGACAUCAUUGUACAUUAUCCUUGCCAUUACAUUGUUAACCCCUAGCCCAUUUUGCGUCACUUGCCUAUCGAGACUAGCCAUUUGAGUAUUGCCGGCAACGUUACUUGUCACAUUAGUGAUCAUUGAUCUAUACCUUCCAUUGCAUACAUACCAUAUCAUAUUGGUAUCAUCUUGCUAUCAUAUCAUAUCUUGUGUCACAAAUUUGUUCCCGCAUAUAUACAAAUGCUAUCUUGGUUUGUGCAUUGUGCAAAAGUGACCAUACAAAAAAAGAAAAAAAAGAAUAAAGCUUUUAAGCAAAGAAAAAGAGAGAGCAAAGAAGCUUGUAAGCAAGUGCCAUAGCAUCAUACUACAUUGCAUAUAAGAUUGUCAUAUCCGAUCAUCUUGGAUCAUCUUGAGAGAAACACCGGGAGCCAUACAUACAUAGCAUACUUGGGAUAGAAAGUUUAUCCAUUUUGCAUCUUAUAGGUUGUGCACAAGCGUCAUAUCCGCCUAUCGAGCAAUCGUGCUAGUGUCUCUCUUGAGUUGUGAAACACGAGCGUUUUCCGUGGAUUCCACAUUUCGUGCUCAUUCCUUGGUUGCACGACCCCAUUUAUCUACCCGAGUGUGUGUUUCCAUGUAUCACCCAUAUUGCUAUCCGUCUACUUGUUGCACUUGCGAAUUUGUGAAUCUCUUUCAACAUUAUUGACUCUUGCCAACAUUUUCCAUCCAAUUUUUGUGCCACUAUCCUCACCGAGCUCCACCAUAAGCCUUACUUGUGUAGGUGUGAGAAAUCAACGAGAUCGGUACCAAUUGUGCUAUUUCCUUGUUACAUCAUUGAGUGAUCAUUGAUCCAUUUUCAACAUCGGUCAAGGUACAUUUGGUAUAGUUCUCUCCUUUCUUCCACUCAUCUUUGCUCGAGUUUUGUCAUGGAUAGGCAAGGAAUUUCAUCUCCGGUCUUCGACAACAAUCACGGUGCGAACAACUACAUCACCAAAGCGUCCAUCUUCGAUCUACAACGACAAAUGCAAGGCGCACAAUCAAGAUUGCGAGAGCGCAUCGAGAACAUCUCCAUCAACAUUUGUCACUCCGAAGCAAGGAAAAGGGACUACAUCGACAAGAAGCUUUCCGCACAAAAAUAGGAGCAAGAUGCAAGGAUGGAGAGAUUCAGGCCUUAAUCAAGUCUACUUCCCCUUUGUCAUCUUCGAGGCAGCGGCGACAAAGUCGAUCAUCUUUGGAGCGCCCAAGCAAUGCAAGCGCAAUUCGUCCACAUCCACAUCUCCAUGGCGACCACCAUCACGUUCUUGAUCCACAUCGUCAUGAAGGGCAAGUCACCUCCAAGCAUCAUGUGCACGACGACGACGAACGUCGUCUACUAUGAGGUCAAGCACGACAACGACAUCAUCAUCAUAAAUAUGCUCCACAAGCGCAAAUGUACAAGUCCCAACAAGCCCUACCUCACGCCAAGUCCAAGCUUCAUGAGCAAAAGAGAAGACUGCAAGACGAGCAGCACCAAGACGGAGCUACGGCUACCACCACCACUUCGGCAUCUUCGCCUUUGGAUGUACGGCAUCUUCGCCUACUUCCCACGAGUUCGCCUACAUCGACAUCUUCAACACCAAGGCGACCACCUAUGAGCGAGGGCGACACUUCCAUCUUCGGAAGCCCCUCAAGGAAGAUGGCCGAGCAUGGAAAAUUCCCUUCGGUCAUGGAGACGAGCUAUGAGGUGCCACAUCAUAUGGACCUCCAACACCAAGGCUGUGACAAGACGGUCGAGCAAGGGCCAUCCCCUUCGACCAUGGCGAUAGGAGUUGAGCAUGGAGACGUUUGCACCUACAUCUCUCCGACACCCACAUAUGUCGAGAUGCCCCAUUUGUCAUGUGAGGAGAGCCACCACCCCAUGAUUAAGACGAGUGACUCCACCACGUGUGACAUUGAGAGCAUUUCCUAUGAGAGGAUGAGUGUGACCACCACCAGCCCCACACAUGAGAGCAUGACACACAUCCUAUGUGAGGUUGAGCGCCAUUUGAGCGACUCCACCAACCAUAUGAGUGAGAGCAUUAUUGAGGGAGUGAGUGAGCCACAACACUUAGCGAGUGAGGUAGUUGACACGGCAUGUGAGGCCACUAUGAUUUCUAACGACUUAACCUCUACUCCUAGUGUGUUUUCUUCUUUGGUGCUAGGUCUCCUACAUGACGACAUGCCUAUCCUCGACGAGUCCAUCCCUCCAAUGGAGACGACAAUGGCCAUGGUGGACGAUGAUGCACCCCCCACUUGGUUCCAUCAAGAUGAAGUUGACCACGACUUGAUGUUUGACACCUCACCUACAACACAUGGGCGACGCUCCAAAGGUAACAUAGGUGAUGGUGCUUCUCUUGUCCCACUAGUGGACUCUCUUGACAUUUAUUGCUUGCAUGAUGUUGACCCACCUAUUCCCAUGCUUCAUGCUAGUGCGGACUCCUUCAUGUCAUGACUUACCUAUUUAUGAUGAAUAUGAUGAUGAGCAUGUUGAGUUUCCUAGUUGUGGUGCUAUGCUCCAUAGGAUAUCAUGUGAAAAUUCUUUUGGUCACAUCAUGUUUGACAAUCCAUUGAACUUGUCAUAUGCUAUGAGUGAGAUAUCCCAUAUUGCAUCAUUUCAAUCGCAUCAUUUCAAGCUCGACAUAGUAACUAUGCAUGCCCCAUUAAAAUAAAUCUCAUUUGCACUUAUGGCAUAGAUGACGAGAUGAUGGUCAUUGGCUUUUGUUUUUCAUGUGAUGAUAUUGCCAUGCUUCCUUUACAUGAUUUGUGCAAUUCAUCUACUAUGUCAUGCCAUGAUCUCAUAGAACCAAAUAUGCUUUGUUUUGGAUGUUGUCAAUAUUCUCCAUGUGAUGUUUCUACUUAUGCUCAUGAGGAGACCCCCAUAGUUUCCUCAUACAUAUUAGGAGAUUUUGAUGCAUUCCUGAUAACCCACAAGUAUAGGGGAUCGCAACAGCUUUCGAGGGUAAAGUAUUCAACCCAAAUUUAUUGAUUCGACACAAGGGGAGCCAAAGAAUAUUCUUGAGUAUUGGCAGUUGAGUUGUCAAUUCAACCACACCUGGAUAACUUAGUAUCUGCAUCAAAGUAUUUAUUAGCAAAAGUGGUAUGAUAAUAAAGGUAACGGUAGCAAAAGUAAUGUUUUUGGGUUUUGUAGUAGUUGUAACAGUAGCAACGGAAAAGUAAAUAAGCGAAGAACAAUAUGUGAAAAGCUCGUAGGCAAUGGAUCAGUGAUGGAUAAUUAUGUCGGAUGCGAUUCCUCAUGUAAUAGCUAUAACAUAGGGUGACACAGAACUAGCUCCAAUUCAUCAAUGUAAUGUAGGCAUGUAUUCCGUAAAUAGUCAUACGUGCUUAUGGAAAAGAACUUGCAUGGCAUCUUUUGUCCUACCCUCCCGUGGUAGCGGGGUCCUAGCGGAAACAAAGGGAUAUUAAGGUCUCCUUUUAAUAGAGAACCGGAACAAUGCAUUAGCACAUAGUGAAUACAUGAACUCCUCAAACUACGGUCAUCACCGAGAAGUAUCCCGAUUAUUGUCACUUCGGGGUUGUCGGAUCAUAACACAUAAUAGGUGUCUAUAGACUUGCAAGAUAGGAUCAAGAACACACAUAUAUUCAUGAAAACAUAAUAGGUUCAGAUCUGAAAUCAUGGCACUCGGGCCCUAGUGACAAGCAUUAAGCAUAGCAAAGUCAUAGCAACAUCAAUCUCAGAACAUAGUGGAUACUAGGGAUCAAACCCUAACAAAACUAACUUGAUUACAUGGUAAAUCCCAUCCAACCCAUCACCGUCCAGCAAGCCUACGAUGGAAUUACUCACGCACGGCAGUGAGCAUCAUGAAAUUGGUGAUGGAGGAUGGUUGAUGAUGAUGACGGCGACGAAUCCCCCUCUCCGGAGCCCCAAACGGACUCCAGAUCGGCCCUCCCGAGAGAGAUUAGGGCUUGGUGGCGGCUCCAUGUCGUAAAACGCGAUGAAACUUUCUCUCUGAUUUUUUUCUCCCCGAAGUGAAUACAUGGAGUUGGAGUUGAGGUUGGUGGAGGUCCAGGGGGCCCACUAGAUAGGGGGCGCGCCCCCCUGUCUCGUGGACAGGGUGUGGGCCCCCUGGUCUUGAUUCUUUCGCCAAUAUUUUUUAUAUUUUCUGAAAAGUGACUCCAUGUAUUUUCAGGACAUUCUGAGAACUUUUCUUUUCUACACAUAAAAUAACAUCAUGGCAGUUCUGCUGAAAACAGCGUCAGUCCGGGUUAGUUUCAUUCAAAUCAUGCAAGUUAGAGUCCAAAACAAGGGCAAAAGUGUUUGCAAAAGUAGAUACGUUGGAGACGUAUCAACUCCCCCAAGCUUAAACCUUUGCUUGUCCUCAAGCAAUUUAGUUGAUAAACUGAAAGUGAUAAAGAAAAACUUUUACAAACUCUGUUUGCUCUUGUUGUUGUAAACAUGCAAAGCCAUCAUUCAGGUUUCAGCAAAUAUCAUGAACUAACCACACUCACAAUAAAACUUAGGUCCCACAAUUACGCAUAUCAAUAGCAUAAUCAGCUAGUGAGCCAUAAUAAUAAAACUCGGAUGACAACACUUUCUCAAAACAAUCAUAACAUGAUAUAACAAAAUGGUAUCUCGCUAACCCUUUCUGAGACCGCAAAACAUAAAUGCAGAGAACCUUUAAAGAUCAAGGACUGACUAAACAUUGUAAUUCAUGGUAAAAGAGAUCCAGUCAAGUCAUACCCAAUAUAAACCAAUAGUAAUGAAUGCAAAUGACAGUGUGCUCUCCAGCGGGUGCUUUUUAAUAAGAAGGGUGAUGACUCAACAUAAAAGUAAAUAGAUAGGCCCUUCGCAGAGGGAAGCAGGGAUUUGUAGAGGUGCCAGAGCUCAGUUUUAAAAUAGAGAUUGAAUAACAAUUUGAGCGGCAUACUUUCGCUGUCAACACAACAACUAUGAGGUGGCUGUAUCUUCCAUACUACAUGCAUUAUAGGCAAUUCUCAAAGAGAAUGGUAAAGGUUUAUACUCCCCCAAUCCAACAACAAGCAUCAAUCCAUGGCUUGCUCGAAACAACGAGUGCCUCCAACUAACAACAGCCCUGGGAGAGUUUUGUUUAAUUAUUUUGAUUUGCUUUGAUCUUUUUGGAUCAUGGGACUGGGCAUCCCGGUUACCGGCCCUUUCUCGUGAAUGAGGAGCGGAGUCCACUCCUCUUGACAAUAACCCACCUAGCAUGGAAGAUAUAGGCAGCCCUAGUUGUAACAUGAGCUGCUCGAGCAUACAAAACAAAAUUUCAUUUGAAGGUUUGGAGUUGGGCACAUACAAAUUUACUUGGAACAGCAGGUAAAUACCGCAUAUAGGUAGGUAUAGUGGACUCAUAUGGAACAACUUUGGGGUUUAAGGAGUUGGAUGCACAAGCAGAAUUCCUGCUUAGUACAGGUGAAGGCUAGCAAAAGACUGGGAAGCGACCAACUGAGAGAGCGACAACAGUCAUAAACAUGCAUUAAAAUUAAUUCACACCGAACACAAGCAUGAGUAGGAUAUAAUCCACCAUGAACAUAAAUAUCAUGAAGGCUAUGUUGAUUUGUUUCAACUACAUGCGUGAACAUGUGCCAAGUCGAGUCACUCAAUUCAUUCAGAGGAUACCAUCCCAUCAUACCACAUCAUAAUCAUUCUAAUAGCAUGUUGGCACGCAAGGUAAACCAUUAUAACUCAUAGCUAAUCAAGCAUGGCACAAGCAACUAUAAUCUCUAAAUGUCAUUGCAAAUAUGUUUACUUCAUAAUAGGAUGAAUCAGAAAUGAUGAACUCAUCAUAUUUACAAAAACAAGAGAGGUCGAGUUCAUACCAGCUUUUCUCAUCUCAAUAAGUCCAUCAUAUAUCGUCAUUAUUGCCUUUCACUUGCACGACCGAACGAUGUGUAUAAUAAUAAGAGUGCACGUGCAUUGGACUAUGAUGGAAUCUGCAAGCAUUCAACUCAAAAGAGAAGACAAGGUAAUAUGGGCUCUAAGUAAAAUAAACAAUCAUGCAUAUGAGAGCCACUAAGCAUUUUCAAUAUGGUCUUCUUGACCCCCAAAGGAAAGAAAAUAAAAUAAAACUAUUUACAUGGGAAAGCUCCCAACAAGUAAAAGAAGAACGAGAAAUAUUUUUGGGUUUUCAUUUUAAUUUCUACUACAAGCAUGUAACUUAAACUAACUAUUUUUUUUGGUUUUCCUUAAGGUUUUCAAACACACAAGAAGAAAACUAGAAAAAGAAAUUUAAACUAGCAUGGAUAAUACAAUGAAAGAGUAUGAGCACCGACGACUAGUGUGUGAACAUGAAUGUAAAGUCGGUGAAAAAUACGUACUCCCCCAAGCUUAGGCUUUUGGCCUAAGUUGGUCUAGUACCAAGGACCGCCCGGCUGAUAUCCGUAAGUGAAAUUGGGGUCAUACUGAGAUGCAGCGGCAACCGCCUCCUGAGUUGCGGCGUGUUGGCGAGCUGCCUCCGCUCUCCCCUCGUGUUCAGCUACUUCCUCCCUGGUGACAACAUAUCUUCCUUUUGCCUGAUAAUCAAAAAGGUAGGGAGCACGAAGAGUAACAUGGACGACGUUGCGUUUGUCAUAGAUUAGUCGAUAUUGGAGGAAUUGUUCAUUCCUCCCAAGAAAUUGAUUAUUGACCAUAGCUUCAAAAUCCAAAUAAAUAGGAGGUAUUAUUAUAUCUCCCUCUCGUGGGGCUAUACCAAGAUAAUUAGCCACACGGGUUGCAUAAAUUCCUCCAAAUAAAUUUCCCUUUCUACUAUUAUUCUGCAACCUACGUGCAACUAUUGCCCCCAAGUUAUAACCUUUAUAACCUAACACAGCACUCUUGAGGACACACAGAUCAGGGACACACAUGUGGCAUGCUUCAUCUUUGCCGUUAAUGCAUAUACCAAUGAAGAGAGCAAAAUAAUGUAUAGCAGGAAAAUGAAUGCUCCCUAUGGUAGCUUGUGCUAUGUCCCUAGAUUCUCCCACAGUAAUACUAGCAAGGAAAUCUCUAAAUUCAGAUUUGUGAGGAUCAUUAAUAUUACCCCACUGCGGGAGUUUGCAAGCAGUUGUAAAAUCCUCUAAGUCCAUGGUAUAAGAUGUAUCAUAAAUAUCAAAUAUGACACUAGGAGAAUUACGCGUGCAGUUAUAUUUAAACCUCCGAACAAAGGAAUCAGUCAAUUGAUAGUACUGAGGACACUUAUCUUGUAAGAAGUCCUCCAACUCAGCAUUACGCACAUACGCGUCAAAAUUCCUCCUUGAAGCCUGCUUCGACCAUAAAAUUAUCGGAUGGCCACUCACAAGCUCGUACAUCCGCGUCCCUCGGCAAUUCAACAUCUUGCUCAUGUAUAGCAAUCCUGGGCCCUUUCUUCACCGAGGAACAACCUUGGUACAUUAUUCUAAGCAUAAUUCUUUUUCUGAAAUAUUUCUGAAAUUUUAGUAACUUCAAAACAAAAGUGAAUAAAACUAAACAAGAUUGAUAGCAACUACUCCUACAAUUGCCUAGAGCCUAUAUCAUGCAUUAGAAUUGCUUGGGACCUCAUAAAUUUAACAUGCAAGCUCGAGAACAUGGUCACCUAUGCAGCAAAAAUUUGCAAUGAAUAAAGCACUAGAACAAAAACUAAUUGGACCAAUGGAGGAGUCACAUACCAAGCAACAAUCUCCCAAAGAAGUUUUGUGAAUGGAGCUUUGAGCAAGGAGAUCGAAAAUCGCAGCAAAAUGAGCUAGAACUCGUGCUUGAGCUGGAUGGGGAUUUUUUUGGGUAGAAGAUGAAGUGUGUGGGUGCUGGCAUAAGUUGAUGGGGGCCACCAGGGGCCCACGAGACAAGGGGGCGCCUAGGUGGGGUGGGCGCCCUCCACUCUUGUGGCCUGGUGCUUGCCCCUCCUGCAGUGUUUUCAGUGCCUAAAAUCCUCAAAUAUUCCAUAAAAAAUCAUACUAAAUUUGCAGGGCAUUUGGAGCACUUUUAUUUUCGGGAUAUUUUUUAAUGCACGGAUAAUUCAAAAAACAGACAGAUAAUACUAUUUUUGCUUUAUUUAUUCUAAAUAACAGAAAGUAAAAAGUGGGCAUAGAAGGUUGUGCCUUCUAUUUUCAUCCAUCUCGUGAUCAUCAAAAUGAAUCCACUAACAAGGUUGAUCAAGUCUUGUUAACAAACUCAUUUCGAAUAACACGGAACCGGAGAAAUUUCGAAUAACACUAAGUUAUCUCAACGUGGAUAUGAAAAUCCCCAACAAUAAGAAUAUCAUACUUUUUCUUGACAGUACGGAGAGGAAAUUCAAAACCUCCAAUGAUGAUAGUUGGAACUUUUCCAAUAGAAUUGAUACUAUGAACUUGAGAUUGUUUCCUCGGAAAGUGUACCGUAUGCUCAUUACCAUUAACAUGAAAAGUGACAUUGCCUUUGUUGCAAUCAAUAACAGCCCCUGCAUUAUUAAGAAGAGGUCUACCAAGGAUAAUCGACAUACUAUCGUCCUCGGGAAUAUCAAGAAUAACAAAGUCCGUUAAGAUAGUGACAUUUGCAACCACAACAGGCACAUCCUCACAAAUACCGACAGGUAUAUCAAUUGAUUUAUCAGCCAUUUGCAAAGAUAUUUCAGUAGGUGUCAACUUAUUCAACUCAAGUCUACGAUAUAAAGAGAGAGGCAUAACACUAACACCGGCUCCGAGAUCACAUAAAGAUGUUCUAACAUAAUUCCUUUUAAUGGAGCAUGGUAUAGUUGGUACACCCGGAUCUCCAAGCUGCUUUGGUAUUCCACCCUUAAAAGUAUAAUUAGCAAGCAUGGUGGAAAUUUCAGCUUCCGGUAUCUUUCUUUUAUUUGUAAUGAUAUCCUUCAUAUACUUAGCAUAAGGAUUUACUUUGAUCAUAUCAGUUAAGCGCAUACGUAAGAAAAUAGGUCUAAUCAUUUUAGCAAAGCGCUCAAAAUCCUCAUCAUCCUUUGACUUGGAUGGUUUAGGAGGAAAGGGCAUAGGUUUCUGAACCCAUGGUUCUCUUUCUCUACCAUGCUUCCUAGAAACAAAAUCUCUCUUAUCAUAACGUUGAUUCUUUGAUUGUGGGUUAUCAAGAUCAACAGCAGGUUCAAUCUCUACAUCAUUGUUUUUGCUAGAUUGAGCAUCAACAUGAACAUUAUCUUUAACUUUAUCACUAGGUUCAUGUUCAUCACCCGAUUGUGUUUCAGCAUCAGAGAUAGAAAUAUCAUUGGGAUUCUUAGGUGUGUCUACAGUAGGUUCGCUAGAAGCAGGCAAAUUCCUAUCGUUCUUCUUUUUCUUCUUUUUAGAAGAACUAGGUGCCUCUAAAUUAUUUCUCUGAGAAUCUUGCUCGAUUCUCUUAGGGUGGCCUUCAGGAUACAAAGGUUCCUGAGUCAUUCUACCAGUUCUAGUAGCCACUCUAACAGCAAAGUCAUUUUUAUUAUUUAAUUCAUCAAGCAAAUCAUUUUGAGCUUUGAGUACUUGCUCAUCUUGAGUAGCAACCAUAGAAGUAUAUUUGCUAAUGAGUUUAAGUUCACCUUUAACUCUAGCCAUAUUAUCGCUCACGCGUCCUAUCUCGAAAGCAUUAUUCUUUAACUCUCUACCAACAUAAUCAUUAAAACUUUCCUGUCUAGCCAUAAAGUCAUCAAAUUCAUCUAAGCAUGGGCUAUGAAAGUUAGUAGAGGGGAUUUCAACUUUAUCAUAUCUAUAGAGAGAAUUUACCUUCACUGCCUGUGUCGGGUUAUCAAGACAAUGUGGUUCUUCAACAGGCGGUAUAUUAAGACCAUGUAUUUCUUCAAUAGGAGGUAAAUUCUUAACAUCUUCAGCUUUAAUACCUUUUUCUUUCAUUGAUUUCUUUGCCUCUUGCAUAUCUUCAGGACUGAGAAAUAAAACACCUCUCUUCUUAGGAGUGGGUUUAGGAACAGGCUCGGGAGUUGGCUUAAUUGGUCCAGGAAUUGCCUCAGGAAUUGGCUCAGGAAGAGUCCAAUUAUUUUCAUUAGUCAACAUAUUAUUCAGUAGUAAUUCAGCUUCGUCGACUGUUCUUUCCCUGAAAACACAACCAGCACAACUAUCCAAGUAGUCCUUGGAAGCGUCGGUUAGUCCAUUAUAAAAGAUAUCAAGUAUUUCAUUUUUCUUGAGAGGAUGAUCAUGAAAGCAUUAAGUAAUCGGAGAAGCCUCCCCCAAGCUUGUGGGACACUCUCUUCUUUGAUUUGCACAAAAUUAUAUAUUUCCCGCAAGGCAGCUUGUUUCUUAUGAGCAGGGAAAUAUUUAGCAGAGAAGUAAUAAAUCAUAUCCUGGGGACUACGCACACAACCAGGAGCAAGAGAAUUAUACCAAGUCUUAGCAUCGCCCUUUAAUGAAAACGGAAAUAUCUUAAGGAUAUAAAAAUAGCGAGACUUCUCAUCAUUAGUAAACAGGGUAGCUAUAUCAUUCAACUUGGUAAGAUGUGCCACAACAGUUUCAGAUUCAAGGCCAUAAAAAGGAUCAGAUUCAACUAAAGUAAUAAUCUCAGGAUCAACAGAGAAUUCAUAAUCCUUAUCAGUAACACAAAUAGGUGAAGUAGCAAAAGAAGCGUCAGGUUUCAUUCUAGCAUUAAGAGACUGCUGCUUCCAUUUAGCUAAUAAUUUCUUAAGAUCAUAUCUAUCAUUGCAAGCAAAGAUAGCUCUAGCAGCUUCUUCAUUCAUAACAUAACCCUCAGGAACAACAGGCAAUUCAUAAUCAUUGGGAGAAUUUUCGUCAUCACUAUCAUCAAUAAUAGCAUCUUCAAUAAUUUCAUUCCUCCUAACUCUAGCAAGUUGUUCAUCAAGAAAUUCACCUAAUGGCAAAGUAGUAUCACGCACAUAAGUAGUUUCGUCAUAAGUAUCAUGCAAAGCAGAAGUGGCAUCAUCAAUAACAUGCGACAUAUCAGAAUUCAUAGCAGUAACAGGUUUAGGUGUCGCAAGCUUACUAAUAACAUAAGGGGAAUCUAGUGUAGAGCUAGAUGGCAGUUCCUUACCUUCCCUCGUAGUUGAGGGAAAAAUCUUGGUUCUGUCAUCUUUCAAGUUCUUCAUAGUGAUCAACAGAUAUAAAUCCCAAGUGACUCAGAGAAUAGAUCUAUGUUCCCCGGCGACGGUGCCAUAAAUUAGUCUUGAUAACCCACAAGUGUAGGGGAUCGCAACAGCUUUCGAGGGUAAAGUAUUCAACCCAAAUUUAUUGAUUCGACACAAGGGGAGCCAAAGAAUAUUCUUGAGUAUUGGCAGUUGAGUUGUCAAUUCAACCACACCUGGAUAACUUAGUAUCCGCAGCAAAGUAUUUAGUAGCAAAAGUGGUAUGAUAAUAAAGGUAACGGUAGCAAAAGUAAUGUUUUUGGGUUUUGUAGUAGUUGUAACAGUAGCAACGGAAAAGUAAAUAAGCGAAGAACAAUAUGUGAAAAGCUCGUAGGCAAUGGAUCAGUGAUGGAUAAUUAUGUCGGAUGUGAUUCCUCAUGUAAUAGCUAUAACAUAGGGUGACACAGAACUAGCUCUAGUUCAUCAAUGUAAUGUAGGCAUGUAUUCCAUAAAUAGUCAUACGUGCUUAUGGAAAAGAACUUGCAUGACAUCUUUUGUCCUACCCUCCCGUGGCAGCGGGGUCCUAGCGGAAACUAAGAGAUAUUAAGGCCUCCUUUUAAUAGAGAACCAGAACAAAGCAUUAGCACAUAGUGAAUACAUGAACUCCUCAAACUACGGUCAUCACCGAGAAGUAUCCCGAUUAUUGUCACUUCGGGGUUGUCGGAUCAUAACACAUAAUAGGUGACUAUAGACUUGCAAGAUAGGAUCAAGAACACACAUAUAUUCAUGAAAACAUAAUAGGUUAAGAUCUAAAAUCAUGGCACUCGGGCCCUAGUGACAAGCAUUAAGCAUAGCAAAGUCAUAGUAACAUCAAUCUCAGAACAUAGUGGAUACUAGGGAUCAAACCCUACCAAAACUAACUUGAUUACAUGGUAAAUCUCAUCCAACCCAUCACCGUCCAGCAAGCCUACGAUGGAAUUACUCACGCACGGCGGUGAGCAUCAUGAAAUUGGUGAUGGAGGAUGGUUGAUGAUGACGAUGGCGACGAAUCUCCCUCUCCGGAGCCCCGAACGGACUCCAGAUCAGCCCUCCCGAGAGAGAUUAGGGCUUGGCGGCGGCUCCGUGUCGUAAAACGCGAUGAAACUUUCUCUCUGAUUUUUUUCUCCGCGAACGUGAAUAUAUGGAGUUGGAGUUGAGGUCGGUGGAGGUCCAGGGGGCCCACGAGAUAGGGGGGCGAGCCCAGGGGGAGGGGCGCGCCCCCCUAUCUCGUGGACAGGGUGUGGGGCCCCUGGUCUUGAUUCUUUCGCCAAUAUUUUUUAUAUUUUCUGAAAAGUGCCUCCGUGGAUUUUCAGGACAUUCCGAGAACUUUUCUUUUCUACACAUAAAACAACAUCAUGGCAGUUCUGAUGAAAACAACGUCAGUCUGGGUUAGUUUCAUUCAAAUCAUGCAAGUUAGAGUCCAAAACAAGGGCAAAAGUGUUUGGAAAAGUAGAUACAUUGGAGACCUAUCAAUUUCAUACUUUGCAUGAUUCCCAUAAUUUGCAUGCACCAUAUGCAUUCCAUGAAUAACAAUGCUCUAUAUAUAUCUCAUGAUGCAUUACAUCCUUUGAUUCUCCAUUAUGGCAUACAUAAUAACAAACCUCUCAUGAUGGAUGACAUGUUUCUAUAUCACGCAUAUCAUUUAUUUGAGCAUUGUAUAUUUUGUGCUAACCAACACAAGCAUGUGCGCAUCAUGAUGGAUGAUGUGUACAUAUACCACGCACACACAAUUUUCCCUUUGUCUUUGUUUUGUGUAGGUACUCACGUAUGCUCGUCAACAUCUCAAUCCCAAGAGUUGGCGAAACGAGCUCUUGAGAGCAACGACGACUUGGGAUCACAUGAACUAUCCUUACCCCUAUUCCCUUCGGGCAAGGACUACGCGCACCUCUUUACUUGUCUCUUGCACGACUAUGGGCUAUUUACCACUUGUCACCUUAUGCUCAUUUUACCGUGUUCACUUUGCAUGCUAUGCUUGCUUCUAUGCCUUUGCCAUGCAAUUGUGACCCUUGCUUGCAUCUACCCAUGAUUCACCAUUAUGCUACUUCUAUGUGUAUUUGCAUGCUUGGUGGAGACACUUGUAGCUAUUACCAUGAUUUCUUUGUGCCCCAUGCUAUUGAUGCUUGUUGUGUUGGGAGAGUCAUGAUGUCCCAUUGCUAUUUACAUAUGGCCUCUCGCCAAUACAUUGAUGAUAUUUUUCUCAUAUCUUGCUUUCAUGCUUGUGAUGUGUCAUGUGCAUUAUUCAUGCCCACUAUUUGCACACAUGACAUGCUUGCCAUGAUCCCCUCUAGUAUGUUGCAUCUUCACACUACUAGCUUGCUUGACUUGAUCUCUAUAUAUGAUUGAUUGCUAUGUUGCAUCACCCAUGUUCCACUCUUACUCGCUUUCUUGGGUUGAUGACAUAUAUGCUCAUGCCUCUCACAUGAUAUAUCUUGCUCAUUAUCACUUACCUCCAUUAGUUGCCUCUCUCAUAUCCACUUGUAUUGAGUGCAACCAUACUAUGCUUCUUCAUCUUGGAGACUUGGACACUUUACUUGUAAUGCAUGCUUGUUUUAUUGAGCCUCUUGUAUUUGGUUGUUCUUGCAUCAUACGCCUCCAUACUAUGAAAUGCUCCCUUGUCCUUUCUUAUUAUGAGCAUGAUGCAUACACUUGUUGGGUAUUUUACCACACGAAUGAUAGGUUUUGCACUUCUGCUAACCUCAUUUAUUUUGUUGAUUGUUUGUCAUGUUCUUUCGUUUUGAAGGAUCCACAAGGCGGUACCGUCAUGCGACAACUUGGUCAUGCGAAGGCAUACACGAUGCGCGACACCAACAUAUUCGACAUCAUUCAUGAGGUGAACUCCUUCCCUUUGAGCCAUCCUCAAGUACGCAUAUUGGAUGGGUCACUCUUUCAUUGUUGUUUCCUUCUUGUUGUCUACAUGAUACAUCUCGCGAACGGAGGAGCGACAUUGGAGAUUGGCUCUAUGGACCUUCACAUUGAGGAGCGCUCGCACUUAUUGGAUGCACCUUCGGAACUCCACUCAUGCCACGCCAUCGAGCAUUGGUACACUAACACCUCCAUAUUUGUUGAUUGUGCUCACACAUGUCAUGCUCGAUGGACAUAUCAUACUCACCACAAGUAUGCACCCUGUGCAUGGAUUGACUCACAUUAUGAUUGCCUUGUUGCACCUUGUAUUCCCAUGUCAUCCAUGAUAUAUGAGCUUGUGCAUUUCCUUAGCAAAUUUGUUUGAUCUACCUUGAUGGCAUAUUCAUGCAUCAUGAUCAUCUUGUCUACCAUCAAUUGCAUGAUAACAUACACAUAUAGAGCAUCCAUUGCCAUAUUCAUGCAAUUGAUAAACCGUCUCACUAUGACAUCAUUUUGCACCAUGGUUGCUUUGAUCAUAUUCACAACACAUUUGUGUGCAGAAUGAUUGCAUUUACUCCCAUGAAAGCUUUGCAUACCUUUCUAGAUCAUCUUGAUAAGCUUCAUGCGCUUUGUCACAAACAAUCUUGGCGAACAGAAUCAUUCUUACAUGAUGGACACUUUGUGUGCGCUAACCAUUGUAUUUCCGAGUGUCACUUGUGUUUGCUCAUUUUGCAUGUACCACAUACCGGAGACACCUUGGAGUAUUUGGAUUACGCCAUGCCUUCAACUCCGUCCAACUACAAGUCCGUCCACGACAACCGUUUCCAUGGUGAUGAGGAUCAUGAUCCGAGGUCGGAUCUUUCCCAAGGAGGGAGGGGGGAGAUGAUGCGGAGCAUCCCACGUUCGUCCCCAUGUACACUCCAACUACUCUAUAAGUCCCAAGAGGACAUAUGACGAGACCUCGAACAUACGCCAUCGGACACAAGGUGAACUUGCUCCUCUCUGAAUCGUCACUUUCCACAUGUGAGACAUGGCUAGUACCUCAAACAUAUGUGCUAUGCAUGACCAGGAACCAAGAGGAAGGCCAUGGAACAGCUACGAGCAUUGGACAAGACGGCGAGGACACCAAGCGCGAGGAACAAGAGGAAGAGCUGCCAUGAAGCUACAGCUCUCGGACAUCCGAUGACCUCCGGACGACCGACAAUCUCCGGACGUCCGACGCCUGGAGACUCCACCAGCUAGAUCGACUCCAGCCGAGGCAACCUACAGUGCUCGGACAACCGCCCGACACCGGACGUCCGACACUCAUCAGCGCCCGGACGACUGACGCUGACCGGACAUCCGACACUACCGGCUCAGAGCCAAAACAUCGGAAGUCCGAAGACUUGCGGACGACCAGACGCCCGCGAGCGACCGGACGACCGACAGUCGCCGGACGUCCGACACCUGUCUGCGCACACAGAUCGGGCGUGAGGCCCAUGUAUCCCUCUCCCACUUACCCCUUCGUGGACCUAGACUAUAUAUACUCCUCCACCUCCUCCUAGUUAGGGUUAGCAUUGCGAUAGCUCAUUUUGUGAGAUAGAGCCUCGCUCAUCCAUCCGGAUCUGCUCCUCCAAGAGAGACCGUGCCUCUAUGGAGAAGAUCCACUUGGAUUCAAGACCCCUAACGGGAAGAACUCGAGACCUCCUCUCGGAGAAGAACCGGUUACCCUAUGUAUUGUCCCUUGUUGGAUUCGGAUCGUGUAUCUCAUUGUGUUUCGAGAAUCUAGCACAUGUGUGAUUGAUCUUGUUGGUUGACUGUUUCCUCUUGUGUUUCCCCUUGUUUCCCCCUUGUGUUCUUCGUAGGAUCCCCUCCAAACGUGAAAGAUCGGGCUGCUAGGGUUCUACCCUACAUCAGGAAGUCUACCUUGAAGACUUACCAGAGUGAUUGGGCGAGGACUGGGUGUCCUUAGCUCAAGGGGAAUAAGGUGAAGACAUGGUCUUCUGAGUUCAAUCUCAGCCUCCCUAACCAGACGUACGGUUGUCACAACAACUGGAACUGAUCUACCAAAUCCUUGUCUUCACCAAACAACCGGUUCUAUCCCAUACUCUCAUUACUCUUCAGUUUGUCUUCGUGAAGUCAUUGCUUGUCUGCCUGAUUCAUUUGACUUCACCGUGUGAAAUUUAUAUCUGUUUAGCUUCGUACUGUCUUCCAUCCUGAUCCUGUCUACCUAGCUGCAGUUAGUCUUUGUGCUUUCACUGUAUUGUAUGCUCGACUAAUCCUUGCCUAGUGUAGUUUUCAUUCCGCUGCUAACUAUAUAGGUUCAGUUUGCUUGUUUGUCUUUAAAGCAACUGUGUUUUGAAGACUCUCAUAAAAAUCGCNNNNNNNNNNNNNNNNNNNNNNNNNNNNNNNNNNNNNNNNNNNNNNNNNNNNNNNNNNNNNNNNNNNNNNNNNNNNNNNNNNNNNNNNNNNNNNNNNNNNNNNNNNNNNNNNNNNNNNNNNNNNNNNNNNNNNNNNNNNNNNNNNNNNNNNNNNNNNNNNNNNNNNNNNNNNNNNNNNNNNNNNNNNNNNNNNNNNNNNNNNNNNNNNNNNNNNNNNNNNNNNNNNNNNNNNNNNNNNNNNNNNNNNNNNNNNNNNNNNNNAUAACUAGCCCUUUCACUAAUUGAUCAUAAAACAAUGAUAUGUACAUUGGUAGGCAUUGAACAACCAUUUUGUAAGAAAAAUUAUGACAAACUUGACCGACCAUUCAUUCCCUGUGUGAAGAAAAUAAAUGUGAAAUAAUGCAGUCCAUUUGCAAAUAUACAUAUACUACAGUAGAAAUUUAUACAUACACAUACUGACAUUUUUUUAUACAUAUACUCACUCUGUCUCAAAAUAAGUGUCUCAAUUUUGUACUACACUAAGCUUGAAACACUUAUUUUGAGACCGAGGCGGUACAUGCUAGUACUCCGAACCUAGUAAAUUUCAGACAGUCAUAGUCACAGUGCUUGACAGUGCUCUAUCUCUGAAAAUACGGAGUACAGUCAUAGAUCUGUACUAUACUUGUAUCUGACUGUACUAAACAGUGCUCUAUCUCUGAAAUUAGCACGUCUAAGUAGGAAUGAAAAUGGAGCGGAAACGGACAGAACUGAGUUCUAUCAUAUUUGUUUUCACAUUUUUUUGCAGAAGCAGAAACGAAUACAGAAACCCCGAAAUGAAUACGGAAACAGAUACUACCGGAAACGGACACUGAGCGAAUACAAAGAGGAUACGGAAACAGAAAUAGGCAUUGAUCGGAACUUUAAAACCCCUUGAAUCAUAGAUAAAUACACACAAAAACAAACAAAUUUAAUGAGUUGUUAACAUGGCUACAAAAUAAUAUCAUUAUGUUAGCGACUUAGCGUAGUAUUGUAGUAGUACCGGACAAUUGCGUGUAAGCUGAGUACAUGUGUGGUAGUAGAAGUUGGGCCUUAGAUCCAUUCUAUUAAUUGUGUCUCUUUUUGGUGGUUGGGUUACAAAGCAGCUAUAGGUCUAUAGUAAAAACAGAAAUUUCAUACUCACGGAAACGGAAAGUUCCAUUUCCAUGCAUGUUUCACCGGAAAACACCGUUCCGUUUUAUUUCUGUUUCCGCAUAAAAAAUUCCAUUUCCACUUCCGUUUUGUAAAUUUGCGUUUUCGUUUUCAUAUUUCCUCUCCGUUUUCAUUCUUCCUCUGAAAAAACGGAAAGUUUCCACUUCAUUUUUAUCCCUAUGUCUAAGGCAUGAUGCCCUACACUUUGCCCAAAUUUGUGCUAUGAGCAAUGGCCGGAAAUUCGCGCUAGUACGCACACAGCAAGCACAGCCGGCUGGAGUAGAGCACGCACGCGGCUGGCCGGACAUGGACGCGCACAAGCACUACUCACACGCCAAGCAGAGCACGCACGCAGCUGGCUGGAUCAGAGCAGUAGCACGCACGCAGCCGGCGAGCUUGUACGGCGGCGAGCAGGCGAGGCGUCAGAACUAGGGCAGCGGCGUCGACUUUUUUUUUUUUUGAAGUGUUUACAUAUAUGAAUAUGCUCCUGUCUGUUCUUAUUAAGGUCGCGCUAUCUAUCGUCAUGUGCAGUCUUCAGAGUGAGUGGCUAGUUGCGGGCGCUCACAGUGCGAGAUCGCAAGAUUGAGUCCUGUAAAGCACUCUGGUUAGUGUAUUUUUUUUGUUUUUUCGUCGCUCGUUAUAGAAGACAAGUGGCUUUGUGUUGUUAAAAAAAUGUCAUUACAAAUAUUAAUUUUUUAUUAUCAUUACGAAAAUGAAAAACAAAGAAACAAAAAGAAAAAAAUAGAGCAGCGUGAGCGACUGCGCUGAUGGGCCAUUCACACUAAUGUCCAGACAUCCGGUCAACGAUCCUAGUAUUUGACUUGCCACGUCAGCAAAUACCAGCUAAAGGCCAAGAAGGUUUAAAAUAGAUCGGGAUCAGAAAAUUCGGUGUGUUGAUUUUCGGGUUACAAGUUUAGGGUUUGAUUUAGCUUUCGUCUACAAGUUCAACUUGUUAAAGUAUAUGGGAAGCGUAGAACCCUUUGUCUCGGGCCACAUGUAUAUAUUGGGCAAAGCCUUGGCAUACAAGUUACAUGGGAGAUCGAGAGAACGAUCACGAGAUCGACCAGGACAGUCGUUACAAGGAGAUAAGAAAGAGAAGAAGGGAUAGAGAAGAAGUACAUAAUUUAAACAAACUUCUAUCCCUAUACAACUCCUAUACGUCUAUUCCAACACCCCCCCCCCCCUCAAUCUAAACCUCAAGCUUUGCCAAGGUUAAGAUUGUACUUGAAUUCAUUUAACCUUCUCUCAGUAAGGGGCUUUGUAAACCCAUCUGCGAGUUGAUCUCCUGUGGGAAUAAACCGAAUCUCCAGAAGCUUUCGAGCUACUCUUUCUCUGACAAAAUGGAAAUCAACUUCAAUGUGUUUUGUUCGUGCAUGAAAAACAGGAUUUGCUGAGAGAUACGUUGCACCAAUAUUAUCACACCAUAAUCUCGCAGCCUGUGGAGUUUUGACUCCAAGUUCAUAGAGUAAUGUGUGUAUCCACAUCACUUCAGUUGUAGCAUUAGCCAGGGCCUUAUAUUCAGCCUCUGUGCUUGACCUAGAAACUGUGGCAUGUUUUCUUGCACUCCAUGAUACAAGAUUAGUUCCCAGAAACACAGCAAAACCACUUGUAGAUCUUCUAUCAUCAGCACAGCCUGCCCAGUCAGCAUCAGAGUAUGCAGUAACAAGCAUAGAAGAGGACUUGAUAAUGUUGAGGCCAAGACCUUCUGAGAACUUGAGAUACCUUAGAAUUCUUUUGAUUGCAGUCCAAUGAGUAGUUCUAGGUGCAUGUAAAUAUUGGCAUACCUUGUUUACUGAAUAAGAUAUAUCAGGACGAGUGAGUGUUAAGUACUGCAAGGCACCUACAACACUCUUAUAGUUUGUUGCAUCCUCUGGUCCAAGAACUUCUUCACUUUUCACUGUAAGCCUUUCUGAGGUAGAAAUUGGCGUGUUAACUGGCUUACAAUUUUCCAAUCCUACUCUCCUGAGAAUAUCAGUUGUAUAUUUUUCCUGUGAGAGAAGUAUGCCAUCUUUAACUUGCUUUACCUCUAUACCAAGGAAAUAGUGAAGAUCACCCAAGUCCUUAAGAGCAAAUUCCAGCUUAAGAUCUUUAAGCAAGCAAGUAGUGGCAUCUGAACUUGAACUAGCAACAAUUAUAUCAUCAACAUAAACAAGCACAAAGAUAGUGACAUUGCCUUUUAUUAAAGAAGAACAAUGAGGUAUCUGCCUUGGAUGGUAUGAAUCCAAGACGUUGCAACUGCAUACUUAUGGAAUACCAGGCUCUUGGGGUCUGCUUCAAACCAUACAAAGCUUUAUCCAACUUACAUACAUGUUGUGGUGUGCUGGGAUUCUCAUAACCUGGUGGUUGCCGCAUGAACACUUCUUCCUCAAGAACACCAUGAAGAAACAUGUUCUGAACAUCUAGCUGUCUUAGACUCCAUGCUCUCGAAACAGCAAUAGACAAGACAAGUCGAAUAGUAGUUGAGUUAAUAACAGGACUAAAGGUAUCUUCAUAAUCAAUUCUAAACCUUUGUUUAAAUCCUUUGGCAGCUAAUCUAGCCUUAUACCUGCCUAUGCUUCCAUCAGACUUCCUUUUUAUCUUAUACACCCAUUUGCAAUCAAUAACAUUGUCUCCAUACUUUGGUGGAACCAAGUUCCUAGUCUUAUUUUUCAUAAGUGCAUUAUAUUCAUUAUCCAUAGCUUCCUUCCAAUCCUUAUUAGCAAGAGCAUCAUGCAAAUGAAGUGGUUCAUCGGUGGUGGUAAGAAAGGCACGUUUGAUUUUGUCAUACCUUAUCGUACCAUCAUUGUACUGUUUUUCUUUGACAAUAUCUGACUGAGACCGUGUUUGCCGAAGAGAAGAUGUAGGCAGUACAGGAGCAGUUGCUGCCACAGAAGAUCCAGCCAUCACCUGAUCCGAGGUGGAUCCAUGCAGCGAACCAGCCGGCUCCGGCUCCUGGUCCAAGAUGGAUCCAUGCAGCGAAUCAGCCGCACGCCCGCGACCAGCCACUAUGGGGUCAGGCCUGCACCCUCGGUCGGGCGUUGUGGAGGCCCGCGCAGGCGACGCAUCCGAUUCGCCCCCCUCCGCACAUGGGCUGUCAGCGCGUGGGGACGUGGCGGGUGGAGACGCAGCGGGAUUGGCGCGAGGCGACGCUGCAGGACUGGUGGGCGCCACCCAGUCAGCGCGGUCGGCCACCAGGCCAGGUGAAGCCAGGUGCACAGGGGGAUCCACCUAGGGUCGUGUGCCACCAGAGACAGCAGGCUGGGCGGGCGAAUCUGCCUCGGAUCGCCCGCUGUCAGCCGAAUCAGCAGCAGUUUCCAUGCCCAUCUUGUCUGUUUCCUCACACAUAAAAUGACAGCGUGAAUUUGCACAAAUAUCAACAGAAUCAGAAUUUCCUUGGGAUUUUUGUACAUGAUCAAGUUCAUUUAAUUCCGCCUCAUGAUCAGGUAGUGUGGUAGGAUCAGAAAGGAGAGCAAUUUCUGCACGAAGCAAGGCUCCCGCAUUGGGGUGUAAUUUGGCAAACGGAAAGAGUGUCUCAUCAAAAAUAACAUCACGAGAAAUAUAGAUACGUCCGGUAGAAAUUUCAAGGCAUUUAUAACCUUUAUGAAGAUUACUAUAGCCAAGAAAUACACACUGAGUGGAUCUAAACUCAAGUUUAUGAUGAUUGUAGGGGCACAAAUUUGGAUAACAAGCACACCUAAAUAUUUUAAGAUAGUUGUAAUCAGGUUUUUGAUGAUAGAGACGCUCUAACGGAGUAGUGUUGCCAAUAACUUUGCUAGGGAGCCUAUUGAUAAGAUAAGUGGCAGUGAUAAAGGCUUCAUCCCAGUACUUGAGAGGCAUGGAAGCAUCAGCUAAAAGAGAAAGGCCAACUUCAACAAUGUGGCGAUGUUUGCGCUCAGCGGAGCCAUUCUGUUGAUGAGCAUGAGGGCAAGAUACAUGAUGGACUAUCCCAAUGCUACGGAAAAAAGAGUGGAGUUUCUCAUACUCCCCUCCCCAGUCACUUUGGACAGUAAGGAUUUUCCUAUCAAAUUGGCGCUGAACAAGUUUCUGAAAUUCUUGGAAAAUAGAGAAAACCUCAGAUUUAUAUCGAAGCAAAUAGAUCCAAGUGAACUUGCUAUAAUUAUCGAUAAAACUGACAUAAUAUUUUUUUUCUACCAAAAGAAUCUCGGGCAUGGCCCCAUACAUCACUGAAAAUAAGUUCUAACGGAGCAUGAGACACACUAGUUGACUUGGGAUAAGGAAGCUGAUGGCUCUUGGCACAUUGACAAGCUUCACAAACAAACUCACAAACUGGACUAGGAGACAAAGAAAGUUCGCCUUUAUUAACUAUAUUUUUGGCAAUAAUCGAAGAUGGAUGCCCUAAUCGUUGAUGCCACCGUGCCAAGGAGGGCUUGAUGACGGAGUAAACGUGACGACGCUUGUGACCUAGUGCUCCGGAUGGAAUGGGGUAGAGCCCUCCAACGCAUCUACCGUGAUGAAGUAGUUCCCUCAUUGCCCGAUCCUUGAUGAAAAAAUAACGAGGGUGAGUUUCAAAGAAGACAUUAUUGUCGGUGACUAAACGAGACAUGGAUGCAAGGUUCUUGUCAGCUUGAGGAACAUGAAGCACAUCUCUAAGAACAAGAUUAUGUUUGAGUGUAGGGGAAUUGAUAGAACCUUGACCGAUGUGACAAAUAUCCAUACCUCCACCGCUAGCGGUGUGAAUCUGGUCGGUGCCAUGGUAUCGCUCGCGAAGGGCGAGUUGCUCGAGCUCAUUUGUCACGUGAUCCGUAGCGCCAGAGUCCACGUACCAGACGCCGUCACCACCCUGUUCACGCAUUGCAGCAGCAACAUGGCGAUCCGAGGGCACAAAGUCCUCGUCGUAGCGAUGCCAGCAGUCGAUCACCUCGUGGCCAGACUUCCUGCAAAGCUGGCAGCGAGGGCGACCACGGGAAGGAGGGCGGCGGCUGUUGUUGUUGUUGAAGCCGCCGCCAUUGCCGCUGGUGUUGUAGCCGCCCCCGCCAUGGGAGCCAGAGCGGGCGCCAUCGCCUGGAGGAGCGCCGCGUCCGCGCCCACCGCCGCGUGCCCCUAGUGACCGCGCCCACGGCCGCGGCCACGAGAGGCUGAGUUGACGGAGGACUGCCGAAGGUCACCGCCAUGGAGGAGGGUGAGGCGGGCAUCAAAACUGAGCAGCUGGCUAUAGAGUUCUUGUACGGUGAUGGGUUCCACCCUGGCGGCAAGCGUAGAAACCACCGGGUUGUACUCCAUGUCCAAGCCAGCAAGGAUUUGGGAGACGAUCUCCGGAUCAAAGAGGGCCGCGGUCGUGCUUGCGACCUCAUCGGUGAGACUUUUGAUCUUACCAAGAUAAUCAGCCAUAGACAUGUUACCUUUCUUGAGGUUGGUGAGCUCGAUGCGAGUGUUUAUCGCUUGGGCUUGACUUUGAGCAGCAAACAUGGCGUGGAUGGUGUGCCACACCUCAGCCGGCGUCUGGAGCGUGGCGACCUGAGCAAGAAUCUCACGGGAAAACGAACCCAUUAAGUAUCCAUGAAGUUGUUGCUGCUGUGCAUACCAGAGGGAUCUUGCAAAGUUGAUGAUUUGUUCUUCUUUGCCGUCCUUGGUGAUGGUGAGGGUGGCCGGCGGUGGUGGGCUCUUCUCGUCGAGGUGGUGCUCCAUCUGCGCGCCUCUGAUCUGCGGGAGCACGAUGGCCUUCCAGAGCAGGAAGUUGCCCCUCGUAAGCUUCUCUUGUGGUGGCGAUCUGAGGGAGGUGGUGUUGUGGGUGGAGGUGGAAGAUGAUGCAAAGGUGGAGGAUGGGGUGGUGGAGAGCACACCCAUGGUGCUUGGCAUCAUGGCAGCAGCGGUGGUGGACAUGAUCUCGGUCGCCGAGGUAGCUAGAUGCAAUCUCUCUCGAUUGGAUGAGGAAGAGGCUUUGUUACCAUGUAAAAGUAUAUGGGAAGCAUAGAACCCUUUGUCUCGGACCGCAUGUAUAUAUUGGGCAAAGCCUUGGCAUACAAGUUACAGGGGAGAUCGAGAGAACGAUCAGGAGAUCGACCAGGACGGUCGUUACAAGGAGAUAAGAAAGAGAAGAAGGGAUAGAGAAGAAGUACAAAAUUUAAACAAACUUCUAUCCCUGUACAACUCCUAUACAUCUAUUCCAACACAACUUUGUUUUGGACUUUCUCCACAUGGAAACUUGGAAAGCAUGCAUGCUGUGUCGCUCGUAGCCUGGGCGCUUUCACCUGUAUGUGUGAUAUGACGAGUGCACCUGCGAAAUGCAAAGAAAUAUGACCAGAUCCAAUUCGCCCGUAUCAUAUGGCCUCCAAAUGCCACUGAAGCAGAAUCUGCAAAUACAUCACCGCGCAUGCGGUUACAGAUACAGUACUCUAUAUGGCAAGAAAGUAAUGAAUGGUAGGGGUGAAAGCCUGAACCCCAUCUGAUCAAACGAGCAAAUAAACGAGUGGAUAAACCCAUCUGAAAAUACAUUGGAUAAACGAGCCACUUCUUGCCAACCAACAACCCAGAUAUACAUAGAUCAAAAACACUGGAGUGAUUGUACAGCAUAUGACACAGCUUACACUCGACCAUAUGAACGAAUUAAUAUUUCUGACGGACUUCCUUUUUACAGAGAGAGAGGGAGAAGUAGAUACAAGCUCACCGACAGCAAACACCAAAUUGCAUGCAUAUGGCCUUAUGCAUGCCAAGGGUAGGAAACUAGGAAUGAACAAAAAUCAAAUUCCUACCCCCCUUAACCCAAAAGAAAAACUAUAGGGAGAACUCACCAAGAAGAAGCUUCCGGAUUUCUGACUUCUCCCUGAAAGCCAGCAGUCCGUUCAAUUGCAAUCCACCAAACUGAGCAAGCUAUGUUUUGUUCAGUUAGAGUAGUAGUUUAGGUUCAUGGGAAGCAACAGUUUUUAGCUGUUAACAAUGGGAUUCUCCCAUCGGGCACCAGCAGGAACUUCACAAGAUCGGCACUAGUAUCUCCUUCCGAGGAACACGCCGAUGACCACUGACAGCAAGGCGACGCCCAGGAUGAACUUGAAGGCCAUGAUGCCGGAGGGCUCCCGCAGUUGUUGCUGCGCCGGGUUCGGGGAGGCCAUGCUAGGAGCCUGAGAUAUGUCGCGCUGUUUGUUUUGCGGUGCUAACGAGUCCAGGCUGAAUUCUCGGGAUCUCGUUGACACCACUGCAUCCUUUGCCUGUAAAAAAGAUGAUGUUGUUAAUUGCUG
rnacentral:lncRNA from 1 species